rnacentral:lncRNA from 1 species
AAGGAUUAAUCAACAAUCAAGGUUGCAUAUGCUCAGAUGAAUGACAAUUGUGUAACUAAUGAUUUGUAAGUUCAAUUCGUCUUCUAUUAACUAUAGAAAAAUACAUUGCUUGUUUAAGGGACAUGUUCUCUGUUCUUUUCUUUUUUGCAUAUUCUAUGAAGCAACUUUUAGCAAAAACAUUUUUAAGGAAAUGUGGCAUACCUCUAGUGUGAGGGACAUGAAAAUCAUGCCAAGUGAACACACCAAUAAAGACUAGCCCUUGCUGGGAUUAUUGUUUGGCAUAUAUUGUCUUCAUUGUUGGAAUAAUAAAAUAAGAGUCAUUUUCACUAUUUUAGUUAUUUUGCCUGUCAAAUGCUGAAAGUUCUUUCAGUUUGGCAGUAACAUUGACAUCUAUGAAAUUGGUUGAAGGAAAAAGCAAAUAAGAACAUAUUUAGAUGCUAUGAAAUACGAUCAUGUGAACAGAGUGUGCUAGACAGGGGAUUCUUGGAGAAAUAACUUUGGUAUGACACUCUAUUAAUAAGAUCCUCUCUACUCUAGAGUACAUGAAAGUGAAUUUUUUUCAUCUGUUAUUUCAAACAAAAAAGUUCCUACUGGAAUUUGUUGUUAUCGUGUUCCUUAAUAGAGUGGAAAAAUAUUAUCUAAGUUGAAAUUCUUAAAGAAUCCUAUUACAUUUUGGUUGAUCUUCAAAAUUUAUGUAUCAUCGAGUGAGAUAAAAAGCCAUGUCUUAUGUCAUUUCAAAUGAAGCUCUAUUUGACUCAAGGAUCAAGUCAAUGUAGCAAGGCAAAUUAGAUAGAUAAAAACUGCUAAUCCAUGCAAAAACAAUGUCAUCAAUCUUACUCUUAAUAAAACAAAAUGUCAUUAGUUUGACAAAUAACGUGUAGUAUUUACUAAUGGUUUUGUUUUAGACUAGUUUAUUUUUUAUUGAUAUUUAAAGAAUCACAACAUCACUCAUAAUUGAAGUAUUUGUAAUCUUCAAGAACAAUAAUUUCUAAGGGUAAAUGGGGAAAGAUUAUUAAUUUUUGCCUUGAACUUCUAAAACAAUUCAUUUUACUUGUCAUGUUUUUUCUGUGUCCCUUAAAAAAAUAGUGUAACACCCCGUAUUCGAAACAGACCAAAAAUGCAGAUUUUGAGAAGUUGCAGGUGCAACUUACGGUCACCAUCCACGGACCGUAGGUCAGACCACGGCCCGUGCUGGUGGUCCGUGGUUCACCACUGCAACCCCACCCCAAACCAGCUCAGAAAAAUUUGGCUAAGUCCCGACUCACGGACAGACCCACGGUCCGUAGAUCAGACCACGGUUCGUGGUCUGUUUCCGUGGAUUGAGACCUUCUUUACCCAGCCUCUGACACAAACUACGGUCGACCAGUACGGACCGUCAUUUGAUCCACGGUCCGUAGGUCUGACCGUAGAUGAGGGUUAGCAGCUAGUUAGAUGAAAAUUAUUGAUGGGUCAACUUCAGAUGGUCAUAAAUCUUAGACAAAGAUGAAUUAGGUGUCCCAUGACCUAUGAUAUGAUAGAUAAUUGAAUUAUCUUUCCAAAGCCACCGAGUUUNNNNNNNNNNNNNNNNNNNNNNNNNNNNNNNNNNNNNNNNNNNNNNNNNNNNNNNNNNNNNNNNNNNNNNNNNNNNNNNNNNNNNNNNNNNNNNNNNNNNNNNNNNNNNNNNNNNNNNNNNNNNNNNNNNNNNNNNNNNNNNNNNNNNNNNNNNNNNNNNNNNNNNNNNNNNNNNNNNNNNNNNNNNNNNNNNNNNNNNNNNNNNNNNNNNNNNNNNNNNNNNNNNNNNNNNNNNNNNNNNNNNNNNNNNNNNNNNNNNNNNNNNNNNNNNNNNNNNNNNNNNNNNNNNNNNNNNNNNNNNNNNNNNNNNNNNNNNNNNNNNNNNNNNNNNNNNNNNNNNNNNNNNNNNNNNNNNNNNNNNNNNNNNNNNNNNNNNNNNNNNNNNNNNNNNNNNNNNNNNNNNNNNNNNNNNNNNNNNNNNNNNNNNNNNNNNNNNNNNNNNNNNNNNNNNNNNNNNNNNNNNNNNNNNNNNNNNNNNNNNNNNNNNNNNNNNNNNNNNNNNNNNNNNNNNNNNNNNNNNNNNNNNNNNNNNNNNNNNNNNNNNNNNNNNNNNNNNNNNNNNNNNNNNNNNNNNNNNNNNNNNNNNNNNNNNNNNNNNNNNNNNNNNNNNNNNNNNNNNNNNNNNNNNNNNNNNNNNNNNNNNNNNNNNNNNNNNNNNNNNNNNNNNNNNNNNNNNNNNNNNNNNNNNNNNNNNNNNNNNNNNNNNNNNNNNNNNNNNNNNNNNNNNNNNNNNNNNNNNNNNNNNNNNNNNNNNNNNNNNNNNNNNNNNNNNNNNNNNNNNNNNNNNNNNNNNNNNNNNNNNNNNNNNNNNNNNNNNNNNNNNNNNNNNNNNNNNNNNNNNNNNNNNNNNNNNNNNNNNNNNNNNNNNNNNNNNNNNNNNNNNNNNNNNNNNNNNNNNNNNNNNNNNNNNNNNNNNNNNNNNNNNNNNNNNNNNNNNNNNNNNNNNNNNNNNNNNNNNNNNNNNNNNNNNNNNNNNNNNNNNNNNNNNNNNNNNNNNNNNNNNNNNNNNNNNNNNNNNNNNNNNNNNNNNNNNNNNNNNNNNNNNNNNNNNNNNNNNNNNNNNNNNNNNNNNNNNNNNNNNNNNNNNNNNNNNNNNNNNNNNNNNNNNNNNNNNNNNNNNCAGUUUAGCGAUAUCAGUGGUGAGUCCUCAUUCUUCGAGGACUAGCGACAUGUUUAUCUUUAUCGCUUUUAGUCUUUAGUUUCAGUUUUUGCUAGAUCUAGUUGGGGCAUGUCCCAGCAUUUCUAGUCAGUUUAGAGGCUUAUUUCAGACAUAGUUAGAUUCAACUUAGUAUUGAGUUAAUAUCUUCCUUGUAUUAAACUCAUCAGUUUUCAUUUAUCUCAGUUAUAGUAUAUGGGUAUUCCCCAUCCUUUCAUGUUAUUUAUGAUUUAGCUUCCGCAUCAGUUUAUUAUCUUUAGUAUGCUCAUGAUCAUGCUAGCAGGGUUAGCUUGGGAUCACUUGUGGUCCUAGGUCCCGUGUCCGCGUCUCGGGGGUAGUCUUGGGGCGUGACAAAUAGUAACUAAAAAGGUAACUUGACUAAAAUAUCCUUAUUUUGUUCUCAUUUAAUAGUACUACUAUUUUCCUCACCACGUUAAUCUCUCUCCACAAUACUUUAAGUGUGUUUACUAAAAUAGUUGAUGGUCAAAAAUACACUUAAAAUAUUCCGAUUUUUUUAGUUCCCAUAUGAGUAAUUAGUUCUAGUGGUAAACUAUGAAAAAAAUAAUCAUCUUUUCUUGAUAAAUUAAAAGUAACAAGCAAAACUGAAAAUCUAUUUUUCAAAUAGUAGACAAGUAAAAGUAAAUGAAGAUAGAUUUUUUUUUAAAUCGCGAGAGAUAAUUUAAGAUUGAGUGAGUAUUAUUGGAGGAUUAAAUCCAAAACAAUCCACAGUAGAUUUAGUACAAUUUGGGGGAAAUUCAUUUAAUGGGUAAAAACAUGUAGGAAGCCUAAGAAUCUCCCACAAUUACAAAGCAAGACAAUCAAACCUUCUUCUCCAAAACCUAAAAAAAUUCUGCAACCAAAACGGAGUCAGAGGGAAAUGAAAACACCCAUAAAACCCAAAACGUAGCAAACCCAUUAACCACCAUUAUCAUGUUACAUGUCAAAUAUAGGUGAGACUUUUCUUGUUUAUGGAGCACCUGGAGUGAUACAGAAUCAACAGGAUACACCAUCUAUUAUCAAAAACAUAUGCGAUGAUCUGAUUAGAUAUGCAGAGGUUACUAACUUUGGUGCCCAUUUGUUGAAUGAAAUCUACAUUGAAAGCCUUGUCAGUCCACUUUCACAAAUCCAACAAGAAUUAAGAAACAAUGAAGGCUGCAGAUGCUCAGAUGAAUUACAAUUGUGUAACUAAUGAUUUGUAAGUUUCCACUUAAUACAUGUCUCGCAAGUGCAGUUCAAUUCUUCUUCUAUUGUCAAAUUUACAUUUCAUGUUUAAGGUUCUUUUGGAUACAGUCUCUACCUUCUCAAAGGUAGGGGUAAAGUUGGCAUACAUAUUUCUCUCCACUUGUGAGAAUACACUGUGUUUGUUGUUCCUACAUUGUAUGUUUAAGGUACGUUGUCACACAAGGUCUGCUUGAGAUCUUCUCUAGUCCUUUUUCUUUUUGCAUAUUCUAUGAAACAACUUUUCUUAGAACAUUUAUUUGGUUGUAGAAUUUGGUGUCUUCAAAACUCAAAAAACCUAAAUAAAGUUGGAAAUUGAUUCUCUUUCCAAGAUGCAUUAUAAGGGAAUGAGACAUAUCUUUAGUGUGAGUGACAUGAAAAUCAUGCCAGUUGAAUGCUCCAAUAAAACUAUGCAUAGCCCUUGCCGGGAUUAUUGUUUGAUGUAGGAUCUUCAUUACUAGUGCUCUUUAAAAUACAGUUACUAUGGUAAAGGAAUCAUGGAAUAAGAGUCUUUGUCUAGUAUAGUAUCUAACUUUAGUGGUUUUCUUUGUUGCUAAUAGCUUACUAUCUUUUCUUAAUUUUAUUUAUUUGGUCUGUCAAAGGCCAAGAGUUCUUUCAGUUUAGCAGUAACUCGAAUCUGCAAACUUGGUUUGAUGGAAAAAGGAAUUGAGGAAAUAUUUGGAUGCUAAGAAUUAUGCUCAUGAGACUAGUGUGGGAGGUUACGUACCAGUAUUUGAAUAACAGUGAAAAUGUUUAUCUCUGUUAUUUCUAUCAAAAAGGUUCCAACUAUAAUUUGUUCUUAUCUUAUUCCUUAGUAGAGUGGUAAAUUGUAUGUAUCACCAAGUGAAAUGAAAGUGUCGUCUAAUGUCGUUUCAAGUGAAACUUUUAUUCGUUAUCUGCUGCCUACUCUUAGUUUUUCUGAUGGAAAAAAUAGUGAUGAGAAGAAAAAUGUGGACUUUAUUCAAUUGGCGAAAAAUUGAUCGUGUCUUUGAAGUACAUCAAUUGAACUCUUUAAAUAAAGUUUUACUAACAGAAAAAAUAACGUAGCAAUCCACUAACUCCUACGAUUACUCAACAACCUACUUAUUUGCUAAAGACUCGAUCAACUAAAACACUAGCUAACAACUGCAAGAGAAUAAACAAUAACUAACAAUCCCUCCCUUAAACUGAAAGUCACACUAUCAGUUUAACAUGCUUGCAGCAGACAACUUGUUUUAAAUGUGAUUUUCCAAAGUGCAAACACCAAGUAAUUUUCUGAACUUCAGGAAGGAUGCUAACUUGAGAGAUUUGGUAAACACAUCAGCUAGCUGAUCUUCACUUCUGCAGAAGAUGAGAUCAAUUACUCCAUCUUUUGUGAGGUCCCUUAAGAAAUGAAAUUUGACAUCAAUAUGUUUACUUCGCCCAUGCUGAACAGUAUUUUUGGAGAUCUUUAUUGCUGAACUGUUGUCACAAAAAAUGGUAGUAGAGCUUUACGCAUCCAAAUUACCUGACAGGCACAUGCUGCUGCCACAAAUUCAGCUUCUGUAGUUGAUAGAGUCACAAUUAAUUGCUUUCUCGAAGACCAUGAAAUUGCUCCCGACCCCAUCAUAAAGACAUAACCAGACGUACUCUUUCGAUCAUCUGAAUCUCCAUCAAAAUCACUGUCAGUAAAGCCAACUAAGUCUACUUUUUCUCCUUUCGCGUAGAAUAGACCAUAAUUAGUAGUUCCUUGCAAGUAUUGAAAAAUUCUCUUUGCGGCUAGAAGAUGCAUCUCUUUGGGACUUUCCAUGUAUCUGCUAAUAAGACUUACAGCAUGCAUAAUAUCAGGCCUUGUGGCCAUUAAAUACAUCAAACUUCCCACUAUUUGUUUGUAAAGAGUGUUGUCAACUCUUCUUCCUCUAGGUUCUUUAGUGAGCUUCGAACCGAACUCGGUGGAACUGGUGGCAGAGUUGCAACUCUUCAUCUGAAACCUGUCCAAAAUCUCUUGAGCAUACUUCUUUUGUGUGAUGAAAAUCCCAUCAGCAGAUUGAAUGACUUCAAUGCCAAGAAAAUAAUGCAUCAUUCCAAUAUCCGUCAUAUCAAAUUCCACCAUCAUGGACUUCUUAAAACUUGCAAUCAUGGAGAUGUCAUUUCCGGUGUAAAUUAAAUCAUCCACAUAUAAACAAACAAUGAGCAUUUUUCCUUUAUCAUCAUUCUUUGUAAAGAGUGUGUGCUCAUACGGACAUUUCUUAAAUCCCUCCUUCGAAAAAUAAGCAUUUAUUCGACUAUACCAAGCUCGUGGAGCUUGUUUUAGUCCAUACAAUGCAUUCUUUAAUUUACACACCUUAUGUUCUUCUCCAACCUUGACAUAACCAGGAGAUUGAUCAACAAAUACCUGCUCAUCCAAGUCCCCAUGUAAGAAGGCCGAUUUGACGUCCAUUUGAAAAAUGGGCCAUGAGUGUUGAGCAGCCAAAGCUAUCACUAAUUUGAUAGUGUCAAGUUGUGCCACCGGAGCAAAAACUUCUUUGUAGUCCACACCGAACUCUUGCUUAUAGCCUUUAGCUACUAAGCGUGCUUUGUGCCGCUCGACUUUACCUUCCUUGUUCAUCUUUUUCUUGUAUAUCCACUUGACACCGAUUGUCUUAUGCCCUUUUGGAAGCUCAGUCAACUCCCAAGUGUCAUUUCUAUCAAUUGCUGCCAUUUCUUCAUCCAUUGCCUUUUGCCAUUUUUCAUCUUUAACAGCUUCUUCAAAACUGGUAGGAUCACUUUUUGAAAAUAAGGCAAAAUGAAUAACUGGAUCUUCCGAUUGAUCAAUUCCAGUUACCUUAAAAUCUGUCAUCCAUGCGGGUCUCCUUUUUGAUCAUUGAGGUCGCUCCGCUUCUUGUGUAGGAAUUGAAAUCGGUGAUUGAACUGGUUCUAAAUUUUCCAGUUGUUCUGUCUUCUCCAGUUGCAGCGUUUCCUCUUCAAAAGCUACUGGAACAAGCUAUUGAUCUCCUUUGUCCUUCCAUGACCAGGUAGCAUUUUCACAAAAAUUACAUCACGACUAAUGACAAUUUUCUUGGUGUUUGGAUUAUAUAACUUAUAAGCCUUAGAUUGAUUACUAACACCAAGAAAAAUGCAUUUUUCUCCUUUAUCAUCUAGUUUGAUCCUUUUCUGAUCUGGAUCAUGAGCAUAGGCCACACAUCCGAAGAUUCUAAACUAGUCGACACUUGGUUUCUGUUGGCUCCAUGCCUCCUCCGGAGUCAUAUUUUGAACAGAGAAAGUUGGACUUCUAUUUAAAAUAUGAAUGCUCCAGUCAACUAUUUCUGGCCAAAAUCUUUUUGAAACACCGCUCCUUGUCAAAAUGUUGCGCACCAUAUUGAGGAUUGUGCAAUUCUUCCGCUCACAAACACCAUUUUGCUGAGGUGGGUAAGCUGAUGUAAGUUGCCUCUUGAUUCCAUUUUCCUCACAAAAAUUAGUAAAUUCUUGAGAAUUGAACUCUCCUCCACGAUCAGUACGAAGAACUUUCAAUGAACUUCCAGUUUCUUUCUCAACAAGUACUUUAAAACGUUUUAAAAUGUCAAAUGCUUCAGACUUUUCUUGUAAAAAAUACACCCAUGUUUUCCGACAUAAGUCAUCAAUGAAGGUUAUGAAGUACCUUUUACCACCAUUGGAAUUUGGAUUUAUUGGUCCACAGAGAUCUGAGUGCACCAAUUCCAACAACGUCUUUUCUCUCCUAGAUUUGCCUUGUGGAAAUGGACUGCGAGGUUGUUUGCUAACAACACAAUUUUCACAAGUUCCUGAAGGAGCUGCAUUUUGAGGAAGACCGUUCACCAUUUUCUUCUGUAGCGUUCUCAGUCCAUUAAAAUUAAGGUGCCCAUAACGGAAAUGCCACAACCAGACAUCAUCUUUCACUUUUGCAGAAAAACAACAUUUUGUAGAGUUGUGAAGAUGUAACGGGAACAAGCGAUUUGACAUGUUAAUCUGAGCGAUCAACCCCAAAUGAGAAUCUCAAAUCUUACACACUCCACCUUUGAUAUUAAUUUCAUAUCCAUCUUCUUGAAGUUGCCCAACACUUAAUAAAUUUGUCUUCAAAGCAGGAACAUAAAACACAUCACCUAUGGUAUGAAUAGAGUUAUUUUUGGUUGAGACAUGAACCUUCCCCUUUCCUAUGGCAGAGACCACUGAGUUAACUCCAAAUCUCACAAUACCUCGAAAAGUUUCAUCCAAUUCUGAGAAUUCCUCCUUUUGCCUGGACAUGUGAUUACUGCAGUCGGUAUCGAGAUACCAUAAAUUAGUGGAAGCUUUCUCUUUGGAAUGAUAUGCCAUCAAAAGUGCAAUCUCUUCUUCUUCCUUCGUUGUGCAAAAUUAGAUUCCUCUCCACGCAACUUAGAAAAAUUUGUUCGGCAUUCUGAUUUAUAAUGACCGAAUUUGUGGCAUCUGUAACAUUAAACUUUAGACUUGUCCCAUAACUUUGAGUUGUUGCCACCUCGCCCCUUUCCUCUGCCUUGAUUAUCAUGGUCUUGAAGUUGUUGACGAUUUCCAUGAUAAGCACUAUUGCCUUGAUCUCUACCUCUACCUCUACCAUUACCUCUGUUAUACCCUUGUCCUCCUGAAUGAUCAUCUGUUGAGGCACUCAAUGCCACCUCCUCCUUUUCUUGUUGAGUAAUUUUUUGUUCAUGAAUUAUCAAAGAGCUUUGCAAUUCAUCAAUUGAAAGCAAAUCAAUAUCAUGAGAUUCUUCAAUAGAACAAACAACAAAGUUAAAUUUUGGUUUCAUGGUCCGAAGAAUCUUUUCAACAAUUGUAACUUCAUUUGACUUGUCGCCGUGGAUCCGCAUUUUGUUGACGACUAUCAUCACCCGUGAAAAAUAGUCGAUAACUGACUCUCCAGAUUUCAUUCGAAAAGUUUUGAACUCCAAACGAAAUGCUUGAAGUUGCUGCCUCUUUGACCUCAUCGAUCCUUGAUAUUUCUUCUUCAUGGAGUCCCAAAUCUGCUUAGAAGUAUCUUUAGAAAGAAUAGUUUCCAAGAUUGAACGUUCAAUUUCUUGGAAAAGAUAAUUCUUCGCCUUGAGGUCCUUCAACUUUGCUUCUUGUGCUUCUGCUUUUUGUGCGUCUGACACUGAUGUGCCUUCUGCUGGUUCUGGUAUGCCAUCCACAACUACUUGCCAAUACUCCUUUGAUCCUAGGAAAUUCUCCAUCAACAUGCUCCAAUGAUCAUAGUGACCAUCAAAGCGAGGAAUGGCUACUUGCACAAAGUUUUCUGAAGCCAUAGAUACAAACGUUGUUGCUGCAAUUUCUUUUAGUAUUUCUCUCACCAAACUGGCGCUGAUACCACUUAUGGAAAAAACAUUGAUGAGAAGAAAAACGUGGACUCUAUUCAAUUGGCGAAAAUUGAUCGUGUCUUUGAAGUACAUCAAGUGAACUCUUUAAAUAGAGUUUUACUCACAAAAAAAAUAACGUAGCAAUCCACUAACUCCUACGAUUACUCAACUACUAAAAAAUUAAAAGGAUUCUACUACUUCAAUUCAACAACCUACUUAUUUGCUAAAGACUUGGUCAACUAAAACACUAGCUAACAACUGAAAGAGAAAAAAAAAUAACUAACAUUUUUUACAUCAUAUAUUCCUUCACCCUAUUCCCUAUAGAGUUUUCAUACCAUUCUAUCUAUGGUCCAUUUGGACACAACGUAACCAGUUCAUUUUUGAACAAAAAUCACUGAUCAUUAAAUACUGUGAUGUUAAAUAUCUAACAUGUCCAACCAAGUUAGGACAAUCUAAAAUUCCCGUCUGUGACAUAGGAACCCCCUAGGAAACUAUUUACAUGGUCAAUAGAGAUGCAAGGGUGGACAAUAACAUGAAUUUUAUAGGAACGGGAGUAUUUAGGAUAGGAGCGAACAAUGGAAUUUAGGAUUUACUUCUUCGAUUUCAAUUACAAAAAUGUUUUCUAAGCUGAAUUACUCGCCCCCUUACAUGGAUUGACUCUAACUUUUCUGCAUAAUAUACAGCCCCUGCAAGUUAAUAUUGAUGCCCAGGAAGUAGUUGUCACUUUAUAACACUAACUUGCACAACUCUUCAAUUUUGGAUGACUGCAGGUGCCUCUUCUGGAGGCUGAGUAUUCCAAAGGUGAUCCAUACCUACGGAAAAUAGAAUAGACUAGUUGAUAGCUUAGCAGCAAUGGCCACCACCAUGUAGGAAGCUCCUUUCUAAGACCUUUUUUCUGGACACUCGUGCAUCCUUGGAAGAUAUUUUGAGCGGGGACAGAAAUGAAGUUAUGUCUGUUAGGAGAGUUAAUGCACUGGCAUUCAGCCCUACUUAAUUCUAUGUGUAAUAUUAGCAUAAAUGGUGGUACAACCACAAAUGGGCAACUCAUUACCCAUUUUUGGUAGCAUAAUAUGUUGGAUGUUGAUUUGUACGGUUAUUGCUCAUAGAUAUUAUGUUCUAUAUUUCGAAUAUUAACUAUUAAAAUCUUCAGGUGCAACGAUUGUGUUUCACCGAGGGAAGAUGAAAACCAUUGCUUAAUGCAUUUCAGGUGUUGAUCUAUUCACUAUGUUAUCAACUAUCUAUUAGUAUAUUAUGAAAAAGUGACUCUAGCCAAGAAAUGGAAACAGGAAAAGGUAGUUAAUCUUGAAUGACAGGUCAAGAUCAGCCUCGUGAAAACCUUAACAAUGUCAACAGUUUAACAUAACCAUUGAUUGAUAUUAGUGGUUUUACCAUUGAUUUGCAUAUAGUUAUAGCCUAUACAAUUGUGGAAGCAAGGGAGAGAUGCCAAAUAGGUGUGCGUGCUCUAUGUUGCAUGUCGGAUCUUUGUACUCUGAUACGCACCCGUGGACAAUUUUUAAGUCUGAGCAACAUAGUGUUGGGUCUGGGAAAUUCUUGUGAGUUGUAUCUGUUUGAGUAAGAGAUACAACUCAAACAUUUUGACUUGCCUAAUUUCAUCUGCUAUGGUUUAAAUUCAUAAACAAUUUUAAGGUCACUGAGUCGGGCUCAUUUUGACCUGCCUAAUUUCUUAAGAAAAGAGGUAGAAAAAUGAUGCCCCAUAAGUUAAUAAAUCUGUGAUUGGCCCUGGUCCCUUGGAUAUUGUGCACUUUGACUACGGAUAAAAGCCUAAGUUUAGGGUGGCUAACUUAGAAAAUACCUUAAUAAUGUUCCUGGUCCUUAUAAGGACAAUGUGCACCUUAACUCAAGAGAAAUCUCUAAGUUGAGGGUGGCUAUGCUGGGAAAAUAUGCAGAGAGGGGGGGCAAAGAAAGGAAAAAGUUGGGAAUGUAGCAAGAAAAUCAAAACAUGUGCAUUAGGGAGGAUAAGUCACUAAUUUUAUCUAAUUGUAUCCUCCCUUACCUCAAGCUUACACUACAACCCAUAAAGUCCUGUUUGAUUUUGGGCAAAACACGCUUAAUUAGUGGAGAUGUACAUAAAGGGCAAGAUUGUGGUUCUCAAUGCAUGCAUGUAUGAUGUCUUUUUUGAGUGAGAGCGUACUAUGUUUGGAAAGUCCUUAAACUAUAUUCAAUGUGUUGUGUUGAGUGUACAGACUAUUCUGUUGAGUGAGGGGCACUUUUUAUAUGAAAGAUAGGUGAUGAGUAAUGGUGCACAUGCAGUUGUAUGCGUUGGUUGCAAAAAGUUGUCAAGUCAAUAACAUGAGUUGUAUGAUGUCUGAAAGUGGGCAAGGCCUGUUUGAGUGAAAACAUGCUUCUUUAAAUUGAUUACAUAUCCUUUAAAGGAAGUGGCGGAUGCACAAAUACCAUAGUAUGAAGUCUAGGUCUAGGAUUAGUUAGUAAGUUGUUCGAGGAUGAACAAAGCUCUAAGUGUGGGUAGUGAUCUUAUGCAUAUUAUCCGUUUGCAGGUAUAGUUUUCAAGGAUGUAGUUUAGGUUGUGAAUAUAACGUAGGGAUGUUUUUGGCCAAAAACUCGAAAAACUAUAUAUGUAUGAAGGCAGACAAACAUACAUAAAUAAAGUUCCCCUGAACAUUUCAUUGUAAUUUGAUUAUUAACGAUUCACUCUAAAAAAGCAUAUUAUUCCCCACACAAAUUCAAACUAAAGAGACAAGUAACAAAGUAUCAAUAUCUAUCAUAUUAUCUAUUCAGUUGAUCUACAUCUUCUUUCAGUUCAUUGGUGAUUAAUAAUGUUUUAAAGACACUACUUCCAAUUCUAAGUGUCAACGAUAGUAAAUCAAUAUAAAACCCAACUAAAUGAGUUGGGGUCGAAUCCCACAUGGAGCGAUACGUGUUUCAUAUUAGAUUGGGAAGUAUAAAUGUGGUCAAAUCAGUCAUAGGAAUAAAAAUUAUCGAAUAAAGACAUCAUUCAAGUUAAAAGGGUGACACGAAUGUCAAAUGGGGGGAGGGGGUUGGUUUUUAGAUUAUCAGCUAAAAGUAGUCAUAAAAACAAGGAAUUAACAAUAAUGAGACGGAUUCUUGGGAUGUGAUCGAUUAUAGGUAAAUGUAGACAUAUGGGUUAUUGCAACUAUUAAAAAAUAGCUAGAUAUUAGUGAGUAGGCUAGACUAUAACGGAGGUAAUUUUCUCUCGAACAAUUACCCCGAAUCAGGUGAUUUCUUGCGAACAUCAACAAGCAAUACAAUUAAGAGCAACCCAAACCUUAAUCCAUUCACUCUCUCGAGCUAAAUGUGUGGGAUAGAAUUUAGGAUUUACUCUCUCUAGCUAAACCCAGGUCAACCCAACACCCACAAAUCAUCGGUCAAUAAUUUUAGUUCUAAAACCUCUCUCUUGAGCAAGCCAANNNNNNNNNNNNNNNNNNNNNNNNNNNNNNNNNNNNNNNNNNNNNNNNNNNNNNNNNNNNNNNNNNNNNNNNNNNNNNNNNNNNNNNNNNNNNNNNNNNNNNNNNNAUUCAUCCCAUAACCACAUGAUCACACCCCAAGAAUUGGGGUUUUAGCUAGACAUUAUAAAAAGGUAAAAAUAGUUACCAAAUUGAUUAUCCAUCAACUAGGUAAGAGUAAUUUCGUCCUUACAAUGCUCCAAUUUGAUGAAUCUCAAAGAACCGCUUCUAAUUUAUCAAAAGUGAAUUUUCUUCAAUCCUUUAAAGCUAAGGAAGAACUCUAGAGAGAAUUGUUCUAAGAGUUCUGAUAGAAAAAUAAUAAUCAAAAUUAUAUCCCAGAUUACUUGAUUCAUUUCUAAACUAAAUGUUCAAAAUCCUAUUUAUAGUUGCCAAAAAUAUGCUGCGAAAGCCCAUUUAACGAAGUAAGUCGGGCUCGCCGAACCACUCGGUCAGCCGCCCUUUGAUCUUUUCCAUCGCCUUUUUGCCUUGUCAUUCAGCAUCCUUGGUUUCUGUAACUUUAGGGGAACUAUCACUAUAUCACAAAAUUACUCGGUGAUUCAUCGACUGCUCCUUCUUGUCACCGAUUUGGUUUCUUCCCUCAGGGCUGGCACACUGGAACUUUAGGCGGUGGAACUUGCCCGUCGGCGAGGCUCCAUCUACAUCAUCUUGAACAACAUUUUGCUCAUUAGCGCCCAAAUUUUUAUCAUUAGCACCUACAUCAUGACCAUUAGUACCUACAUCUUGUUCAUUAACGCCCCAAUCUUUAUCAACAAUUUGUUCAUUCACGCCUCCAACUUGUUCCUCAUAAUGCGGAAGCAACGUUACCUCAUUCCAGUAAGGCAAAUCAGCAUAUCUCUACCACAAAAUACUCAUUCAUAGCAACACCUUACAAGUAUCAAUUCAAAAAUUUGUUAAUUAGAGCCUUACAAUUUCAUCAAAUUCUUCCUACUUUAUCUUGUAUGUUCUGUCUGCGGGCUGCAAUCUGGAGAAAUCAUAAUUUUUUGUAUAUAAAAAUAAUAGAACAAAAUCUUCUUGUUCAUAAAAAUCAAAUACUUCUUAUAAUUUGGCACUCCACAGCAGACACAACAAGCAUCGACUAGAAUACAGUCAUCUACAACUUGAUGAUAUAUAUCGUUAUGUGGUACAUGAACAUUAAACCUGCAUAUGCAUACACAUACCGCAUAAUCAUCUGUAAAACUCAAUUUCCAAAUAUAUAUAUACUUGUGUGCCACUAAGGAGACCUUCCUGAAUGUUUGGCUCCUGCAAGAUGUACAAGACAUAAAAAUUAAGUAUACAAAAUUCAGAUUAUUACUAGUUUUUUGGGGGGGAAACGAAGCAGAGAGGAUGGGAAUAUCCAUGCAAGGCUAAAAAAAUGGUCGACGAAUCCAACUCGAGUUUUGCAGACACAACAACAGAUGCAAUAAUGAACAGGAAGAUCAUUGUAUUCAAGUUUAUUCUAUCAACUUUGUUGAUUGAAUCAAGAAUCUGUAGUUAGGUUUUAAAAGACGUGAAUGGAAAAUGAUAUUGUUGAAAAUAUGCACAAGUUGUCCGUCCAGGGAUGGAUAAAUUGCAAUUUGUACACGUGGAUUGUUAUGAUCAAGCAAGUAAAUUAACAUAAACCAACUUGUUUAUAAAAUAUAACUUGAGAGCAUGAAUUUCCAAAGCAUAAGCUAAGUAAAUUGUUAUAAGUGAAUGAAAAUUAGACGAGAACAAAAUUUGCGCAUCAAGCUUCAUGAAACCUAUUAAUACUCAUUAUUGCUACUCACUAAUCCUAAAUUUUCUUAUAAUGGUUGAACUUCAGAUUUACCUUAUCUCAUUUGUGUCUCGUAUCUCAUGGUGCAUCUUCGGAGCUAGGUGGGCUCACAUUGUGAUGUCAAUCUUUUAGUCACGCCAGACUUGUCGCUUUUGCCAUAUGUCACUUUCUGAAUCAUCUAUCUAUCGAGCUUGAUCAGUUUUACACUAUAUAGAUUAUCACGCCUCUGUCCUAUAACCCGGGCGUGUUCAACACUCAGAAACUAAUUUUGGUCCCAGGUAAACCCUUAGUCUGGCCGACUACUGAGCGGAAGACUAAACAUACAUGCUGAAGCCUUAUAAAUUAAACAUUUAAUAUCAAUUAAAUAUAUCUCAUACAAAAGUCUGAAAUAAAUUUGAAUAUGAAUAAUGAUAAUAAUGUUUAAACUUCUAAAUACAAACUAUUGAAUUGACUCACUAACUUUGUCUAUCUAUGAAGGCUCUACUAACUAAAGAUAGGUGUCGGGACAAGACUCAUCACUACCUGACUAUUCAACUAACAAUUUCUUAAAAAAUAAAUAAACUAUACUAACUAAAUUAGACCCCCCACCCCCGGAAGUGAGGAGGUCUCACCAAAUGCUAGUUGAAAGUGAUCUUACUAAAUGUCUGCUAUCAAAAGUACCUGAAACUGCAUCAUUUAUCACAAAAUGAUGCAGCGUCAAAUUGCGUCAGUAUAUUGAAUGUAUGGUAUGUAAUACGACUGAAUGAAAUAAAUAAUUGAACUAAAAAGAAACUUAAAGUACCCUGACCGAAAGUAAAACAUGAACAUGAGGUGCAAUCAUUAAAUCUCUACAAUGAGAUAUGCAAUACUAGCAAAAUACUAAAAUAAUAUACUUUAUUUUUCAUGGGGAGUUUCUUGAAUCUAAAACCAUCACUUUGAGCCUCGUGAUAAUACAAUGUCUAGCACAUGUUGCCAGUCAUCCUAUCACUUGCCGGACUAUAGGACAACAAAGCUUAACCUAUGGAUCCACUGAAAAGCCUUCAACAAGGCUGUGAGGAGUCGCCCAAAUCAACGACAUGAUCUUAUCUACGCUGGUGACACAAUUUAUGGGUUUUGAGUUGUUAACUCUUACCCAAAUCGGUAUUCAAUACUACUCCCAAAAAAUGCAAUAAUGCUCAUACGAUAAAGAUGUCCCCCUUUAGGGGAAAACUAAAAAUCUGAUACUUUGAGUCUAUGUUCAAUAAUACUUCUUUAAAACUGAACUGAACUGAACCUAAAUGAACUUAACUAUGCUUUUACGAAAAUAUUAUUUUGAGUCACUUUUUAGCAUACUCUUUUAUCAAUGCAUUGAACUUACUUUAAAGACUGAUUGAAAAUCCUUUCUCUAAAACUGAUUAUGCUUUCUUUAAACUAGCCUUGUUUUCUUCAUGAAGAUAAUGCAUAAGAACUGAUAUAUCAAGGCUUUCAUAAAAUUCAUAAUGAAAUAUGGUUCAUGGGGUGAAAUAAGCAUGAACAAUUAUUAAGAAUCGUCCAAUAAAUUAAUAUACUAAAAUAGAUACAACAAAAUCAAUAAUUCAUGCUAAGAAAGUAAGUACAACCCUCGAAUGUAGUAAUCCUUGGGUUUGAAACCCUAGUUGAACCUUGCUAUCUGAAAUUAAGAUGUAGGGAGUAAGGAAGAACUCAUUAACUCAAUAUGAUAGCUUAACGUACCUUGAUUCACUCUAAUUGAAAUUCUAAGUUUGAAGAGGAACCCUAAAAGUCUCUUCUUGAACUUUAGGAUGAGUUCUUGUUUGCGCUAGAUAUGAGAGAAAGAUUUGAUGUUAGAAUCUUAUUAAGAAUUCGUGAUUAGAGAUUGAUUAUUUUUAGAACUAAUUUAGAUACAUGAGAGUAACAUACCCCAGUAUUAAAGAUGCAGGAGAAGAGAGAAUUUGAGAGAAAAUAAGCCCUAGGUCGUACAAGAUGGAUUUUAUAAUGACCCCACCGUCUUAACUUAAUAAAUAGAGAAUUUUAAAAUCUAGACUCUCAAAAAUUUGCUUGGCGUGGUGCGCCCAUGCUAUAGGCUGCUGGAAAAAUAUCCUAGUGCGGUGCACCCACACUACCAGGAAUGCGGAGCACACAGUCAAUUUGACAUCUCUCCAGUAAAAUGCAGAUAACUUUUUACUCAAGAGUCGGGUUGAUGAGCAGUCAGUGACGUUGGAAGGAACAACUGUAGACCUUUAAUUCAAUAGGUCAGGGUCAUCUAAAUUUUACUAUGUUGAGAGGCAUGGUCAUUUGAAGUUGACCCUUGUAUGAACUCAUGUGAAAAUAUAGCUGAUAGAAAUGCUUUGAACUUGGUUUGGUGUUUAAGGUUCCUUACGACCCUAAACCAUAUAUGAUAUACUUACUACUCUUUGUAAAGGACCUUAACAUAUAUGCAAAACUUAGUACUAUUCAUCGGGUUCGGACCUAUACACAUACAGAGGAUGAUUUGAAUCUUUGGUUAGAAGUUGUUGGACGUUACAUAGAUUGUCCCACAUUUUUUUGGGUACUCAAAGAAUUGUGACAGAAAAUGGAAAACACUUCAAUUCUUGGCCGAAAGAAAAUGAAAAGUCCUCUGACAUUUCUUGAUCUGACACGUGUCCCUCCACUUUUAAUGCUCCGAGUACGUGUCUUCUCGUGAUUGGUUAAAAACCAUGACAGACUUUCAAGGCAAUGCUAACAUUUCUUUUCCAAAAUCUAUAUAUGUUCUUCCAUUUUUAAUUUACUUCCUUCACACCUUCUUCUAAGAACUUUCUUGUGAUUCUUCCGAGUUUCUAAUUUUACUGCAGUUUCAUCAAAGAUUACCACCUUUUUUACUAUCCUUUAACUUAAUUUAUCUAGAAUCCAUGACAUAAUUACAGCUAAAUAGGGGAGGGUGGGGGGACAAAGUCGACAAUAGAAAUAUUUAUUCAUGUGGAUUGUUACUUGAUAUUUUUUUUACAAGUGAUUAGAUUUAAUUUUUUAUCCUAAAAUAUUAACCCCCUUAAGUUUUAAACUAAAAAUUAUUUUAGUUCUGCAUAAAUGGAAAUAUUUAUUCAUGUGGACUGUUACUUGAUAUCUUUUUUUGAAUAAAAAUAGAGAGUGCACGCUACAUACAAUCAACUAUUAAAUGAAUGUGUGUUUUAAUACAUAUAUGGUGUUAGUAUAGGUAGAAAAAUAGAAUUACUAAUAAUGGAAGUGUGACUUUGACCAUUUAACUUUAUUUUUUUAAAAUGUCCACUUUUACUUGUCGAGUUCAAAAAUCAAGAAAUAAUUUAUCAAUUAGUUCUUGAUAAAUUGGACCUUCACCUUCAAGUUGAACAAAAGUUCAAGUAAUCAUCCCAACUUAACUAUUAAGAUUUAUUCCCUCUGGUCCAUAUUAAGUGAACUGUUAAGUUUUUUAUAUAGUUCAAAAUAAGUGAAUUUUCAAAGUUCAAGAUAAUUGUUAAUUGGAUUUUUUUCUUCAUAUUUAUUCUUUCUUUUAAUGAUGUUGUUAACUACUUUACAUUUUUUAGGAGAAUAGUUUAGGAAAAAUAAUAAUUAAAGAUAGCCUUUAAUAUUUGUCCUUAAUAUUUUUCUUUAAGAGGAGUGUUAUAUCCCAACAAUUCACUUAAUAAAGACUAGAGGAAGUACCAUUCAUUUCCCCAACAUAUUUGUCAAAAUAUUGAAUUAAUUAUAUUCAAACAAUGAUAUAGUAAAAUUACUCUUUUAUUUAUUGCUCGUUAAGGAAUGUGACAGGUGUGUACCAACUCAGAGAUGAAGAGUUAAAGCUCUUAAAUACUAAUUUUUUUUACUUAUAACAGCCUUUGCAUUUCAUAAGCUUUUAGGGUUUUGAUUUCUCCUUUUCCUUUCUUUUGAAUUUUUAAUUUUUCGUCUUCGUCUAGGAUUAACAGGAGACCGAGUUUAUUAAGUACUUAAUCUCCUCAGGUAUAUACCCAAAUUCAAUAAGGGCUUCCCAUGUUAAUUGAUAUACAUGUCCUCACGAUAUAUGAUGAUGAUUUAUCCCAUAUUUUUUUCUUAAAGUAGGAAGAUAUAUUCAUUUGUGUCAAAAGUAUUUUUAUUGUGUUUUUUUACUCUAUGUUAAUUUCAUGUUCUGCUUGAUUGUAUCGAUGAUAUGAGAGUCAUAUCCAUCACCCUUUGUGUCCACCGUGCCACGAAGGCACUGACGACCAAACUUGAAAAGGGCUACCUUAGAAAAAGCUGCCUACUUGUGGUAGAGUGAAAGAUACCUAGUAUGCAGUCGUCGAGGCUCUCCCACAUUAAUAUCUAGAUUUUACGGUGUGGAAGAGUCGAUACUUAGAGUCCCCAAAAUUUGUAUAAGAAAUUUAUUGUCGAUAUAUAUGAUCUUGGGAAAUGGAUAACUUUUGAGUCGAGUUAGGCGCAAAUGUUCAUUAAUAUUUUUGUAUGAUAAAAUGUAACAUGGAAGCAGAAUGUAUUAGUUGCUAUUUAUAAAUAGUUAAUCUAGAGUUGGGAGAUGGUUUAAACAAGACUCUCGGUGCAAUUAUAGUAGUGGCCGAAGGAGAUUCAAAAAAUAAUUUUUUGAGAUAAAUACUAGAAUGUAUACCUAAGAUUUAAAUAUAUGAUCUAAAACAAAAUACUAGAAUGUAUACCUAAGAUUUAAAUAUAUGAUUUAAAACAGAUUUUGAACCCCAUUUGCCACUACACUAGAAUGUAUUAUUAUUUUUUUGAGAAAAUAUUUUGACAAAAGGGAUAAUACUAGUGUAGUGGCAAAUGGGGUUCAAAAUCUGUUUUAGAUCAUAUAUUUAAAUCUUAGGUAUNNNNNNNNNNNNNNNNNNNNNNNNNNNNNNNNNNNNNNNNNNNNNNNNNNNNNNNNNNNNNNNNNNNNNNNNNNNNNNNNNNNNNNNNNNNNNNNNNNNNNNNNNNNNNNNNNNNNNNNNNNNNNNNNNNNNNNNNNNNNNNNNNNNNNNNNNNNNNNNNNNNNNNNNNNNNNNNNNNNNNNNNNNNNNNNNNNNNNNNNNNNNNNNNNNNNNNNNNNNNNNNNNNNNNNNNNNNNNNNNNNNNNNNNNNNNNNNNNNNNNNNNNNNNNNNNNNNNNNNNNNNNNNNNNNNNNNNNNACUCUAAGUAUCGACUCUUCCACACCGCAAAAUCUAGAUAUUAAUGUGGGAGAGCCUCGACGGCUCCACACUAGGUAUCUUUCACUCUACCAUAUAUAGGCAGCUUUUUCUGAGGUAGCCCUUUUCAAGUUUGGUCAUCAGAGCCUUCGUGGCACGGUGGACACGAAGGGUGAUGGAUAUGACUCUUAUAUCAUCGAUACAAUCAAGGAGAACAUGGAAUUAACAUAGAGUAAAUAAACACAAUAAAAAUACUUUUGACACAAAUGAAUAUAUCUUCCUACUUUAAGAAAAAAAUAUGGGAUAAAUCAUCAUCAUAUAUCAUGAGGGCAUGUAAAAUUAACAUGGGAAGCGCUUAUUGAAUUUGGGUAUAUACCUGAGGAGAUUAAGUACUUCAUAAACUCGGUCUCCUGUUAAUCCUAGACGAAGACGAAAAAUUAAAAAUUCAAAAGAAAAGGAAAAGGAGAAAUCAAAACCCUAAAAGCUUAUGAAAUGCAAAGGCUGUUAUAAGUAAAAAAAAUUAGUAUUUAAGAGCUUUAACUCUUCAUCUCUGAGUUGGUACACACCUGUCACAUUCCUUAACGAGCAAUAAAUAAAAGAGUAAUUUUACUAUAUCAUUGUUUGAAUAUAAUUAAUUCAAUAUUUUGACAAAUAUGUUGGGGAAAUGAAUGGUACUUCCUCUAGUCUUUAUUAAGUGAAUUGUUGGGAUAUAACACUCCUCUUAAAGAAAAAUAUUAAGGACAAAUAUUAAAGGCUAUUUUUAAUUAUUAUUAUUCCUAAACUAUUCUCCUAAAAAAUGUAAAGUAAUUAACAACAUUAUUAAAAGAAAGGAUAAAUAUGAAGAAAAAAAAUCCAAUUAAAAUUAUCUUGAACUUUGAAAAAUUCACUUAUUUUGAGCUAUAUAAAAAACUUAUGACAGUUCACUUAAUAUAGACUUGAGGGAAUAAAUCCUAAUAGUUAAGUUGGGCUGAUUACAUGAACUUUUGUUCAUCUUGUUGGUGAAGGUCCUAUUUAUAAAGAACAAAUUGAUAAAUUAUUUCUUGAUUUUUAAACUCGACAAGUAAAAGUGGACAUUUUAAAAAUUAAAGUUAAAUGGUCAAAGUCACACUUCCAUUAUCAGUAAUUCUUUUAUUUCUACCUAAACUAUCACCAUAUAUGUAUUAAAACACACAUUCAUUUAGGGUGUGUUUGGUAUGUUUUCCAAUUUUCUCAUGUUUGGUUGAGUUAAAUAUUUUGGAAAAUGUUUUCCAAAUCAACUCAUUUUCCUCAAAUUUAAAGAAAAUGACUUCCCUUCAAAACUUAAGGAAAAUAUUUUCCAAAACUCUCUUCCAACUUCAAAUUACAAUUAUUAUUUUUUGUUGAAAAAUCAAUUUAUUUUGUCCCUACCCUCAAACCAGCCCCCUUGCCCCUCCAUAAAAAAAUUUAAAGCUUAUUUUUUAAAAAUGUUUUUAACUUCAAUUUUUUCACCCCACNNNNNNNNNNNNNNNNNNNNNNNNNNNNNNNNNNNNNNNNNNNNNNNNNNNNNNNNNNNNNNNNNNNNNNNNNNNNNNNNNNNNNNNNNNNNNNNNNNNNNNNNNNNNNNNNNNNNNNNNNNNNNNNNNNNNNNNNNNNNNNNNNNNNNNNNNNNNNNNNNNNNNNNNNNNNNNNNNNNNNNNNNNNNNNNNNNNNNNNNNNNNNNNNNNNNNNNNNNNNNNNNNNNNNNNNNNNNNNNNNNNNNNNNNNNNNNNNNNNNNNNNNNNNNNNNNNNNNNNNNNNNNNNNNNNNNNNNNNNNNNNNNNNNNNNNNNNNNNNNNNNNNNNNNNNNNNNNNNNNNNNNNNNNNNNNNNNNNNNNNNNNNNNNNNNNNNNNNNNNNNNNNNNNNNNNNNNNNNNNNNNNNNNNNNNNNNNNNNNNNNNNNNNNNNNNNNUUAAAAAAUUCAGCUUCAAAAUUUCAUUUUUUCACCCCUACCCUCGACCCCCUACCAGCCUCCAAAAAAAUUAGGUUUAUUUUUAAAAAAUAUUUUCAACUUCAAUUUUUGAUUUUUUCACCCUUACCCUCGAUCUCCCCCCCCNNNCCCCCACCCCCCCCCCCCCCCUCGCCAACCCCCAUACCAGUUGUUUCCAAGUUUGUUAACAAGGUCUUGGUGCCCAGAAGUGAGAAGAGGAAUGUGGCUUCUGUAGCUGAUCUAUUUCUAAUGGAGCAAUUGGAUGAACUAGAAGUUGUAAGUCUUCCUAGCAUUAUGCUUGAACACAUACAUAGAGUUAUGACUUGGAAAAUUUCCAAACAUGACAUACCCUAUGGGUAUCUUUUGAAUCAUGUGUUUGAACACUUCGGAGUGCCCCUUGGCAGGGGAGUUUCUGGCAUUGUGAAACAAAUGUUCUCUCCGGCCUCACUUUUGGUGUGCGGGUGUGCUGAGGGAAAAGUCAAGGCUAAGUCUCAUGUGCCUGACCUUCUUGAGCAACAGGAAUCCCUCAAGCGUGAGCUAAAUGACUUCACAGUAACCUUGAGUGCUAAGGAGAUAGAAAUUGCACAACUUAAGGCACAACUGCAGCAGACUAUUUCACAGGGACCUGGUACCAGUACUGCGGAUAAAGAGGACGUAGAAUAGUUAAGAGAUGAGAAUGCAUAGCUGCUAAAGACAAAUGCCUCACUCAGUGAGGAAGUUCAGGCUCUUAAGAAGCAAAUCAUUCAGGCUCACGUCGAUGCUAAUAAUCACAUGACCCUAUUGUUACAAUCCUUCCCUCCCCAUCCCACUUCUUCCUAAAUGAGUCUGUUGUCCAAAUUUCGUAUGUAUUUCAGUGUCUAAGUUGUUUCCCCUGUUUUUAUCUUGUGGCAAAGUGUACUGUCUUUGGCCGAACUUUGUGGUCAGCAUAAGUGAUCUAACGAUAUCAUCUUUUUUUGCCCUGCUUAGUAUGCUUUUAUCUUCUCUAUUUUUGCUUACUUGCGCAUAUAAUGUGUGGCCCAUGGCCCUGACUUCCUAAUGUUUUGCAUGCAGCUCGUAUAAGUUUAUUGUCACUCUUUUUCAAUGAUGUCAAAAGGGGGAGUUGAUAAGUAAACUGUGUGUGAAAUUAAUGUAUAGUGACAUGGGGAAUAUUGAAAGGAGGAACUGAUACUUUGAAUGAAUGUUAACUCAUAUGAGGCAGUUCGUUUGGCAUCAUCAAAAAGAGGGAAAAUGAUAAGUCUUACUCUUUCCAGAUGUUUUGAUGAUCCUCACAAAUGUAGGGACCCGGUCCUCUGCAGAGUGUUCCGUCCGGGGCAAUGUGUUAUAAAACUUGAAAGUUGUCUUGUCAGAGGUUGGUGAGGUCGUCAGCGUACUGAACCAAUAAGACUGGACGAGGUUGUUUGUCCAAUGAUUAAUAAAUCUUUAUGGUUGAUAUAUUCAACAUGACAAACAACAUAUCAACUCAUUCAUUCAAAGAGAGAAAAUUCAAGCUUUAACAAAACAACAAAGGACCUUAUAGACUGAAGAUUUUCUUCAAAGAGAGAAAAUUCAAGCCUUAACAAAACAACAAGGGACCUCAUAGACUGAAGAUUUGCUUCUUGAGCCUGUUGUUAUUUUGAUUGCUUGUAUUUGUGCUUAACUUGUAGGAUUCAUUUCACUUCUAUUAGAAACGUUUCAAAACCUUGUGUGAAUCAUUGUAAGAACAUAGUUGAGGGAAACUUUGUGUCUUACGAUCUAAAGUUUAUAUUAAUCAGUGAGGGUUAGUAUAGUUGGCAAUGCAGGAAUUGCUUAGGUUCGUUAAGUAAUAGGUUGUAUUACUUAGUAUUGAUAUUAGGAGGUUAAUCUCAUUGUUUGGUUGUAAACUAUUUUUCGCUUUUGUUUGAGAAGAUCAGUGAAAACAGUUUGAAAAUCCUGUGAGACAUGUCGUGGUUUUACUCCCUAGAGCAAAGAGGUUUCUACGUAAAGUAUUGUGUGUUUUGCAUUUACUUUUGUGCAUCAUAACUAUCUUAAGGACCUGGUCCCAUCGUAGUUAGAGGACGCAUACAUUGUAACAAAUGGUUUCAGAGCUGCGACUUAUGUUUCUGGUUAACACCAAGAAAAAAAAGAUCCAGAAGGAAUGGCUUCUCCACCAAGUCUAAAGGAACGACAGUCUACCACCCGUCCACCCCCGCUUCAAUGGAUAAUUCUAUGGAUGGUGGAAGACAGGAAUGCAUGAUUAUAUCAAUGCAGAAGACACUAAUCUGUGGGACGUGAUUCUUGAUGGACCAUACAUUCCCACCAAGGACGUAAAAGAAGGAGAACUUACGAAGGUGAUUCCAAAAACCAAAAGAGAAUAUGAUGAGGCUGACUGGAAGAAAAUAGAGAAGAACUAUAAAGCCAAGAAGUUGCUAGUUUGUGGGAUUUGUCCAAAUGAAUACAACACGAUCUCUGCUUGCGAGGCUGCAAAAGAAAUUUGGGACUGUUUAAAAACAGCCCACGAAGGAACCACCCAAGUCAAGGAGUCUAAAGUAGACAUGUUAACAACCCAGUACGAGAACUUCAGCAUGAAGGAAGGUGAAACCAUUCAUGAGAUGCAUACAAGGUUCACUUCCAUCACAAAUGAACUAAGAUGCCUUGGUGAACCCAUUCACCCAAGCAAACAAGUUUGAAAGGUUCUCAGAGUUCUUCCCAAGUCUUGGUAAAGCAAAGUGAAUGAAAUCACUGAGGCUAGGGACCUAAAAGUCCUUACCAUGGAUGAACUGAUCGGAAACUUGUAGACCUACGAGCUGAACAGGCAGCAGGGUCCAUCGGUGAAGGAGGGAAACAGGGAGAAAUAUGUUGCAUUAAAACGGCUCAAGGUGAGAUUCUGUUUGUUUUUGGAGCAGCUGGGAUGAUACAGAAUCAAGAGGAGAUUCACCACCGAUUAUCAAAAAGAUAUACUAUCUAAAGCAUGAUUUGAUUAGAUAUGCAGAAGUUACUAACUUUGGCACCUGUCUCUCGAAGGAAAUCUACAAUGAGAGCCUUGUCUAUCCCCUUUCACAAAACAAGCAAGGAUUAAUCAACAAUCAAGGUUGCUUGAUUAAGGGACAUGUUCUCUAUUCUUUUCUUUUUGGCAUAUUCUAUGAAGCAACUUUUAGCAAAAAUAUUUUUAAGGAAAUAUGUCAUACCUCUAGUGUGAGGGACAUGAAAAUCAUACCAGGUGAACACACCAAUAAAGACUAGCCCUUGCUGGGAUUAUUGUUUGGCAUAUACUGUCUUCAUUGUUGGAAUAAUAAAAUAAGAGUCAUUGUAUCUAACUAUAGUGGUUUUCCUUAUUGCCAAUUGUUUGGUAUUUUUCUCGUCACUAUCCUUUCACUAUUUUAGUUAUUUAGCCUGUCAAAUGCUGAAAGUUCUUUCAGUUUGGCAGUAACAUUGACAUCUAUGUAAUUGGUUGAAGGAAAAAGCAAAUAAGAACAUAUUUAGAUGCUAUGAAAUACGAUCGUGUGAACAAAGUGAGCUAAACAGGGGAUUCUUGGAGAAAUAGCUUUGGUAUGACACUUUGUUAAUAAGAUCCUCUCUACUCUAGAGUGCAUGAAAGUGAAUUUUUUUCAUUUGUUAUUUCAAAAAAAAAAGUUCAUACUAGAAUUUGUUGUUAUCGUGUUCCUUAAUAGAGUGGAAAAAUAUUAUCUAAGUUGAAAUUCUUAAAGAAUUCUAUUACAUUCUGGUUGAUCUUCAAAAUUUAUGUAUCACCGAGUGAGAUAAAAAGCCAUGUCGUAUGUCAUUUUGUCACGACCCAAGCCUAGGGCCUAGACGUGACCGGCGAAUGGGGAACCCGAAGGAACCCCAAACAAGCCUCAUAGCAUAUCAUUACACAUCCUUGGUCGCGGAAGCAAUUAAAAUGACCAUAAGCGAUAAGCAUAAUCAAGGGUAAGUCGGGACUAAGGGAGCAAGAGAAAAAAGAGAAUGAUACAUAAAUACCAUAGAUGAGUCAAGCUCAAGCAUAAUACACAACUUGUCCAACACCACCUCUAAACAUGGUUACUUAGCAGGGGCCAAGACAAACUACCGGGCUCACCCUCAUAGUCAACACAUAACUAAAAAAAAAAGUCUUAUACAUAGCAAGAGAUCCUAAGCAACAUCCCCGAAAUGGAGGACUCACCAAUAACCUCGAUAGAAAAUCGUACUAGCCACGCGGAGGAGGAUGGUCAAGCGGUGCUCCGGUCCCUACAUGGUGACAUCAUGUAGGCAUAGAGUAUGCGUUAGUACAUUUGAAUGUACUAAGUAUAUGGGAUGCAAUGCAAUGCAACAAGGGAUGGACAUCAUAGGCAAAAUGCAUAAUCAUACCCGAUAGAUAGCACAUUAAUGAAAUGAUAUAUAUAAUGACGCUUACAUAAAAAUCAUAUUUAGUGGGACGUAGUACAUGUGUGGUGAGUGACAAUCAAUAUAAUACUUUCCAAGGCCUACCACCCCCUUGGAGAGGCGAAAGAGGUACAAACCCCUCAAUGUGGUUACCCGGGCCUACCACCCCCCGAGCUAGGGACCAAGGUACAAACCCCUCGAUAUGGUUAUACGGGCCUACUACCCCCCGUACUAGGCAACCAAGGUACCAACCCCUCGAUACGGUUAUACGGGCCUACUACCCCCCGUACUAGGCAACCAAGGUACCAACCCCUCGAUACGGUUAUACGGGCCUACUACCCCCCGUACUAGGCAACCAAGGUACCAACCCCUCGAUACGGUUAUACGGGCCUACUACCCCCCGUACUAGGCAACCAAGGUACCAACCCCUCGAUACGGUUAUACGGGCCUACUACCCCCCGUACUAGGCAACCAAGGUACCAACCCCUCGAUACGGUUAUACGGGCCUACUACCCCCCGUACUAGGCAACCAAGGUACCAACCCCUCGAUACGGUUAUACGGGCCUACUACCCCCCGUACUAGGCUUGGUCGACUCACAACACAUAUAUAGAGAAAAUCAUAUAUAUGUGUCCAUUUCAUCAUCAUUUCAAUAAUUAUAUAACCAUCCGACUCAUAGGACGUAUAUUGGACCUUCCAUUUCCUAAGAAUUCUAUAAAUGGGCAUUUUAUCAAACACAUGGUGGGCUGCUGUUUAGGUAAAUAAAAUCAUGUAUUUCAAGAGUACUAAGUCCAACCAAAUUCCAAAAUCCAUAUAAAUCAGCCCACCAACAACAUACAUAUAUAUAUAUCAACCUUCAUAAUUUGAUCGUGGAAGCAUGAAAACCAUAAACAUCACAUAAUAAUUCCAUUUCAUGAUAAUAUGCAAAAUAGACCAUAUUAGCAUGUGUAGUAGUAAUUUCAUACUUCAAGAGUUCAUAAAUAACCAUAAGGACCCAUAAACUUGAAGUAGAAAUAGAGGAUAAAUGGUUGGACUUGUGGAAAGGAAAGUUUCCUCAAUCAAACCUACAUACCUCAACUUUGGAGAAUCCUUGAUGGAGAUUGAAAUGGAGAAUUGAAGCUUGAGAUUGAGUCUUGAAUCCGGAAUUAGAGCUUGAGAUGCUUGAAUUUGAUUGAGGAUCUUGGUGGAGUUUUGGAGAGGGCUUACAGAGUGUUUUUGAAGUUAAAAAUAACUAAGUAUGGGACAUAUCCCCUUUUUAUAAAAAAACGUCUCCAACACUUAGCCUCACAAAAAAAAAUAGCUCACUGGAAAUUGCAAAUCUGCACNNNNNNNNNNNNNNNNNNNNNNNNNNNNNNNNNNNNNNNNNNNNNNNNNNNNNNNNNNNNNNNNNNNNNNNNNNNNNNNNNNNNNNNNNNNNNNNNNNNNCAUACCACCAACACCUUGGGCCCUUGGAAUGUCAUUGACAAACCCCUUAUGGGGCGCAUGAGAAGACCCUUGCCCUUGAUGAAACCGGCCUCCCCUUCGACUUUGGAACUUUCCCUCAAAACGGGCCCUCUUGGCCUCAUGACCCCUUCUCUUCCUCAACNNNNNNNNNNNNNNNNNNNNNNNNNNNNNNNNNNNNNNNNNNNNNNNNNNNNNNNNNNNNNNNNNNNNNNNNNNNNNNNNNNNNNNNNNNNNNNNNNNNNNNNNNNNNNNNNNNNNNNNNNNNNNNNNNNNNNNNNNNNNNNNNNNNNNNNNNNNNNNNNNNNNNNNNNNNNNNNNNNNNNNNNNNNNNNNNNNNNNNNNNNNNNNNNNNNNNNNNNNNNNNNNNNNNNNNNNNNNNNNNNNNNNNNNNNNNNNNNNNNNNNNNNNNNNNNNNNNNNNNNNNNNNNNNNNNNNNNNNNNNNNNNNNNNNNNNNNNNNNNNNNNNNNNNNNNNNNNNNNNNNNNNNNNNNNNNNNNNNNNNNNNNNNNNNNNNNNNNNNNNNNNNNNNNNNNNNNNNNNNNNNNNNNNNNNNNNNNNNNNNNNNNNNNNNNNNNNNNNNNNNNNNNNNNNNNNNNNNNNNNNNNNNNNNNNNNNNNNNNNNNNNNNNNNNNNNNNNNNNNNNNNNNNNNNNNNNNNNNNNNNNNNNNNNNNNNNNNNNNNNNNNNNNNNNNNNNNNNNNNNNNNNNNNNNNNNNNNNNNNNNNNNNNNNNNNNNNNNNNNNNNNNNNNNNNNNNNNNNNNNNNNNNNNNNNNNNNNNNNNNNNNNNNNNNNNNNNNNNNNNNNNNNNNNNNNNNNNNNNNNNNNNNNNNNNNNNNNNNNNNNNNNNNNNNNNNNNNNNNNNNNNNNNNNNNNNNNNNNNNNNNNNNNNNNNNNNNNNNNNNNNNNNNNNNNNNNNNNNNNNNNNNNNNNNNNNNNNNNNNNNNNNNNNNNNNNNNNNNNNNNNNNNNNNNNNNNNNNNNNNNNNNNNNNNNNNNNNNNNNNNNNNNNNNNNNNNNNNNNNNNNNNNNNNNNNNNNNNNNNNNNNNNNNNNNNNNNNNNNNNNNNNNNNNNNNNNNNNNNNNNNNNNNNNNNNNNNNNNNNNNNNNNNNNNNNNNNNNNNNNNNNNNNNNNNNNNNNNNNNNNNNNNNNNNNNNNNNNNNNNNNNNNNNNNNNNNNNNNNNNNNNNNNNNNNNNNNNNNNNNNNNNNNNNNNNNNNNNNNNNNNNNNNNNNNNNNNNNNNNNNNNNNNNNNNNNNNNNNNNNNNNNNNNNNNNNNNNNNNNNNNNNNNNNNNNNNNNACAAAAAAAAAGGAAUGAUACAUAAAUACCAUAGAUGAGUCAAGCUCAAGCAUAAUACACAACUUGUCCAACACCACCUCUAAACAUGAGUACUUAGCGGGGGCCAAGACAAACUACCGGGCUCACCCUCAUAGUCAAAACAUAACUAAAAGGAAAAGUCUUAUACAUAGCAAAAGAUCAUAAGCAACGUCCCCGGAAUGGAGGACUUACCAAUAACCUCGAUAGAAAAAUCGUACUAGCCACGCGAAGGGGGAUGGUCAAGCGGUGCUCCGGUCCCUACAUGGUGACAUCAUGUAGGCAUAAAGUAUGCAUUAGUACGUUUGAAUGUACUAAGUAUAUGGGAUGCAAUGCAAUGUAACAACAGAUGGACAUUAUAGGCAAAAUGCAUAAUCAUACCCGAUAGAUAGCAUAUUAAUGAGAUGAUAUGUAUAAUGAUGCUUACAUAAAAAAAAUUCAUAGUUAGUGGGGCGUAGUACAUGUGUGGCGAGUGACCAUCAAUAUAGUAUUUCCAAGGCCUACCACCCCCUUGGAGAGGCGAAAGAGGUACAAACCCCUCAAUGUGGUUACCCGGGCCUACCACCCCCCGAGCUAGGGACCAAGGUACAAACCCCUCGAUAUGGUUAUACGGGCCUACUACCCCCCGUACUAGGCAAUCAAGGUACCAACCCCUCAUACUAGGCUUGGUCGACUCACAACACUUAUAUAGAGAAAAUCAUAUACAUGUGUCCAUUUCAUCAUCAUUUCAGUAAUUAUAUAGCCAUCCGACUCAUAGGACGUACAUUGGACCUUCCAUUUCCUAAGAAUUCUAUAAAUGGGCAUUUUAUCAAACACAUGGUGGGCAGCUGUUUAUGUAAAUGAAAUCAUGUACUUCAAGAGUACUAAGUCCAACCAAUUCCGAAAUACAUAUAAAUCAGCCCACCAACAACAUACAUAUAUAUAUCAACCUUCAUAAUUUGAUCAUGGAAGCAUGAAAACCAUAAACAUCACAUAAUAAUUCCAUUUCAUGAAAAAUGACUAAGUAUGGGACAUAUCCCCUUUUUAUAAAAAAACGUCCACAACACUUAGCCUCGAAAAAAAAAAAUAGCUCACUAGGUGAACAGUAAUGAACAGUAAAAUUAGCUACUGGAAAUUGUCUUUUUCUGCCGGACAGAUUUUACGAAAAUGGGCAUAAUUUCUUCGUCCGAACUCCGAAUGAGGUGAAACGAAGUGCGUUAGGUAGCUAACUCAAAGGGCUUUCCAUGGAUAUAUUAUUGGCCACCCAAUUAAUUUGUGUUCUAGGAGAUAUGACCCUCCCAAGUAGACCCUCGAAAAAGGCUUCACUUGGAAAUUUUGGAUUUUGAUACGGUUGCUCUAAAAUUCGGGUUAGACCCAUUCCCCACUCAAUUUGACCCCAUGAAUAAGAAUAUGAAGUCGAAUUUCCGAAAUCAUGCACAGAUUUUGAGAUACAUGGAAAUUACAAUUAUAGGUAUUUCCGAAGCACAUUUUCGGGCAUUUUUGGGGUCGUUUCACGUUUCAAAUGAAGCUCUAUUUGACACGAUGAUCAAGUCAAUGUAGCAAGGCAAAUAAGAUAAAUAAAAUCUGCUAAUCCAUGCAAAAACAAUGUCAUCAAUCUUACUCUUCAUAAAAAAAAAUGUCAUUAGUUUGACAAAUAACGUGUAGUAUUUACUAAUACUUUUGUUUUAGACUAGUUUAUUUUUUAUUGAUAUUUAAACAAUAACAACAUCACUCAUAAUUGAAGUAUUUGUAAUCUUCAAGAACAAUAAUUUCUCAGGGUAAAUGGGAAAGAUUAUUAAUUUUUGCCUUGAACUUCUAAAACUAUUCAUUUUACUUGUCAUGUUUUUUUUGUGUCCCUUAAAAAAACAUUAACUAAAAAGGUAACUUGACUAAAAUAUCCUUAUUUUGAUCUCAUUUAAUAUUACUACUAUUUUUCUCACCACGUUAAUCUCUCUCCACAAUACUUUAAGUGUGUUUACUAAAAUAGUUGAUUGUGAAAAAUACACUUAAAAUAUUCCAAUUUUUUUAGUUUCCAUAUGAGUAAUUAGUUCUAGUGGUAAACUAUGAAAAAAAUAAUCAUCUUUUCUUGAUAAGUUAAAAGUAACAAUCAAAACUGAAAAUCUAUUUUACAAAUAGUAGACAAGUAAAAGUGAACGAAGAGAGAAUUUUUUUUAAAAUCGCGAGAGAUAAUUUAAGAUUAAGUGAGUAUUUUUGGAGGAUUAAAUCCGAAAUAAUCCACAGUAGAUUUAGUACAAUUUGGGGGAAAUUCAUUUAACGGGUAAAAACGUGUAGGAAACCUAAGAAUCUCCCACAAUUACAAAGCAACACGAUCAAACCUUCUUCUCCAAAAGCUAAAAAAAUUCUGCAACCAAAACGGAGUCGGAGGGAAAUGAAAACACCCAUCAAUCCCAAAACGUAGCAAACCCAUUAACCACCAUUAUCAUGUUACAUGUCAAAUAUAGGUGAGACUUUGCUUGUUUAUGGAGCACCUAAAGUGAUACAGAAUCAAGAGGAUACACCAUCUGUUAUCAAAAAGAUAUGCGAUGAUCUGAUUAGAGAUGUAGAGGUUACUAACUUUGGUGCCCGUUUGUCAAAUGAAAUCAACAUUGAAACCCUUGUCAGUCUGCUUUCACAAAACCAACAAGAAUUAAGCAACAAUGAAGGAUGCAGAUGCUCAGAUGAAUUACAAUUGUGUAACUAAUAAUUUGUAAGUUUCCACUUAAUACAUGUAUCGCAAGUGCAGUUCAAUUCUUCUUCUAUUGUCAAAUUUGCAUUGCAUGUUUAAGGUUCUUUUGGAGACAUCCUCUACCUUCUAAAAGGUAGGGGUAAAGUCUGCAUACAUAAUUCUCUCCACUUGUGAGAAUACACUAUGUUUGUUGUUCCUACAUUGCAUGUUUAAGGUACAUUGUCACACAAGGUCUGCUUGAGAUCUUCUCUAGUCCUUUUUCUUUUUGCAUAUUCUAUGAAACAACUUUUCUUAGAACAUUUAUUUGGUUGUAGAAUUUGGUGUCUUCCAAACUCAAAAAAAUUAAAUAAAGUUGGAAAUUGAUUCUCUUUUCAAGCUGCAUUUUAAGGGAACGAGACAUAUCUUUAGUGUGAGUGACAUGAAAAUCAUGUCGGGUGAAUGCUCCAAUAAAACUACGCAUAGCCAUUGCCGGGAUUAUUGUUUGAUGUAGGAUCUUCAUUACUAGUGCUCUUUAAAAUACUGUUACUAUGGUAAAGGAAUCAUGGAAUAAGAGUCUUUGUCUAGUAUAGUAUGUAACUUCAGUUGUUUUCUUUGUUGCUAAUAUCUUACUAUAUUUUCUUAAUUUUAUUUAUUUGGUCUGUCAAAUGCCAAGAGUUCUUUCAGUUUAGCAGUAACUCGAAUCUGCAAACUUGGUUUGAUGGAAAAAGCAAUUGAGAAAAUAUUUGGAUGCUAAGAAUUAUGGUCAUGAGACUAGUGUGGGAGGUUACGUACCAGUAUUUGAAUGACAGUGAAAAUGUUUAUCUCUGUUAUUUCUAACAAAAAGGUUCCUACUAUAAUUUGUUCUUAUCUUGUUCCUUAGUAGAGUGGUAAAUUGUAUGUAUCACCAACUGAAAUGAAAAGCCUCGUCUAAUGUCGUUUCAAAUGAAACUUUUAUUUGUUAUUUGCAGCCUACUCGUAGUUUUUUUUACAUCAUAUGACAUGUAUUCCUUCACCCUAUACCCUACAGAGUUUUCAUACCAUUCUAUCUAUGGUCCAUUUGGACACAACGUAACCAGUUCAUUUUUUAACAAAAACCAUUGUUCAUUAAUUACUCUGAUAUUAAAUAUCUAGCAUGUCCAACCAAGUUAGGACAAUCUAAAAUUCCCAUCUGUGACAUAGGAACCCCCCAGGAAACUAUUUACAUGGUCAAUACAGAUGCAAGGGUGGACAAUAACAUGAAUUUUAUAGGAACGGGAGUAUUAAGGAUAGGAGCGGACAAUGGAAUUUAGGAUUUACUUCUUCGAUUUCAAUUACAAAAAUGUUUUCUAAGCUGAAUUACUCACUUUCUUACAUGGAUUGACUAUAACUUUUAUUCAUAAUUUACAGCCCCUGCAAGUUAAUAUUGAUGCCCAGGAAGUAGUUGUCACUUUAUAACACUAACUUGUACAACUCUUCAAUUUUGGAUGAUUGCAGGUGCCUCUUCCAGAGUGUGAGUAUUCCAAAGGUGAUCCUUAUCUACGGAGAAUAGAACAAACUAGUUGAUAGCUUAGCAUCAAUGGCCACCACCAUGUAGGAAUCUCCUUUCUAAAGCCUUUUUUCUGGACACUCGUGCAUCUUUGGAAGAUAUUUUGAGCGGGGACAAAAAUGAAGUUAUGUCUGUUAGGAGGGUUAAUGCAUUGACAUUCAACCCUACUUAAUUCUAUGUGUAAUAUUAGCAUAAAUGGUGGCACAACCACAAAUGGGUAACUCAUUACCCAUUUUUGGUAGUAUAAUAUGUUGGAUGUGGAUUUGUACGGUUACUGCUCAUAGAUAUUAUGUUCUAUAUUUCGAAUACUAACUGUUAAAAUCUUCAGAUGCAACGGUUGUGUUUCACCGAGGGAAGAUGAAAACCAUUGUUUAAUGCAUUUCAGUUGUUGAUCUAUUCAUCAUGUUAUCAACUAUCUAUUGUUAUGUUAUGAAAAAGUGACUCUAGCUAAGAAAUGGAAACAGGAAAAGGUAGUUAAUCUUGAAUGACAGGUCAAGAUCAGCCUCGUGAAAACCUUAACGAUGUCAAUAGUUUAACAUAACCAUUGAUUGAUAUUAGUGGUUUUACUAUUGAUUUGCAUAUAGCUAUAGCCUAUACAAUUGUGGAAGCAAGGGAGAGAAUCCAAAUGGGUGUGCGUGCUCAAUGUUGCAUGUCGGAUCUUCAUACUCUGAUUCGCACCCGUGGACAGUUUUUAAGUCUAAGUAACAUAGUGUUUGUGUCUGGGAAAUUCUUGUGAGUUGUAUUUGCUUUAGUAAGAGAUACAACCCAAACAUUUUAACCUGCCUAAUUUCAACUGCUAUGGUUUAAAUUCUUAAACAUUUUCAAGGUCACUGAGUCGGGCUCAUUUUGACCUGCCUAAUUUCUUAAGAAAAGAGGUAGAAAAUUGAUGCCCCAUAAGUUCGUAAAUCUGUGAUUGGCCCUGGUCCCUUGGACAUUGUUCACUUCGACUAAGGUUAAAAGCCUAAUUGUUAAGGGUGGUUAACUUGGAAAAUACCUUAAUAAUGGCCCUGGUCCUUACAAGGACAAUGUGCACCUUAACUCGAGAGAAAUUUGUAAGUUGAGGGUGGCUAUUGUUAAGUGUCAAAUAAAUAAAUAAAUAAAUAUAUAUAUAUAUAUAAGGGCAAGGUUGGAAGUACUAGCGGGAAAAUAUGCAGAGAGGGGGGCCAAAGAAAGGAAAAAGUUGGGAAUGUAGCAAGAAAAUCGAAACAUGUGCAUUAGGGAGGAUAAGUCACUAAUUUUAUCUAAAUGUAUCCUCCCUUACCUCAAGCUUACACUACAACCCAUAAAGUCCUAUUUGAUUUUAGGCAAAGCACGCUUAAUUAGUGGAGAUGUACAUAAAGGGCAAGAUUAUGGUUCUCAAUGCAUGCAUAUAUGAUGUCUUUGUUGAGUGAGAGCGUACUAUGUUUGCAAAGUCCUUAAACUAUAUUCAAUGUGUUGUGUUGAGUGUACGGACUAUUCUGUUGAGUGAGGGGCACUUUUUGUAUGAAAGAUACGUGAUGAGUAAUGGUGCACAUGAAGUUGUAUGCGUUGGUUGCAAAAAGUUGUCAAGUCAAUAACAUGAGUUGUAUGAUGUAUGAAAGUGGGCAAGGCCUAUUUUGAGUGAAAACAUGCUUCUUCAAACUGAUUACAGAUCCUUGAAAGGAAGUGGCGGAUGCACAAAUACCAUAGUAUGAAGUCUAGGUCUAGGAUUAAUUAGUAAGUUGUUCGAGGACGAACAAAGCUCUAAGUGUGGGUAGUGAUCUUAGGCAUAUUUUCCGUUUGCAGGGAUAGUUUUCAAGGAUGUAGUUUAGGUUGUGAAUAUAACGUAGGGAUAAUUUUGGCCAAAACCUCGAAAAAUUACAUAUGUAUGAAGGCAGACAGACAUACAUAAAUAAAGUUCCCUUGAACAUUUCAUUGUAUUUUGAUUAUUAUCGAUCCACUCCAAAAAAGCAAAUUAUUCCCUACACAAAUUCAAACUAAAGAGACAAGUAACAAAGUAUCAAUAGCUGCAUUUGUUGGUUCAUAAAUCAUAUUAUCUAUUCAGUUGAUCUACAUCUUCUUUCAGUUCAUUGGUGAUAAUAAUGUUUCAAAGACACUACUUCCAAUUCUAAGUGUCAACGAUCGUAAAUCAAUAUAAAACCCAAAUAAAUGAGUUGGGGUCGAAUCCCACAGGGAGCGAUAUGUGUUUCAGAUUCGAUUGGGAAGUAUAAAUGUGGUCAAAUCAGUGAUAGGAAUAAAAAUUAUCGAAUAAAGACAUCAUUCAAGUUAAAGGUUGACACUAAUGUCAAAUUGGGCGGGGGGGGGGGGUUGUUUUAGAUUAUCAGCUAAAAGAAGUCACAAAAACUAGAAAUUAACAAUAAUGAGACGGAUUCUUGGGAUGUGAUCGAUUAUAGGAAAAUGUAGACAUAUGGGUUAUUGCAACUAUUAGAAAAUAGCUAGAUAUUAGAGAGUAGGCUACACUAUAACAGAGGUAUUUUUCUCUCGAACAAUUACCCCGAAUCUUGUGAUUUCUUUCAAACAUCAACAAGCAAUACAAUUAAGAGCAGCCCACACCUUAAUCCAUUCACUCUCUCGAGCUGAAUGUGUGGGAUAGGGAUUAGGAUUUACACUCUCGAGCUAAACCCAGGUCAACCCAAUACCCACAAAUCAUCGGUCAAUAAUUUUAGUUCUAAAACCUCUCUCUCGAGCAAGCCAAGAACACAAACAUAGAACUGCAUUUUCAACUUCAAUUCUUUAAAUUAAACCACAAUUAAUGAUUAAACUCACUUUUAAAUAGAAUUUAAACUAACAAUUAGCAAUACCCAUAAACUAAAUCAACCCAUAAUCAGAUGAUCACACCCCAAGAAUUGGGGUUUUAGCUAGACAUUAAAAAAAGGUAAAAACAGUUACCAAAUUGAUUCUCCAUUAACUGGGUAAGAGUAAUUUCGUCCUUACAAUGGUCCAAUUUGAUGAAUCUCAAAGAACCACUUCUAAUUUGUCAAAAGUGAAUUUUCUUCAAUCCUUCAAAGCUAAGGAAAAUCUAGAGAGAAAUGUUCUAAGAGUUCUGAUAGAAAAAUAAUAAUGAAAAUUAUAUCCCAGAUUACUUGAUUAAUUUCUAAACUAAAUGUUCAAAAUCCUACUUAUAGUUGCCAAAAAUAUGCUGCGAAAGCCCAUUUAGCGAAAUAAGUCGGGCUCUCCGAACCACUCGGCUAGCCGCCCUUUGACCUCUUCCAUCGCCUUUUCGCCUUGUCAUUCAGCAUCCUUGGGUUCGGUAACUCUAAGAGAACUAUCACUGUAUCGUAGAAUUACUCGGCGAUUCGUCGACUACUCCUCUUGUCGCCGAUUUGGCUUCUUCCCUCAAAGCUAGCACACUGGAACUUUAGGCGGUGGAACUUGCCCUUCGGCGACACCAAACGCUCUUGGCGAUCACUAGGCUUUCCUUUCUUUAAUUCUUCAUUUUGUUUUGUUCCUUUUUGCAUGCUAGUGUCCUUGCUUUGUUCCUCAAUGCAUGUACAUGAAAAUCAAGGAUUUUUCAUCAGUUUAAGGCACAAAUUAAGCAUUUGAGGACACUAAAUCUAUAUAAACAAAGCCCUAAAUGAGUCCAAAUCUCGGACUCAUCAACACCCCCAACUUAAAUUUUUGCUUGCGUUAAGUAAAACUCAAGUUCAGCAUUUCAAAAAGGAUGUCUCAAAUAGUGCUACAUAAGACUCAAUCUUGAAUGCACACGACAAGACUCAACUUACUUAUGCAAGAAUCAAUUGUGCACUUAAAGAUUCAAGUUGUGACUCACCAUUACCAAAGAUUCUCAAGCUCACAAUACUCGCUUCACAUGCAAGUUCAUGAGCAACAAAGGUACUCAAAUGCCCUCACAACAAAGAUGAUUCCAUACUCACACACAAUUUCUCAACAAUAUAUAGUUUUGGAAUCACAUACAACUCUCACACUAACAAAAAUGAACAGAUGCAUGGCUGCACUCGUGAUCAAAAAGGUCUUUUCAAGGCUUGUAACGGGGCUGAGUGUAAAGGUAUGGUCAUUUAGGCUUAGUUGUUGCUACCCUCAUGAAAUUUGGUCUGAACAUCAUUUUUCUUCCUUUUCUUCAGCAUUUUAAUCAUGCUCAAAAUUCACCCCAUUAUUCGACUUUCAAUGGAUUACGGAACACCCCAUUUCUUUUUGCAACUUUCACAACUUUUUCAUUCUUUUUCUUUUGCUUUCUUUUUUUCUUUUUUUUUUUAUAUGGAGGGGUUUCAUCUUUUUCAAGAUCAUGGAUCAAUGGGGAAUUCUUCACACUUCCUGAUUUACCUUGUCUUUUCACCACACCCCCAACUUAGGCUUUUGGCCUAUGUUGGCUAUUCAAACAAACCACACUUCACGAGAUUUAUAGGUGAGUGUAUAAAGAGGGGUCACAAUUGUUCAAGUUUCUUCCGAGAAAAAGGAUAAAGCUUACAGGGGUUCAAGUAAGGUUCACACAACUCACAAGGUUGGCCACAAAAAGAGGUAUAUUGUCAAAUUAUUUCACUCAUCAAAUUGUUGCCUAAGAUCAUUUAAAGAGCUUGCAUCAUUUAGUCAACUGGACCAACGGGGCAAAUUCUAGGUGUCACCACACACAAUACUCAAGGUAAGCUCAUCACACAAGGCAUAGGCACCAAUAUCAAAUAAGACUCAUUCGAGCUAGUGUGCAAUAUUCAUCACAAGAGACUCUAUUUGAUAACCGGCUAAUCACAACGAGUUGCAAAAAGUUCACAUAUUGUUUAUGCAACUUCAUUUGGCCUCAUCGUAGCUGCACAUUCAUUUUGUUCGAUUAAGAGCACUAUUCAAGUCAUCGGUAUUGAUCAGAACCGAUACACAAAUUUGCACAAGAACGAACACAUUCACACACAACAAGAGGUGGUAAAAAAUUUCAGAUGGGUCAAAAGCCAUUUUCAUUCAAAACAAGAAGCCACAAGCUAAAAUAUCCACAAGAUAUAAUCAACACAUCAUUUAAAACACAAAACCCCAAUAUAUAUACAUAAAAUGUAAUCAAAAGAGGUAGCUAUGAAAAUACAUCACCCCACCCACAAAAGAAAAGCAGUUGUCCUCAAAUGUAACUAAAACAGAAAAAGCAUAAAAGCAACAAAGAUGGAGGUCAAUAAUGAUCCUGUCUACUCAGUCGCUCCAUCUGUCGGGGCAUCAGUGCCUAGUGUAACACUCUAGUCUUGGGCAUCAGUGCCCGGGGUAAUAGCAACAUUGACUCCACUAGAGCCUGCCAUGGACGAAUCUACCAUUGAAAUUUGCACGACUGAAUGCACCAUAGCCUCCUGAACCUCUGUCAGACCCUCAUAUGUGGUAUCCUCUUGGAGAUCGAGCUACUCCUUAUCAGUCUCUACCUGGGGGAAACAGCCACCUCAUCAGCUCGAACCUCAUCUCCGGUGGUGGUCGGAGGCACAUCAGAAUCACUUAGUAUAUCAGGGAUCUCCACGAUCUCAAAAAUCAUCGACAUAUCUGUGGACUUCAGCUGGUCCAUAUGCUUUCUCAACUCUGCAAUCGCAGCCUUUAGGGACGUCACCUCACUAGUAGCUCCCUGACCUUUCUCACACACCUAUAUCCUUGCCGCAAGGGCAUCAAUGGACUCUCUGAAAUGUGUCACAGCAGCAAUAAAAGCUCUCUCAAUUAUCCCAGGGAUUGUAGCCUCUAGCCUGGAUGCACGCCUAUCAGCCGCAUGGACUAGAUGUCUCAUCCGUAGUACUGCAGCCUGGGUAAGUGGAGGUCGGGAGGCAGCAGCACUAGUAACAUACCUAGGAGGCAGGGGUGCUAUAGAAGAACUCAGAGUCAUAGAAGGGGCAGAGCUAGAGAUACUUAAAGGCCUAGAGGCCGGAGUAGGCAAUAAUGCCUCUGCAGGUAAGGUCUCAAUGUCCACAGUCGGGGAUGAGUCCACCGAGGUUGCCUUUUACUUUUUAGCCUCAUCUUUCAAGUACUCAACCUCAAUGCGCCGGAUGUCGCUAAAGGAGGUGGGAAUCACUUCCACAUUCUUUUUCUCAUCUCGGGACACUCGGGCUUGCCUGCACAACUCGGUGAUCAAUACCAAGAAUGAAAGCGAUGUAUGGCGCUGCCUAGCCCUCAUGGCCAUCUCCUAUCUAAUGAUCAUGCCUAAAUUCAUCUUCUUCUCAUCAAUGAUGGAACCAAGACAGGACGCCUUCAUGUGGCGGAGGAUAGACUCAUUCUGGGACGACAUUAUUGUGCUGCUGAUGAAGCCGAACCAGUACCUUGCUGCUACACUUAGAUCUUUCUUCUCUAUAGGGGCUCCGAUUUAGAUACACCUAGGACUACCGUUAGAUAAAAGAGGGGCUAACCAGCUUUUCAUAGUCUCCAAGGAUUUUGUCUUUAUUAUGUGUUGGUAGUCAUCCGCAAUGUUGUUGGUUCACUCCAAUACUGCAUCGAUAUCAUCACUGUCACAUUUCACUUUCCUACCCCUGACAACCACAUAAUCUACUGGCUUGAAGGCAAUAACCUUCCUCUUCCCUUGUGGCUCCAAAGCUCUGUAGGUUGUGUAACACUCCCGGACCCAAUUAGGAAUAUAAGGACCCCGAGGUUUAGUAAAAAUCUGGAACUUGUGGGAUUCAAGGUGUUCCAAAUCUCUGUGUAUCGGUCUAUCACCCCAUCUAUAGAUAGCCUAUUUUCCUCAAUGAUAGUCCUCAGUCCCUCGGCCUUAAGUCUGUUGAGAGACCGGGGAGGAGGACCCUUUGCAGGAGGUGAUGGGACCACAACUUGGUCUGGAACAGGAGGAGGAGUAGUUGCCUGGGGUACCCAGAUCCUAGACGGAUCAUUCAACCUCUUGGAGCGUAUUUCGCCUCUCCAGGCAUGUAGCAGCUGAUCAUCCUAAGGCUCGGAAAUGUCAGCCUGAGGGUCUUGGUGCUCUCCCUCACUCUCAGAGGUGGUGAGGUAAGUAGUGUAAACUCCCUCUCUAUCAGAGCUGACCUCCGGUGAUUCAGCAGUUGAUGCCUUACCCUUUCCUUUACGCUUACCACUUGUGGUAGGAAGUUUUGUUGCUUUUGCUUUAUUGAUAGUGAGUCUCUUUCCCCGCUUGUGGGGCGGCAUGUCUCGUCCUACUACUUUUGGUUUAGCCAUAUCUGCAAAACACACCGAAAAGAGUUAGAAACAAUCCAAGAACAAUUUAUCAAACAGGUUGCAAAAAGACUUCUUGAACAGAUCGGUGAGUCGCCCAAUCAUUUUAGCGAGCCAGGUCGAGCUGGCCGACAGGACUAGCCUGAAUUUUUUUUAGAAAAUGGCCAGUUGGCGUUGUUUAGGGCCAUUCGGCGAAUCGCCGACCUUACUCGGCGAGCUCAGACAUCCCGUCGAAAUUAACAGUGUGUUUUAGGGGUUGGGGGCAUAGAAAGGGCGAUCAAGGGAGACUUUCAUCAAGUCAUCGAGUCAACUCAGCGAGCUCAGGCUCUUCGCCGAAAGUUACAGACUCCAUUCUAGCCAAAACACAAAAUUAAAGGCGAUCAAAGGAAACGUUGGCGAAUCGCCGAACGAUUCGGCGAGCUCAACCCAGCUCGCCAAAUUGCCCAACGUGCCAAAUUUCAACCCCGUUUCCCAAAUUCAAGCCCGCAGCCCCCAAAAACAAAAUCAAACUACAAACUUAUGUAACUAAGCCCAGACCCAUUCAACCCAUGCCAUUGGGGUACUCAGACUUUCCCACGUUAUGCUAAAAUUUACCAUAUAACGACUUUUCCCCUUAAGAUUGACGUCAAAUGCUUCAUCAUUAGGCAAUGUAUGUCAUUUAGCACAAUUGGGGUUACUCAGACUUCACCAGACUAGACCCAACAACAAUGUAUCGCAAUCCAACAAUUUAUGAUUAAUUUUGAACCAUGAAACUCGAGAAAUCAACCAUCUAAGCAAUUAACCAGAAUUGCGAAACUACGAUAGGCAAACUAGCACAACACUAUGAUUUCAGUACAAGCCCAGCACACAACAACAAGCUUUAAACAAGCGCAUUUGAGUUCAACCACUAUUCAAGAAUUUGGGGUUUGGAAAACCAACCUUAAGCCGAAAUAAUAGUUUGAAACGCUAGGUUGCAAUGUAAUCAAACUCCGAGCACAAGAUCAAGAGCAAAAAGUGAUAAAAAUCGGAAAAUAUGUAAACUAUAGAGUGUGGCUGCAAGUGUACGAGGCUAAAAAUGAAGGAAUAUGAAAGAUUUUGAAAGUUUAAACCGCUUGGCCUUUUAAAACCUUUCAGUUGAAGGCCCUUUCGGCAGUAUUAGUCAUCCUCGCCGAAUGACUCGGUGAUGCACCGAGUGGUGACGUACCUCGCUGAUUUUUAUAGGACCACCAGUCAACUUUGGGGUCCAAACGACGGACAAAGUCGAACCUGCCGACCUGUUCGACGAGUCACCGACUCAUCCAUGGGGCCGCCGAGUUUUACAGACUUUGACCUGCUAUUUUUAUGACUCCAAUGACGGUCCAAGUCGAGAUUGUCAACCUCUUCGGCAAGUCGCCGACUGGACACUUGGCUCACCAACCUGCAUUUCUCAAACACAUUCCACUUUUUAACCUGCACAUUCAACACCCGUUAUUCCAAAAACAAACACAAAGCAUUAAAAGCUUGGGUUGCCUCCCAAGAAACGCCUUAGUUAACGUUGUGGCACGAUGCAAGUACCCAUUCAAGCUUCAUUUUUAGGGUCCACCAUAGUAUCACUAGUCAACCCCCCUUGUUGGCUUGGGUUAAGAUGAUACAAAAUAUGGCCCAUUUGGGUUUCUAGUAGUUUAAUAGAUAUGGAAUGAGAAGCAAUCAUCUGAUUUUGAAUUGAGACAUUAUCUUUUAUCUCUUUCAACCCUAUGCCAUGUUCUUUGACUUUGUUGAGAAUGUGUGAGAAUAUCUUUUCUAUCUAUCCACUCUCGUAGUCCUUGGGCUUUUUACGCUCAUGGGGGGAUUGUACCUAUCUUUCUUUUUGUACAUCACUUUAAAUUCCAUGAUAUUUUUUGCCAAGAUAUCCAGCUGGGUCAUCAUUUUGGCUAAGUUCUGGUCCUCAUCGUGAUUUACACCCACAACAUUAACACUCGUAGCACCAACACCAAUGACAUUUUUGGCUAAGAUGUCAAGUUGGAUCAUCAUCUUUGCCAUGUUUUGGUCUCUCGUGAUCUUUUUCAAUCUGCUCCUUUGUCAAUUUAUAGGUAAGAGGAGAGACGUGAUCUUCGCGAGUGUACCAUGCCCGGUUAAUCUUGGUCAUGCCAUCAAGGAGUUGGGCUACUAUUACAUAAGGUUGUUGCAUUAAACCUCCCGGAGAAAGUUGGUCAGUCACUCCCUUGUUCACCGAAUCAAGGCUUCUGUAGAAGUAUUGCAGCAGUACGUUAUCGGGCAGUCCAUGAGUUGGGAAUUGCAACACCAUCUUCUUAAACCUUAGCCAAGUCUCAUGGAUUGGGUCACCCUCCAAGCGCUUGAAGCUUUGAAUGUUGUCCCGAAGAGUCAUCAUCUUCGAAGGGGGAAAGAAUCGCACUUGGAAUGCGGUAAUAAGUUCAUCCCACGAAGUGAUAGAAUCUCUUGGCAACUCAUCCAACCACUUACAUGCUUCUCCCAUUAGAGAAAAUGGGAACAACCUCAGCCAGACCGAUUCUUGAGAUAUGUUCUUAAAGGAGAAUGGUCCACAAACAUCAACAAAAUUCCUAAUGUGCUCGUGGGGAUCUUCAUGAGCCAGCCCUCUAAACAAACCCUACAGUUGUACGAGCUGCAACAUCGUGCUUGUGAUGUGAAACACAUAGUUUCCUUCAUCUGGAGGCAAACGAAUGGCACCAACACCACCCAUUUGGUUGGGGUCAUUAACAUCAUUGAGAUUCCUGAUGUCAUCUUAGUGGCCCACUUGGCUACCAUUGCUACCGUUUACACUCAUCUCCUCUGUUUUAACAAGCAACACAAAACCAAAACUAAAGGGAAGUGGAUUUAACUAUAUCUAAAAAGAACACAAUUCAACUUCACCAAAAGAAUUUCAAACAACACCACUCUCCGGCAGCGGCGCCAUUUUGAUUAAUAACGUUUCAAAGACACUACUUCAAAUUAUAAGUGUCAACGAUCGUAAAUCAAUAUAAAACCAAACUAAAUGAGUUGGGGUCGAAUCCCACAGGGAACAGUACGUGUUUAAGAUUCAAUUGGGAAGUAUAAAUGUGGUCAAAUCAGUCAUACGAAUAAAGAUUAUCGAAUAAUGACAUCAUUCAUGUUAAAGGGUGACACGAAUGUCAAUUGGGGGGGGGGGUUGGUUUUUAGAUUAUCAGCUAAAAGUAGUCACGAAACUAGGAAUUAACAAUAAUGAGACGGAUUCUUGGGUUGUGAUCGAUUAUAGGCAAAUGUAGACAUAUGGGUUAUUGAAACUAUUAGCAAAUAGCUAGAUAUUAGUGAGUAAUCUAGUCUAUAAUGGAGGUAAUUUUCUCUCGAACAAUUACCCCGAAUCAGGUGAUUUCUUUUGAACAUCAACUAGAAAUACACUUAAGAUCAACCCACACCUUAAUCCAUUCACUCUCUCGAGCUAAUGUGUGGGAUAGGGUUUAGGAUUCACUCUCUCGAGCUAAACCCAGGUCAACCCAAUACCCACAAAUCAUCAAUCAAUAAUUUUAGUUCUAAAACCUCUCUCGAGCAAUACAAGAACACAGACAUAGAACUGCAUUUGCAACUACAAUUCUUAAAUUAAACCACAAUUAAUGAUUAAACUCACAUUUAAAUAACAUUUAAACUAACAAUUAGCAAUACCCAUAAACUAAAUCAUCCCAUAAUCGCAUGAGCACACCCCAAGAAUUGGGGUUUUAGUUAGACAUUAUAAAAAGGUAUAAACAGUUACCAAAUUGAUUAUCCAUCAACUGGGUAAGAGUAAUUUCGUCCUUGCCAUGCUCCAAUUUGAUGAAUCUCAAAGACCCACUUCUAAUUUCUCAAAAGUAAUUUUUUUUCAAUCCUUCAAAGCUAAGGAAGAACUCUAGAGAGAAAUGUUCUAAGAGUUCUGAUAGAAAAAUAAUAAUCAAAAUUAUAUCCCAGAUUACUUGAUUCAUUUCUAAACUAAAUAUUCAAAAUCCUAUUUAUAGUUGCCAAAAAUAUGCUACGAAAGUCCAUUUGGCGAAGUAAGUCGGGCACAGCGAGCCACCUUUUGAUCACUUCCAUUACCUUUUCACCUUGUCAUUCAGCAUCCUUGAGUUCUGUAACUUUAGGCGAACUAUCACUGUAUCGCGAAAUUAUAUGGUGAUUCGCCGACUGCUCCUUCUUGUCGCCGAUUUGGUUUCUUCGCUCAAGGCUGGCACACUAGAACUUUAGGCAGUGGAAUUGGCCCUUUGGCGAGUCGCCAAAUGCUCUUGGUGAUCACCAGGCUUUCCUUUCUUCAAUUCAUCAGUUUGUUUUGUUUCCUUUUUGUAUGUUAGUGUCCUUGCUUUGUUCCUCAAUCCAUGUACCUGAAAAUCAAGGUUUUUCAUCAGUUUAAGGCACAAAUUAAGCAUUUGAGAACACUAAAUCUAUAUAAACAAAGCCCUAAAUGAGUCCAAAUCUCGGACUCAUCAACUGGCGAGACUCCAUCUACAUCAUCUUGAACAACAUUUUGCUCAUUAGCGCCGAAAUAUUUAUCAUUUGCGCCUCCAUCGUGACCAUUAGUACCUACAUCUUGUUCAUUAACACCCCAAUCUUUAUCAACAAUUUGUUCAUUCGCGCCUCCAACUUGUUCCUCGUAAUGCUGAAGCAACAUUACCUCAUUCCAGUAAAGCAAAUCAGCAUAUCUCUGCCACAAAAUACUCAUUCAUAUGAACACCUUACAAGUCUCAAUUCAUAUAUUUGUUAAUUAGAGCCUCAUAAUAUCAUCAAAUUCUUCCUACUUUAUCUUGUAUGUUCUGUCUGCGGGCUGCAAUAUGGAGAAAUCAUAUUUUUUUGUAUAUAAGAAAAACAGAACAAAAUCUUCUUGUUCAUAAAAAUCAAAUACUUCUUACAAUUUGGCACUCCACAUCGGGCACAAUAAGCAUCGACUAGAAUACAAUCAUCUACAACUUGAUGAUAUAUAUCGUUAUGUGGGACAUGAACAUUAAACCUACAUAUGCAUACACAGACCGCAUAAUCAUCUGUAAAACUCAAUUUCCAAAUAUAUAUAUAUAUAUGACACUUAUGCGCCACUAAAGAGACCUUCCUGAAUGUUUGGCUCCUGCAAGAUGUGCAAGACAUAAAAAUUAAGUAUACAAAAUUCAGAUUAUUACUAGUUUUUUGGAAAAAAUGAAGCAGAGAGGAUGGGAAUAUCCAUAAAAGGCUAAAAAAAUCGUCGACGAAUCCAACUCAAGUUUUGCAGACACAACAACAGAUGCAAUAAUGAACAUGACGAUCACUGUAUUCAAGUUUAUUCUAUCAACUUUGUUGAUUGAAUCAAGAAGUUGUUGUUGGGUUUUAGAAGACUUGAAUGGAAAAUGAUAUUGUUGAAAAUAUGCACAAGUUGUCCGUCCAGGGAUGGAUAAAUUGCAAUUUGUACACGUGGAUUGUUAUGAUCAAGUAAGUAAAUCAACAAAAACCAACUUGUUUAUAAAACAUAACUUGAGAGCAUGAAUUUCCAAAGCAUAAGCUAAGUAAAUUGCUAUAAGUGAAUGAAAAUUAGACGAGAAUUAAAUUUCCGCAUCAAGCCUUAUGAAACGUAUUAAUACUCAUUUUUGCUACUCACUAAUCCUUAAUUUUCUUUUAAUGGUUGAACUUCAGAUUUACCUUAUCUCAUUUGUGUCUCGUAUCUCAUGGUGCAUCUUCGAAGCUAUGUGGGCUCACAUUGUGAUGUCAAUCUUUUAGUCCUGCCAGACUUGUCGCUUUUGCCAUAUGUCACUUUCUGACUCAUCUAUCUAUCGAGCUUGAUCAGUUUUACGCUAUAUAGAUUGUCACGCCUGUCCUACACCCCGGGCGUGUUCGACACUCAGAAACCAAUUCUGGUCCUAGGUGAACCCUUAGUCUGGUUGACAACUGAGCGGAAGACUAAACAUACAUGCUGAAGCCUUAUAAAAUAAACAUUUAAAAUCAAUUAAAUAUAUUUCAUACAAAAGUCUGAAAUAAAUUUGAAUAUGAAUAAUGAUAAUAAUGUUUAAACUUCUAAAUGCAAAAUACUGAAUUGACUCACUGACUUUGUCUAUCUAUAAAGGCUCUACUAACUAAAGAUAUGUGUCAGGACAAGACUCAUGACUACCUGACUAUUCAACUAACAAUUUAUUAAAAAAUAAAUAAACUAUACUAACUAAAUUAGACCCCCCUUACCCCGGAAGUGAGGAGGUCUCACCAAAUGCUAGUUGAAAGUGAUCUUACUAAAUGUCUCCUAUCAAGAGUACCUGAAACUGUAUCAUUUAUCAUAAAAUGAUGCAACAUCAAAUGGCGUCAGUAUAUAGAAUGUAUGGUAUGUAACACGACUGAAUGAAAUAAAUAAUUGAACUAAAAAGAAACUUAAAGUACCCUGACCGAAAGUAAAACAUGAACAUGAGGUGAAAUCAUUAAAGCUCUACAAUGAGAUAUGCAAUACUAGAAAAAUACUAAAAUAAUAUACAUUAUUUUUCAUGGGGAGUAUCUCGAAUCGAAAACCAUCACUUUGAGCCUCGUGAUAAUACAAUGUUUAGCACAUGUUGCCAGUCAUCCUAUACCUUGAUGGACUAUAGGACAACAAAGCUUAACAUAUGGAUCCAUCUGAAAAGCUCUCAACAAGGCUGUGAGGAGUUGCCUGAAUCAACGACAUGAUCUUAUCUACGCUGGCGACACAAUUUAUGGGUUUUGAGUUGUUAACUCUUACCCAAAUCAGUGCUCAAUACUACUCCCAAAACAUGCAAUAAUGCUCAUAUGGUAAAGAUGUCCCCCUUUAGGGGAAAACUGAAAAUCUGAUACUUUGAGUCUAUGCUUAAUAAUACUUCUUUAAAACUGAACUUAACUGAACCUAAAUGAACUUGACUAUGCUUUUAUGAAAAUAUUAUUUUGACUCACUUUUUUGCAUUCUCUUUUAUCAAUGCAUUGAACUUACUUUAAAGACUAAUUGAAAAUCCUUUCUCUAAAACUGAUUAUGCUUUGUUUAAACUAGCCUUGUUUUCUUCAUGAAGAUAAUGCACAAGAACUGAUAUAUCAAGGCUUUCAUAAAAUUCAUAAUGAAAUAUGGUUCAUGGGGUGAAAUAAGCAUGAACAAUUAUUAAGAAUCGUCCAAUAAAUUAAUAUACUAAAAUAGAUACAACAAAAUCAAUAAUUCAUGCUAAGAAAUUAAGUAGAACCCUCGAAUGUAGUAAGCCUUGGGGUUGAAACCCUAGUUGAACCUUGCUAUCUGAAAUUCAGAAGGGAAUAAGGAAGAACUCAAUUACUCAAUAUGAUAGCUUAACGUACCUUGAUUCACUAUAAAUGAAACUCUAAGUUUGAAGAGGAACCCUAAAAGUCUCUUCUUGAACUUUAGGAUGAGUUCUUGUUUUUGCUAGAUAUGAGAGAAAGAUUUGAUGUUAGAAUCUUAUUAAGAAUUCGUGAUUAGAGAUUGAUUAAUUUUAGAACUAAUUUAGAUACAUGAGAGUAACAUACCCCGGUGUUAAAGAUGCAAGAGAUGAGAGAAUUUGAGAGAAAAUAAGCCAUAGGUCGUACAAGAUGAAUUUUAUAAUGACCCAUCGUCUUAACUUAAUAAAUAGAGAAUUUUAAAAUCUAGACUCUUGAAAAAUUCCUUGGCGCGGUGCGCCCAUGCUACAGGCUAUUGGAAAAAUAGCCUAGCGUGGUGCGCCCAUGCUACCAGGCACACAGAGCACACGGUCAAUUUGACAUCUCUCUAGUAAAAUGCAGAUAACUUCUUACUCAAGAGUUGGGUUGAUGAGCGGUCAGUGACAUUGGAAGGAACAAAUGUAGACCUUUAAUUUGAUAAGUCACGGGUCAUCUAAAUUUUACUACUCUAAGAGGCAUGAUCGGUUGAAGUUGACCCUUGUAUGAACUCAUGUGAAAAUAUAGCUGAUAGAAAUGCUUUGAACUUGGUUUGGUGUUUAAGGUUCCUUACGACCCUAAACCAUAUAUGAUAUACUUACUACAGUUUGUAAAGGACCUUAACAUAUAUGCACAACUUAGUACUAUUCAUCGGGUUCGGACCUAUACACAUACAGAGGAUGAUUUGAAUCUUUGCUUAGAAGUUUUUGGACGUUACAUAGAUUGUCCCACAUUUUUUUGGGUACUCAAAGAAUUGUGACGGAAAAUGGAAAACACUUCAAUUAUUGGCCGAAAGCAAAUGAAGAGUCCUUUGACAUUUCUUGAUGUUACACAUGUCCCUCCACUUUUAAUGCUCUGAGUACGUGUCUUCUCGUGAUUGGUUAAAAACCAUGACAGACUAUCAAGGCAAUGCUAACAUUUCUUUUCCAAAAUCUAUAUAUGUUCUUCCAUUUUUAAUUUACUUCCUUCACACCUUCUUCUUAGAACUUUCUUGUCAUUCUUCCGAGUUUCAAAUUUUACCGCAGUUUCAUCAAAGAUUACCACCUUCUUAACUAUCCUUUGACUUAAUUUAUCUAGAACCCAUGACAUAAUUACAGCUUAAUAGGGGAGGGUGGGGGGACAAAGUCGACAAUAGAAAUAUUUAUUCAUAUGGACUAUUACUUGAUAUCUUUUAUACAAGUGAUUCGAUUUAGAUUUUUAUCCUAAAAUAUUAACCCCCUUAAGUUUUAAACUAAAAAUUAUUUUAGUUCUGCAUAAAUGGAAAUAUUUAUUCAUGUGGAUUGUUACUUGAUAUCUUUUUUUGAAUAAAAAUAGAGAGUGCACACUACAUACAAUCAACUAUUAAAUGAAUAUGUGUUUUUAUACAUAUAUGGUGAUAGUUUAGGUAGAAUUAUUAUUUUUUACUGAUAAUAGAAAUGUGACUUUGACCAUUUAACUUUAUUUUAAAAAAAUGUCCACUUUUACUUGUCGAGUUCAAAAAUCAAGAAAUAAUUUAUCAAUUAGUUCUUGAUAAAUUGGACCUUCACCAACAAGAUGAACAAAAGUUCAUGUAAUCAGCCCAACUUAACUAUUAAGAUUUAUUCCCUCUGGUCCAUAUUAAGUGAACUGUCAAGUUUUUUAUAUAGUUCAAAAUAAGUGAAUUUUUCAAAGUUCAAGAUAAUUGUUAAUUGGAUUUUAUUUUCUUCAUAUUUAUCCUUUCUUUUAAUGAUGUUGUUAACUACUUUACAUUUUUUAGGAGAAUAGUUUAGGAAUAAUAAUAAUUAAAAAUAACCUUUAAUAUUUGUCCUUAAUAUUUUUCUUUAAGAGGAGUGUUAUAUCCCAACAAUUCACUUAAUAAAGACUAGAGGAAGUACCAUUCAUUUCCCCAACAUGUUUGUCAAAAUAUUGAAUUAGUUAUAUUCAAAGAAUGAUAUAGUAAAAUUACUCUUUUAUUUAUUGCUCGUUAAGGAAUGUGACAGGCAUGUACCAACUCAAACAUGAAAAGUUAAAGUUCUUAAAUACUAAAAAAAAUAAUACUUAUUACAGCCUUAGCAUUUCACAAGCAUUUAGGGUUUUCAUUUCUCCUUUUCCUUUGCUUUUGAAUUUUUAAUUUUUCGUCUUCAUCUAGGAUUAACAGGAGACCGAGUUUAUUCAAGUCCUUAAUCUCCUCAAGUAUAUACCCAAAUUGAAUAAGAGCUUCUCAUGUUAAUUGAUAUAAAUAUCCUCACUAUAUAUGAUAAUGAUUUAUACUAUAUAUUUUUCUUAAAGUAGGUAGAUAUAUUCAUUUGUGUCAAAAGCAUUUUUAUUGUGUUUUUUUACGCUAUGUUAAUUCCAUGUUCUCCUUGAUUGUAUUGAUGAUAUGAGAGUCAUAUCCAUCACCCUUUGUGUCCACCGUGCCACGAAGGCACUGACGACCAAACUUGAAAAGGGCUACCUUAGAAAAAGCUGCCUACUUGUGGUAGAGUGAAAGAUACCUAGUAUGCAGUCGUCGAGGCUCUCCCACAUUAAUAUCUAGAUUUUACGGUGUGGAAGAGUCGAUACUUAGAGUCCCCAAAAUUUGUAUAAGAAAAUUAUUGUCGAUAUAUAUGGUCUUGAGAAAUGGAUAACUUUUGAGUCGAGUUAGGCGCAAAUGUUCAUUAAUUUUUUUGUAUUGUAAAAUGUAACAUGGAAGCAUAAUGUAUUAGUUGCUAUUUAUAAAUAGUUAAUAUAGAGAUGGGAGAUGGUUUAAAUAGGACUCUCAGUAUAAUUAUAGUAGUGGCUGAAGGAGAUUCAAAAAAUAAAUUUUUGAGAUAAAUACUAGAAUGUAUACCUAAGAUUUAAAUAUAUGAUCUAAAACAAAUUUUGAACCCCAUUUGCCAUUACACUAGUAUCUUCCUUUUUGUCAAAGGAGAUUUAACAAUUUACAUAUAAGUAGGAAGAUUAUGUUUGCCUUAAUUACACAGUAUAAUUUCUUAACGAAGGGGAUCCAAUUAACAAUAUUGCCAAUACCUAGUUCCACCACAUAAUAAUAGUGUUAACUGCUAACUAUCUUUCAAAAUGGAACUGUCUUCUAUAAAUAGUACUUAAUAAGUUUUUAAAAUAUAUAGUCUAAGUUGAUUGAUUUCUUCUACAAUUGAGGGGGCGGGGGGGGGGGGAGGUAAAUUCAAUAAUAGUGCUAACUGAUAACUACCAUUUCUAAAAAAUUAGGGGUGAAGUAAAUUCAAAACAUAAAAUUAAUGGGAUGAAACCAAAAAUGUGUUGUAUGAUUUUUGACAUAGAUUGUUUGUGCAUUUCUGAAAAGAGAUUUGGUUUUUAUUCUGCUUUCUGAACUCAUUAGAACCUUAAAUUUGUACCUACUUAUAGGAUUUGAGACCACAUUAGGACUGACAUGUUGUGGGAUCUAUUAAAAAAGAACCCUUCAACGCCACAAUUUAUAUGAUGCCACGAGUAAUUGUUGGGUUUUAAAAGAUGUGAAUGAAAUUGAAGAUUUGUGACUUUUAUAAAGAGUUUUGACUUUUCUGAAGAGUAGGUACUUUUCUGAAGAGUUGUGGCCUUUAUUAAAAAUUACGAUUUUUUCGUAAGGUUGUGACUUUUCUGAAGGAUUGUGACCUUUUUGAUAAGGCACAAUAAGCACCCAUUCACACUACCAUAUGUUGUCUAUAAAUAGAGGGUUCCUCUUAUUUUUCAAUAACGAAUUUCUGAAUUCUUUCUUUUCUACUAAAUCUAGUAUUCUAAGUGUACUUUAUGUUGUUGAGUGUUUUGCUAACACCAUGGUUUUAAGUAUCGAUACACCGGUGAGUAAGAUCAUUCUAUUAUGAGAGGAUAUAUUCCAUUAACCUCGGUUACUUGAGGGGACUAAUUUCCUUAAGCAAACAUUGUGCAUUCAAUGGGCUCAAUUUAUUUUUUUUGAGAAAAUAUUUUGUUUAUCAUUUUUAAUCUAUUUUAGAUUCUAUUUUCUUUACUAAUUUUAAGUUUCUAGUUUUGAAAAUAUUCUUUAAAUUUGUUGCUUUUUACCAAAUUCUUCAAACUUAUGGUUCUAAGUAUCUCAAUAAUAAUUUCAUAGCAAAGGUGGCUUUGAACUUUAGGUGUUUAUGUAAAGCAUGUUGCAUUAUACACAAACAUUUUGUUGAUCAACCUCGAUGUUUCUUUUUUGUGUUUCUUUUUUCCUUGGGAGGAGAGCGUUUUUGUAGCUCAUGUUGAAAGGUGUUACAUUUAUCUACAUAUGAAGCAUAACUUCUUCAGGUCAAAGUUGGGCAUAUACUCUAGGAAAACGAGAUAGCUAAUUUUCGACCUGAAGAAGUUAUGCUUCAUAUGAAGAUAAAUGUAACCUAUUUCAGCAUGAGCUACAAAAACGCUCUCCUCCCAAGGAUAAAAGAAACAUCAAAGUUGAUCAGCAAAAUGUUUGUGUAUAAUGCAACAUGCUUUACUUAAACACCUAAAGUUCAAAGCCACCUUCACUAUGAAAUUAUUACUAAGAUACUUAGAACAAUAAUUUUGAAUAACUUGGUAAGAAGCAACAAAAUUUAAAGAAUAUUUUCAAAACUAGAAAUUUAAAACCAGUAAAGAAAAUAGAAUCUGAAACAGAUUAAAAAUGAUAAACAAAAUAUUUUCUCAAAAAAAAAUUGAGCUCAUUGAAUGCACAGUGUUUGCUUAAGGAAAUUAGUCUCCUCAAGUACCCGAGAUUAAUGGAAUAUAUCCUCUCAUAAUAGAAUGAUCUUACUCACCAUUGUAUCAAUGCUUAAAACCACGGUGUUAGCAAACCACUCAACAACAGUAAAAUACACUUAGAAUACUAGAUUUAGUAGAAAAGAAAGAAGUUCAGAAAUUCGUUAUUGAAAGAUAAGAGGAACCCUCUAUUUAUAGAAAACAUAUGGUAGUGUGAAUGGGUGCUUAUUGUGCCUUAUCAAAAAGGUCACAACUCUUCAGAAAAGUCACAGCCUUACGAAAAAAUCAUAACUUUCCAUAAAAGCCGCAACUCUUCAGAAAAGUCACAAUUUUUCAGAAAAGUACCAACUCUUCAGAAAAGUCAAAACUCUUUAUAAAAGUCACAACUCUUCAAUUUCAUUCACAUCUUUUAAAAUCUAGCAAUUACUCGUGGCAUCAGAUAAAUUGUGGUGUUGAAGGGUUCUUUUUUAAUAGAUCCCACAACAGCCUAGUCCAAAUGUGGUCUCAAAUCCUUUCACUAGGUACAAAUUUAAUGUUCUCAUGAGUUUAGAAAGUAGAAUAAAAAACAAAUCUCUUUUCAGAAAUGCACAAACAAUCUCUGUCAAAAAUCAUACAACACAAUUUUGUUUUCAUCCCAUUAAUUUUAUGUUUUGAAUUUACUUCACCCCUAAUUUUUUAGAAAUGGUAUUUAGCAGUUAGCUACUAUUAUUGAACUUUUACUCCCCCCCCCCCCCCUAAUUUUAGAAGAAAUCAAUCAACUUAUUCUAUAUAUUUUUAAAAACUUAUUAUGUACUAUUUAUAGAAGACAGUUCCAUUUAGAAAGAUAGUUAGCAGUUAGCACUAUUAUUAAGUAGUGGAACUAGGGAUUGGCAAUGUUGUUAAUUGGAUCCCCUUCGUUAAGAAAUUAUACAGUUUAAUUAAGGCAAACAUAAUCUUCCUACUUAUAUGUAAAUUGUUAAAUCUCCUUUGACAAAAGGGAAGAUACUAGUGUAGUGGCAAAUGGGGUUCAAAAUAUGUUUUAGAUCAUAUAUUUAAAUCUUAGGUAUACAUUCUAGUAUUUAUCUCAAAAAAAUAUUUUUUGAAUAUCCUUCAGCCACUACUAUAAUUGCACCGAGAGUCAUCUUUAAACCAUCUCCCAACUCUAGAUUAACUAUUUAUAAAUAGCAACCGAUACAUUUUGCUUCCAUGUUACAUUUUAUCAUACAAAGAAAUUAAUGAACAUUUGCGCCUAACUCGACUCAAAAGUUAUCCAUUUCCCAAGACUAUAUAUAUCGAUAAUGAAUUUCUUAUACAAAUUUUGGGAACUCUAAGUAUCGACUCUUCCACACCGCAAAAGCUAUGUAUUAAUGUGGGAGAGUCUCUAGGGCUCCACACUAGGUAUCUUUCACUCUACCACAAGUGGGUAGCUUUUUCUGAGCUAGCCCUUUUCAAGUUGGGUCGUCAACGCCUUCAUGGCAUGGUGAACACGAAGGGUGAUGGAUAUGACUCUCAUAUCAUCGAUACAAUCAAGCAGAACAUGAAAUUAACAUAGAGUAAAAAAACACAAUAAAAAUACUUUUGACACAAAUGAAUAUAUCUACCUACUUUAAGAAAACAAAAUAUAGUAUAAAUCAUUAUCAUAUAUAGUGAGGACAUUAUAUAAAUUAACAUGGGAAGCUCUUAUUGAAUUUGGGUAUAUACCUGAGGAGAUUAAGGACUUAAUAAACUCGGUCUCCUGUUAAUCCUAGACGAAGAUGAAAAAUUAAAAAUUCAAAAGAAAAGGAAAAGGAGAAAUGAAAACCCUAAAAGCUUAUGAAAUGCAAAGGCUGUUAUAAGUAUUUUUUUUUAGUAUUUAAGAACUUUAACUCUUCAUGUCUGAGUUGGUACACACCUGUCACAUUCCUUAACGAGCAAUAAAUAAAAGAGUAAUUUUACUAUAUCAUUGUUUGAAUAUAACUAAUUUAAUAUUUUGACAAAUAUGUUGGGGAAAUGAAUGAUACUUCCUCUAGUCUAUAUUAAGUGAAUCGUUGGAUAUAACACUCCUCUUAAAGAAAAAUAUUAAGGACAAAUAUUAAAGGCUAUUUUUAAUUAUUAUUAUUCCUAAACUAUUCUCCUAAAAAAUGUAAAGUAGUUAACAACAUCAUUAAAAGAAAGGAUAAAUAUGAAGGAAAAAAAUCCAAUUAAAAUUAUCUUGAACUUUGAAAAAUUCACUUAUUUUGAACUAUAUAAAAAACUUGUGAUAGUUCACUUAAUAUGGACUUGAGGGAAUAAAUCUUAAUAGUUAAGUUGGGCUGAUUACAUGAACUUUUGUUCAUCUUGUUGGUGAAGGUCCAAUUUAUCAAGAACUAAUUGAUAAAUUAUUUCUUGAUUUUUAAAACUCGACAAGUAAAAAGUGGACAUUUUAAAAAUUAAAGUUAAAUGGUCAAAAGUCACACUUCCAUUAUCAGUAAUUCUUUUUUUUCUACCUAAACUAUCGCCAUAUAUGUAUUAAAACACACAUUCAUUUAGGGUGUGUUUGGUAUGUUUUCCAAUUUCCUCAUGUUUGGUUGGGUUAAAUGUUUUGGAAAAUGUUUUCCAAAUCAACUUAUUUUCCUCAAAUUUAAGGAAAAUGACUUCCCUUCAAAACUGAAGGAAAAGAUUUUCCAAAACUCUCUUCCAACUUCAAAUUACAAUUAUUAUUUUUUGUUGAAAAUUCAAUUUAUUUUGUCCCUACCCUCAAACCAGCCUCCCUCCCCCUCCAUAAAAAAAAUAAAAUUUAAAGCUUGUUUUUAAAUUCAAUUAUUUUACCCCACCUCCUACCACCAUCCCCUCCCAAAAAAAAUAUUAAAAGUUGUUUUUAAAAGAUAUUUCUAAUUUCAAUUUUUUAUUUUUUUAACCCCCAACCCAUNNNNNNNNNNNNNNNNNNNNNNNNNNNNNNNNNNNNNNNNNNNNNNNNNNNNNNNNNNNNNNNNNNNNNNNNNNNNNNNNNNNNNNNNNNNNNNNNNNNNNNNNNNNNNNNNNNNNNNNNNNNNNNNNNNNNNNNNNNNNNNNNNNNNNNNNNNNNNNNNNNNNNNNNNNNNNNNNNNNNNNNNNNNNNNNNNNNNNNNNNNNNNNNNNNNNNNNNNNNNNNNNNNNNNNNNNNNNNNNNNNNNNNNNNNNNNNNNNNNNNNNNNNNNNNNNNNNNNNNNNNNNNNNNNNNNNNNNNNNNNNNNNNNNNNNNNNNNNNNNNNNNNNNNNNNNNNNNNNNNNNNNNNNNNNNNNNNNNNNNNNNNNNNNNNNNNNNNNNNUUCAAAAAUUAUUUUCUACUCUAGUAAAAAUAAAAGAUAUUUCUCAAAAACAUUUUUCAUUCAUAAACCAAACACUAAAAAUCUUUUCCGGAAAAUAUUUUCUACUCACCAACCAAACAUGAGAAAAUAAGUCAAAAAUCUACUUGUUUUCCAGGAAAACAUUUUCCUUCAUACCAAACACACCCUUAAUAGUUGAUUGUAUGUAGUGUGCACUCUCUGUUUUUAUUCAAAAAAAGAUGUCAAGUAACAGUCCACAUGAAUAAAUAUUUCCAUUUAUGCAGAACUAAAAUAAUUUUUAGUUUAAAACUUAAGGGGGUUAAUAUUUUAGGAUAAAAAUCUAAAUCGGAUCAUUUGUUAAAAUUCAUCGGUCAUUUGUAAAAAGAAUUCACCCAACAUCUUCAUUCUCCAACAAUGAUCCUCAUCCUCAAUUGUGAUUUGGGCCUUCAAAUUGCUAUUGUCGACUUUGUCCCCCCACCCUCCCCUAUUAAGCUAUAAUUAUGUCAUGGAUUCUAGAUAAAUCAAGUCAAAGGAUAGUUAAGAAGGUGGUAAUUAUCUUUGAUGAAACUGCGGUAAAACUUGAAAGUCAGAAGAAUGAAAAGGAAGUUAUAAGAAGAAGGUGUUAAGAAAGUAAAUUGAAAAUGGAAGAACAUAUAUAGAUUUUGGAAAAGAAACGUUAGCAUUGUCUGUCAUGGUUUUUAACCAAUCACGAGAAGACACGUACUCAGAGCAUUAAAAGUGGAGGGACAUGUGUCAAGAAAUGUCAGAGGACUUUUCAUUUGCUUUCGACCAAGAAUUGAAAUGUUUUCCAUUUUCUGUCACAAUUCUUUGAGUACCCAAAAAAAUGUGGGACAAUCUACGUAACGUCCAACAACUUCCAAGCAAAGAUUCAAAUCAACCUCUGUAUGUGUAUAGGUCCGAACCCGAUGAAUAGUACUAAGUUGUUAUUAUAUGUUAAGGUCCUUUACAAAGUGUUGUAAGUAUAUCAUAUAUGGUUUAGGGUCGUAAGGAACCUUAAACACCAAACCAAGUUCAAAGCAUUUCUAUCAGCUAUAUUUUCACAUGAGUUCAUACAAGGGUCAACUUCAAAAGACCAUGCCUCUCAGAAUAGUAAAAUUUAAAUGACCCGUGACAUAUCUGUAACAUCUCGCAAUUUGAAGUAACUAGGAAUAAGCUAAUAAUUGGAAAUAGUCCUUUUUGGAAAGAAUGGAAAUCUGGAAAUUUGUUUGAGUUAAGAAAAGUUGAGUUUUGGUCAACUUCAAAUGGCUAUAACUCCUAGGUCAGGAUGAUUUAGGUGUACUUCCAGAUAUGGUUGGAAAUCUCUUGGAAUGAUCUUUCCAACGCCGCUAAGUUUACGCGAUUCCGAGUUCAUAUGAGAAAGUUAUCCCCUUCGGAAGUUGGGUUGUUCGAAUAAGGAAAGUCCAAUCCGGAUUUUGGAAGGGUAGUCUGGUUCCUUACCCAACUUAAUUAAUUCGUUUUUAGGAGUUUAAUUGGUGUAAAGUCAUAUUUUAGUUAGUUUUAGAACAGUGAAUUUCACACUAGGGCUUGGAGAAAGGAGAAAAACGUUCAAGAUUCGUUCAAGAUUCGUCGAGAUUAGCUUGUGGAUUUCGUCGGGGCUGAUCCCUACAAGGUAUGUGAGAUCACAUAGCGUUGGGUCCAUUCACCCACGCGCCAAUCAUGUUUAAUUCAGCGAUUUUCAUCCUAAAAGAGUUAGAAUUUGAUGUUAUUGAGUUGUGUUCUUGAACUUACAUGUGAUUAAUGGGUUUUCUUGAGACGUUUUAGCGAUGUUAAGAGUUGUUUCGAGUUAGAUUCUAGUGUACAUGUGUUGGGUAUCUGAAUCUAAGAAAGUAUUGAGAAAAAGGAAUCGAUUUAAAAUGAUUAGGAUCAGAAAACGAGUUAAAAAACUAGUCAAACGCACCAAGGGAGGGCCAGGCGCGUCGCACACCCAUAGCGCCUGGAGGCUAGGGCGGCGCGCCUGCAGUGCGCCCAAAGUGAACCACAAAAAGUUGGGGCCUGGCACGGCACACCUCAGAAGCCCCCGGAUCGUCGUUUUUCACCCAGUUUUUUUUCAUUCAGUCUGUUUAAGCCUUUCUAAAGAGUAUUAACACUUCUUAUUGAUUCUAACUACUCUAAAUGACUUCUAAACAUCUAGAAACAUGAUUUACAAUCUUGAAUCCAUAACUUCAAAUUCAAGGAAAGUUAAGAGUUAAUUCUAGGAAGUUCUUAGAGUCUUUUCAAGAAGUCUUUUGCAAAUGCUUUUAACUUUGUUUUAAGACUUAAAGUUCAAGUUGAGUAAAGAGUAAAAAGUAAAGCUUGAAGUUCAUUUCUUCAAAAGUAUAUUGGAACUAUGUAUUCCCAAAGGGUUUAAAAUGUUUUCACAUUUAAACAAGAAAGGAAACUUCGAUUUCCAAAGAGCCUUCGGGCAAGUUUUCAGAAAAGAGUAAUCGCUUUCUAAAUGAAGCAAGAGGGGAAACUUUGAUUUCCAAGAUAGCCUUUGAUCUAAGUUUUUGAGCACUAAUAUCAAAUCACAAAAGAAGUAUGUUUUUAAACAUAAGAGCUAAUAUUAUAUUUUUGGGAGUAGUAUUGAGCACCGAUUUGGAGGAGAUUUCAAACAAGUCACAGCCCCCAUAAACCAUGUAGUGACCAUGGGUAGAAAAGGUUCAUAAAUUUAAGAUGAUUCCUUUAGUGCUUUUUAGCAUAGACUAGUGGAUCCACCUAAUAGUUCAAGUUCUAUACUCAUGGCAAGGUAUAGGACGGCCCUGGCAGCGUGAGGUAAAACGAUGUAUCAUCACAAUAUCUCUUACGUGAUGGUUGUCGGUUAGAGAAACUCCCACAGAAGUUAUUGUAUUCUUAUAUAGAUAGUUAUUUGUAUUUUUACAUACAUUUCAGAGAUUAUGUUGUAUCCUUGCAUACACACAGAGUUGACAUCAUGUUUUUAAAUAACUUUUCUUUAUAUUGCACUUGUUUUAAACUGCUUUAUAUUGAAAUGAGAUCAGUUAUGUUGAGUUGAGUUGAGCAAGGUAAGUUCUUCAGAUUCCUUUCAAGCCUAUGUUGUGUUUAGCAUUCCAACUCGCAUACUCGUACAUUCAAUGUACUGAUGCCAGUUGGCCUGCAUCGUCUUAUAAUGCAGAUACAGGUAACUAGGAUCGGCAUCCAGCGCACCAUUGAUCCAGUUGAGCACCCCAUAGUCAGUUGGUGAGCCUCAUUGCAUUUCGAAGGACUUAUUUUUAUUGCUUUCAUUUUAUUAUCAUGGAUCAUCGACCGCAUGAUCGUCUCCUCAAGAUCCGGAAAAUGUCCAUAUAUACUCUCAUCCCUAAUCUCUAUUAGCUCCUCGUCGGUGUUUGCAUCCGACUCCUCAACUACUGCAUCAUCGUUAUGUAUAUCUCUGGUGGUAACCGGAGGAAUCCCUAAAGUCUCAGGAGCAUCCAAAUCAUCUGCACCCUCUAGUAAUGAAGUGAAGUCAGUAGCCUUUAGAUAGUCUACAUCCUUCCUCAAAUCAGCAACUUCGACUUUCAAAGCCAUAACCUCGGAGGUCUCCCCCUGCCUGCUCUCAAAAGCCUCAACUCUCGUGGUGAGAGUGUCAAUAGAAGUCUAGAGUGGGGUCAGUGCAGCAAUGAAGACACUCUCAAUCAUUCAUGAGAUGCCUCUCUCAAGUCUGGUAGCCCUCAUAUUAGCUGAAUGGGCCAGGUGCCCCAUCUUCAGGAUCAUCGCCUGAGUAAUCUUAGUCUGUUGGGAGAAAGUGGAUGUGUCUGGAGCAUGUGAAGAAGAGGUAGAGGCAAAAGUACCUGAAGGCCUGGAGGCCGGAGUAGGCGAAGAUGCCUCUGCAGGUAUAGAAUCGAUGUCCACCUCCGGGGAUGUAUCCACAGGAGCUGCCCUCCUCCUGUCAGCCUCCUCUCAAGUGUACUCGGACUCAAUAUGCCGGAUGUCCGUGGAGGAGGAAGGUGUCACCACAAUAUCUCUUGUAUCAUCCCGGGGUACUCCAGCAUGUCGGCAUAACUCUGUGAUCAGGACCGGGAAUGGUAGAGAAGUCUGCCUCUGCUUGGCCCUCACAUCCAUCUCCUGCUCAAUGAAAAGGCCUAAGUCAAUGCUCCUUCGGGAUAUGAUAGAUCCAAGGUAGGCUGCCUUAGGAUAGUGCAGAAUGGCCUCAUUCUGGGAUGGCAUUAUGGUGUUGCUAAUGAAGCCAAACCAGAAAUGAGCAGCAAUACUCAAAUCCCUCUUCUCUAUGGGGACCCUUGCCUCGAUCCAAUUCGGGAUGGUAUUAGAAAUCAGUGAAGCCAACCAUCCCUUCAAUUCAUCUAAGGACUGAGCGACAGGAAAUCCAUCAUAAGGACGUGUCGAAUGUAGAGCUCUACCCAAAACAUUGAUGAUGUGCUCAUUGUUGCACCCAACUUCCUUAAACCUAACCAUGACCGACUAAACCUGUCUAGAUUCGCUGGCCUUUUUCUUACUCCUUGGCACCAGGUCACCAUAUGCAACAUAGAACUCCCGGACCCAUGAAGGAACAUAGGGUCCUCAAGGCUUGGUGAACUGCUCAAAUCUAUGGAAGUGGAGGGUGUCCCUCACAUCGGAGUACUUGCCCUCAAGCCCUUCUGUCAAUAGCAACUUCUCCUCGAGGAUGAUUCGCAGACCAUCACCUUUUAAUCUAUUGAUAAUCCUAGGAGGAGGGACGACUUGUGGCAUAUGAGCCAUAAGAGGUGCCGAAGCUGGCACUGAAUCAGCUGGUGCGGGAGCUGGAGGGACCCUAGUGGAGUCAGGGCGAGAUCUAGCUCGGAUCUCAGCCCUUCGGGACUGUAGGGGUUGGUCAUCCUCAGGCUCACAUAUACUAGCCUACGAGCCAGUAGUCACCCUGUCAGAGAUGGGCCUCUUGCCCUUGCCUUUGUCGCCUAGUGGAAGCUCUUGCCUUCACUUCUUUGGAGGAUUUUAUCCCCCUUCAUUAAUUAUGAUAUCCCGUACCCUUUUCUGAGGUGGCAUGUCGAUGUUUGUUCUUACCAUAUCUGCAAAAGAUCAAGAAAAAGUUAAAAUCAAUUCAAUAAAAUUCACAGAAAUCAGUUGCAGACAGACUCGCCGAUCUACUCGGCGAGUCGCCAAAUCACUUUGGCUAGCUAGAUCGGGUUCGCUGAAAGGACUGGCUGAAAAUUCUCACAAAAAAAAUUGGCAUAUCGGUGAUGGGAAGGUCUUUCGGCGAAUCACCGACAGCAUUCGGUGAGCAAAGGCUAGCCCGUCUAAAGUUACAGUGCAAUUUAAGCAACAGGGUGCAGACAAAGGGCGAUCAGAAGACUUUCGGUGAGCCGCCGAGUGCCUUUGGCAACCUCAGGCUUCUCUCCAAAAGUUACAGAACCAAACUACGCAUCAAGCAUGAAAUUAAAUGCGAGAUGGAGACCUUCGGUGAAUAGCCAUGUGGUUUGGCGAGCUCGACCCAGCUCGCCAAACGACAUAACGUGCCUACUUUCAACCCAACUUCUCGAAUUAAACCCCGCAACCCCCGAAAACAAAAUCAAAGUAUGCACAACUCAAAUUAAAACAAGACCCAUAACACCCAUUACCCCGGGAUACUCAGACUUCUCCCAGUUUUGCCAAUUUUAGCCAUUUGACGACUUAUGCCCUUAAGAAUGGCGUCACCCGCUCUAUCAUUGGGCAAAUUUCGUCAUUUGGCACAACUACGGGUUACUUAGACUUCACUUAACUAGACCCAACAACAUGCAAGCACAACUCCACAAAAAUUUCGUCAAUUUUAAGGCACCAAAUUACGGGAUUUCAACAUUCAAAAGAGUACGGGAAAGAUUAUCAAAUUAAAAUAGGCAUUCAAACAUACUAAUCCUAUCAGAGAGGCCCAGCACACUUCAACAAGAUAAAAUUAUUACAAAUGAUUUCAAAAUGCCAAAAGUAAAUUUGGGGCUCGAAAACCAACCUUAAAUGCCGAUUAAAUUGAUAUUGAAAUACUAGGCUACAAUGUAAUCCCAAUACGAGCACAAAUCAAUGACUAAAAUACUCUAAAAAUGCAAGAAUAUAAAAACUAAUGUACAGGUCUGAGUUUGGGAAGUUCAAAAGUGAGGGAAAGUGAAAGAGUUGGAAGUUUAAACCUUUGGCCUUUUAAGAAACCGUCCAGUUCUAGCCCAUUUGGCGACAUUAGUCGUGCUCGCCGACCCACUCGGUGUCACACCAAGUGGUCACUUACCUCGCUGAGUUUUAUUGGACCUCUAGUUAAUUUGGGGGUCCAAACGGCAGAUUAGAUCACGAUCGCCGAACUAGUCGGUGACUCGCCAAUUAGCUCCUGGGCUCGCCGAGUUUUACAGACUUUAAUUUGAAAUUGUAUUGAGUUGAACGGCAGUCUAGGUCGGGCUUGCCGACCUCUUCAGUGAUGCUCCGACUGGACCUUUAGCUCGCCAACCUGCACUUUCCACACUUCGACCUGCACAAUCAACACACAAUUAUUUCACACUUAAAAAGAAAGAAUAUAAAAACUUGGGUUGCCUCCCAACCAGCUCCUUAGUUAACGUCGCGGCACGACGCAAGUCCACCUUCAAACCUCAUUCUUAGGGUUAGCCAUAGUGUCACUAGGCAACCCCUUUGCUGCCUUGGGUUAAGAUGAGACGAGAUAUGACCCAUUUGGGUCUGCAACUGCUUGAUCAACAUUGAAUGGGAAUUAACGGUCUGGCUAAGGGUCGACACAUCUUCUUUGAAAGUUUUGUAUGACCCUUCCACUUUGUUGAGGAUACGAGAGAGCAUAUCCUCAGACCGGCCACCUUUCGAAUCCUUUGGCUUUUGGCGCUCAUGGGGAGGCACAUACCUAUCCUUCCCCCAUCCUUCCAAUUAGGAUUUCGGUCCCUCCAUUCUUUGUCACGAUCCUUCCAACCUUCGUCUCUGCUCCAACUUUGGUUACCACCCUCCCUCGGGUAGUUUGAACGAUAACUACUGCCUUGGUUGGCUAGGAAAUUCACCUCUUCAUUGUACAAAGCCUCAAACUUUGCCUCCUCAAGAUUAGCACACCCGACACCCACGGCAUUGACACCUCGAGCACCCGCUCCCAUAACAUUUACAGAGGUCUAAGAUGAAGAAUCUUCAACACCCACUUCCAAUUUCUUAGAAAUGGAAAUCUUCAAAUCUUCAAAGCUAAGGAAAAUAUUUUCUCCAAAAACUAAGUUCUAAGCUCUAAAUUUGAAAACUCAAUAAAAUUCGAAUGAUACAAAAACUAGAUCCUAAACUAAGAAUUUCAAAAUGCAUUUAUAGUCGCCCAAAAAAGUGUUGCGAAGGACCAUUCGGCGCAAUAAGUUGGGAUCGCCGAUCCACUCGGUGAUCCACCCUUUGGUCAAUUCUAUCGCCUUUCUGCUUUGGCCUUCAGCAUCUUCAAGUUCUGUAACUUUGGGCGAUAUAGCACUGCAUCUCGGAACCGUUUGGCGACUCGCUGACUGCUCUUUUCUAUCGCUGACUUGAUUUUCUCCUUCAGGGCUUGGCCCACUGGGACAUUAAGCGAGACAUUGGCCAUUCGGCGACUCGCCCAAUGGUUUAGGCGAUCCUCAGGCUUUCUUUUCUUCAUUCUUUCAGCUGCCUUGUUCCUUUUUGCUCAUUAGUGUCCAUUAUUUGCUCCUAAAUCCAAAUACCUGAAAUUCAAGAAUUUACAUCAGUUAUUGGCCCAAAAUAUGCAUUUGAGGACACUAAAUCUAUUAAAAUAAAGCCCUAAAUGAGUCCAAAUCGUGGACUCAUCACGCAUACAACUUCAUGUGCACCAUUACUCAUCACCUAUCUUUCAUACAACAAGUGCCCCUCACUCAACAGAAUAGUCCAUAGACUCAACACAACACAUUGAAUAUAAUUUAAGGACUUCGCAAACAUAGUACGCUCUCAGUCAACAAUGACAUCAUACAUGCAUGCAUUAAGAACCAUAUGCUUGCCCUUUAUGUACAUCUCUACUAAUUAAGCAUGUUUUGCCCAAAAUCGAACAGGACUUUAUGGGUUGUAGUGUAAGCUUGAGGUAAGGGAGGAUACAUUUAGAUAUAAUUAGUGACUUAUCCUCCCUAAUGCACCUGUUUCGAUUUUCUUGCUACAUUCCCAACUCUUUCCUUUCUUUGGCCCCCCUCUCUGCAUAUUUUCCCACUAGUACUUCCAACCUCACCCUUAUUUUUUGCACAUUAUAUAUAUAACCAUAAGUUUUCCCUUUAUAUACAUCUCCACUAAUUAAGCAUGCUUUGCCCAAAAUCAAACAGGACUUUAUGGGUUGUAGUGUAAGCUUGAGAGGUAAGGGAGGAUACCAUAAUAUUUAUGACGUAUAAACGUACACGGUCAUUGCCCAAUUCUUCCAAAUAAAAGUUUAAUUAUUUCCCUCAAACCUCCCGUAGAGGUGAGUUGUGACAUAUUUUCAACCAUACAUGAAUAUGUUCUUAUUCAUAUUUUGCCACAUUCACUUUCGAGAAUGGGUAAACAUUCACAUGUUUAUUACAAGUCACAAUCUCUUCAUGAAUUGUCCAUAACCAUUUAUACAUGUCAUAUCUUUAUAUUUUACAUAUUUACAUCACCCACUUCAACAUCAUUUUGAAAGAUAAAGUGCACCAUCACUUUAUAUUCUUUUAUUUUGAUGGAGGAUUUAUAAAAUUUAUCAGAUUAGGUAGGCAAAAUUUGAAUGUCAAAUGACCUUUCAUACCAAAUCACAAAAACUACUUUCAACCUUUGAAAGACCAUUUUGAGAUGAUAAUAAUUAGCUUUACAUUUUUAAGGACUAUUUGGAGAACCUAUAAUGUUCUUCCUUUCAUAAUUAGCACAAUGGUGACUAUUAUAAUUAUACCUUUCACGCCCUUAUUCAUACAUUUAAUCACUUGUCAUCUUUCAUACUUAUUAUUCACUGCAACCACAUUCGUAUGAUAGAAUGGAGCAUUUGGGUAGAUUUCAAACUUAUCAUAUACUGGUACCACAUUCGUUUAAGGGAAUGGAGCAAAUUCAAUGCGACAAAUUUCAAGACUUUUCAUUAAAAAUAUAUUAUUUUUGCCUUAGCCAUUAUUUUAUCAUCAUUAUGGUGCAUUGAGGCUCAAACUCAAUGUCUUAUCCCUAUAAGACGUGUUAGGCCAUAAUUCCAUGUGACUCGAACCCAAUACCUUAUCAUCAUGGUGCAUCAAAACUCAAAUUGAUGUCUACUUUCAUAUUUCAAUUAAUUAACGGCUAAGCGAUUUCAUAACCUAAGUUUUCCUUAAUACCCUCUUGGUGCGAUAGAACUUGAAUCUAGUACCAUCUUAUCCUCAAACAUUUUUCAUUAUGUGUAUCCGGAUUUUAACCUGGUGUCUUACCCUUUUGGUGUGAUAGGACUUGAAUCCAUCGUCUUACCUUCUAGUAAUUAUAAAUAUUAAUAAGUUCCUCAUAAUUAACACUUAGAAAAUCAGCAUGAAAAUUUACUUCUUUAUUCUUCAAUUCUUUUUUGUUCCUGCUCACAAGUGUUUCAAGUACAACUCUUUUGCGAAGUACUACAAUUUUUAGAGAAUAUUCGUGCUAAUUACGUGUUGUAAAAUACAAGCUCAUAAUAAUAUAUAUUAAUAUAAGAAGACAAGAAAUGUAGAUGAAGAGGAUGACUUUUCUUCUAUUAAAGUGUGUCUUACAAUGAUGAAUGAUAUAUCUAUUUAUAGGUUGAGAAAUCACUUCAAAAGUCACCAUAUUAAGUGUCAUAAUAAAUAGAUACAUUCUUAUCCUAAAAGGUUCAUAGAACCUGGGGAAUAUGAAUAGUUGCUCAUGUAUUAACUUAAUGGACAAUCCACUCAUUCAAUGAAUUUAUAACAUAUUUAUAAUUGUUAGAAUUUUAAAAAAAAUUGUUUGUUUUACCGUGUCCCAACCCCUGACUACCCCUACCCUUGCCCCCCCACAAAAGAAAUUAAAGUUUAUUUUUGAAAAAAUUCAAAUUUUCAUUUUCUUUAACCCACCCCCCUACCAGCCUUCACCCCCCUCCCUCCCAAAAAAAAGGGAUAAGGCACUAGUACCCCCUAGACUAUGACCGAAAUUCCAGAGACACAUCCUAACUAAAUUAAGGUCCUAUUACCAUCCUGAGCUUAUUUAUUUUUGUAAUUUUGUACACCUUUUUGGCCUACGUGGCCUCCAAACAUCUCCCACGUGCCUCACUUUAGUGGAGUCACAGAGUGUGCCACGUAAGCCAAAAGGUGUACAAUAUUACCCAAAAAAUGAGUUUCGGGGGGGGGGGGGAUAGGACCUUAGAUUAGUUAAGGUGUGUCUCUGAGAUGUCGGUCAUAGUCUAGGGGGGUACUUGUGCCUUAUCUCCAAAAAAAAUUAAAAGUUUAUUUAUUUUUUUUAAAAUUCAAAUUUCAAAUUUUCAUUUUUUAACCUGACCCCCUACCAGCCACCCCUCAAAAAAUAAUAAUUUAAAAGUUAGUUUUUGAAAAAUAUUUUCAAAUUUUAAAAAAUUAUUCUUUCACCCCACCCUACCCUGAUCUCCUCUACCAGCCCUACCCUCCCCUCCAAAAAAAAAUAAUUUUAAAGUUUGUUUUUCAAAAUAUUUUUAAAUUUUUAUUCUCCCCCCCCCCCUCACACACACACACAAGAAAUUUAAAAUUUUGUUUUUAGAAAAAAAAUCAUUUUUUUGUUUUUUUAAAAAAAAAUCGUAUUUUAAAAGUUAGGUCCCCAAUCAGGUGUGGUUGGAUCCAUGUUCGAAAGUUAGAGUCGGAAUUCCGAUAUGAAAGUCAAAUCUUGGGUCUCACAUCGAUGGUUGGUUGUCAGAGUCGAUUUCUAAUUUGAAAGUCGGGUCUCAAUUCGAGUGUCAACAUCGAAGCCCAGAUUGAUGGAUCAUGCACAAGUUCGAGUGUCGGGGUCAGGUCCUAGGUUGGAUAUCCAAUCCCAAUUUGAAUGUUGAAUGUUGGAUCUCGGGACGAAAGUCAGGGUCAGGUCCUGGGUCAAUCUCAAGGUCGGAUUUCAGAUCUUUCGUCAGGGUUGUGUCCUAGUUCGCGUGUCAGGGUCAUGUCCUAGAUCAAUUAUUGAGGUUGGUUUCCAGGUAAAAAAUUAGUUUCUACUCUCUAGUAAAAAAUAAAAAGAUAUUUUCUAAAAAAUGCUUAGUUUUUCAUUCACAAACCAAACACUAACAAAUAUUUUCCGUUAAAUAUUUUCUACUCUCCAACAAACAUGAGGAAAUCGGUCAUAAGUCCACUUGUUUCCCAGGAAAACAUUUUCCUUCAUACCAAACACACACUAAAUCAGUAUUAGUUAAUAGAACAUCUUGUAUUUAUCUCAAAUUAUACUAAUCCAUCAUUAAUUAGAUAUUAAAUUAAGAUAGCGAUAACUAUUUUACUAUAUUUUAUUGAUAAUUGUGUAUUUGAAGUGACAUACAAUUAUUGGAGUGUUGUAAAUAACAAAUGUGAAUUUAAAAACUCAGUAUAUUUCUUGAGUUCUUUAUAGAUUUUUUAAUUUUUUUUUUUGAGUAAAUUGCUCUCUAUUUUCCCAAAUAAGCAAACCAAUCGUGAAUGAGGAAAUAGGUUCAUCAACGUUAGACUAAUACUUUGCAUCUAGCAAUUGAUACUAGUAAACCUAAUAUGAACCAAUACCAUUAGUAGUAAUUAAUUAUCAUUUCCUUAGAACUGCUUAAAAGUUACCAGAUAAAAAGUGAACAUUAAGGAAAUAACUAUAUUUAGCGAGCCAUAAUUUAUAUAUUUUUUUAAAAGUAAAAUAAAUUGAUAGUAUGUGUAUAUUAUUGACAGUAUACGAAAAUUUGAUAGAAAUAAAAUAUUGGUCGGUAGCAAAGCAUCCACUUCCCUUGUCUUCAAUUAAGAUGCCUCCCAUCAAAUCUAGACCGCACAUAAUUGUGUGACUUAACAAUAAUUAAUGAAGUUGGUAAAAUCAAUUCCAUGGGAUUAAUACGUAAGUGAUUUUAGUUUAUUUGUUUAAAUUAUAGUUAAUAGAGUUUUAUAUAUAUAUAUAUAUAUAUAUAUAUAUAUGAUAAAAGAUAUUGUAGAAAAUAUGCACAAGUUUUCCGUCCACGGGUGGAUAAAUUUAUGAAAUAUAACUUGAGAGCAUAAAUUUCCAAAGCAUAAGCAAAGUAAAUUUCUAUAAGUGAAUGAAAAUAAAACGAGAACAAAAUUUGCGCAUCAAGCCUCAUGAAACCUAUUAAUACAUAUUAUUGCUACUCACUAAUCAUAAAUUUCCUUAAAAUGGUUGAACUUCAAAUUUACCUUAUCUGAUUUGUGUCUCGUAUUUGAUGAUGCAUCUUUGGAGCUAGGGGGGCUCACAUUGUGGUGUCAAUCUCUUAGUCAAUCCUGACUUGUCACUUAUGCCAUAUGUCAGUUUUUGAUUCAUCUAUCUAUCGAUCUUGAUAAGUUUUACCCUAUAUAGAUUAUCACGCCUCUAUCCUACACCCCAAAAAUUGCCGGCAUUUAGAAACUAUUGUUGGUCCCAAGAAAACCUUUGGUUUUGCUGACUACGGAGCGGAAGACUAUACAUACAUGCAGAAGCCUUAUAAAGUGAACAUUUAAAAUCAAUUAAAUAUAUCUCAUACAAAUGUCUGAAAUUAAUUUGAAUAUGAAUAAUGAUAAUAAUGUUUAAACUUCUGAAUACAAAAUACUGAAUUGACUCAUUGACGUUGUCUAUCUAUGGAACCUCUACUAACUAAUGAUAGGUGUUGGGACAAGACUCAUGACUACCUGACUAUUCAACUAACAAUGAUUGAAAAAUUAAAUAAACUAUACUAACUAAAUUAGAACCCCUCGGAAGUGAGGAGAUCUCACCAAAUGCUAGUGGAAAGUGAUCUUACUGAACGUCUGCUAUCAAAAGUACCUGAAACUGCAUUAUAAUAUGAUGCAGUGUCAAAUGGCGUCUGUACAUGAAUGUACGGUAUGUAAUAAGACUGAAUGAAAUAAAUUAUUGAACUGAAAAGAAACUAAAAAAAGCAUGAACAUGAGGUGAAAUAAUUAAAUCUCUACAAUGAGAUAUGCAAUAAUAGCAAAAUACUAAAAUAAUAUACUUUACUUUUCUUGGAGAGUUUUAACCGAAAACCAUCACUAUGAGCCUCGUGAUAAUACAAUGUCUAGCCCAUGUUGCCAGUCAUCCUAUACCUUAUCGGAGUAUAGGACAACAAAACUUAACCUAUGGAUCCAUCUGAAAAGCACUCAACAAGGUUGUGAGGAGUCGCCCGAAUCAACGACAUGAUCCUAUCUAUGAUGGCGACACAAUUUAUGGGUUUUGAGUUGUUAACUCUUACCCAAAUCGGUGCUCAAUAUUGUAAACCUUAUAAGAUAUGAUUCCAAAUCAUAUCUGAUAUGAUUCCAAAUAUCAUAUAUGAUUCUAAAAUAUCUGGGACAAUAUUCUAAUUUAACUAAGCACAAUCACACCAUUGAUAUUGUGCAAGAUAUGAUAUGAUAUUGUGCUAGAACCAUGCUUGUAUCUUUGUAUAUAAAUAGUGGAUAGUUUAUCAAUUGUAAAGGAUAGAAAUACAUAAUAGUUUUCAACUCUUUUUGGUCACUAAUUUCUCAAUAGUUAUCAUGGUAUCAAGAGCCUAAUUGUUUUCCAGGAACUAGUUUAAUUUGCUCCUUAUUGUUGUUUGAUUUCUAUCAUCGGAUAUCUCUUGUCUUUCUAAUGGAGUCACAUUCUCAUGACAUUUUGUCUACCAAAUUUGAUGGAAAAAAUUAUCUGAUGUUGCACUCAGUCUACGUCCAUUCAACUUGGAAGCAGAGAUGUGGAAGCAUCUCAAAAAGGUAUAUUCUCAAUGUAAUUGUAGCACCCCGACUUUUUGAAAAGUCUAAAUUAACUCGUACCUUCAUGGAAAGACAAAGAGGGUGAGUUAUAAUUAAGAAUGAUGUGGUAUGUCAUAUUUUAAGUGUUCAAGGGCUGUAUCUCAAGUUUUAAAGUUAGGCAAGGGGCAACAUAAAAGUUGGCGCAAGUUAUCGUAAGUUCUUUCUUAAAGAUUUCUUUGAAAUUUGGGUCAAAUGUCUCGGAGGUUAUCUCUCAAUCUAUAAAGAGUUAUGGGCCCACGAACUACCAAAUCGAAGGUCUACGAGUCUAGUUUUCAACGCAUCAAAUCAUUCGUUAAUACGACUUUAGAAUAAAAAGAUAUUCGUGUUUCACGAGACUGCACAAGCAGGCAUGUGAGGUGGAGCCCUAGGUCGGUGGAACUUUUUAUAUAUCUUCUUCUUAGACUUUUUCUCAAUUUUUUUAGUUAAAAACCAGAAAACAUAGAUAUCCCAUUUCUAGGAUCAACCAAAUCAUAUAUUUUCUCGACUUAAGUCCUUGAUGAAAGUUGUUCUACGCAUUGAGCUCGUCAUUAUUGUAUAAUUUGUUAUAUCGAUUUCGUAGCAUAUCAUACUUUGGUGUCGGGACAGCAAGGUUUUGGACAUAUUUUAAGGUUUUGAGGUGUAUUACGAACUUAUGAUCAAGGUGAGACCCUUCUUUCAUCAAUUCUAGCUUUGAUAAGCCUCAAAUGGCAAUUUGCGACGGAAAUACAUAUCUUUUAUCGAAUUAUCAUGGCAUCUUCUAUUCUUGUGUGUUGAUUAUGGUCCUGCCUUGUUGUAGUAUCGAGGGUGUUUGUGAGUAAAAGUCAUUAGGCCAUGUGAGUUCAGCAAAAAAGGUAUGUUAAGUCUAUUCCCUUCUUAUGGCAUGUUUCCUUAAAGCUUAGGAGCAAGGUAAUUGGGAUGUUAUCGCUGUUAUACUUGUAGCAUUAUUGUUGAUUGUUGAUUGUCGGCUGCUCGAGUUGAUAUAAUCCUCCCUUGUCGGGAUUCUUAUUCAGUUAGUAGCGUCCCUAUGUCAUACAUGACUUAGAGUCUAUUCGUAUAGGUUGCUUAUAGCAAAAUUGUUCGCUUUUAGCCUAUUGGAUUGUUAUUGCCUCCCUUGGGGCAAUUGUGGUUAGCUGCAGGAAUGUGAUCAAUGCCUAGAAGGGCUAUGGUCUACCUACGGGGUUAUAUUGAUGCCUAGAAGGUCUACGAGUUACCUACGGGGCUAUAUUGAUGCCUAGAAGGGCUAUAAGUUGCCUACGGGGUUAUAUUGAUGCCUAGAAGGUCUACGAGUUACCUACGGGGCUAUAUUGAUGCCUAGAAGGGCUAUAAGUUGCCUACGGGGUUAUAUUGAUGCCUAAGAAGGCUAUGUGCUGCCUACAAGGCCAUGUUGUUUCCUAAGAGGGCUAUGGGUUUUCUAUAAGUUAUAUUGAUGCCUAAGAGAUCUAUGUGCUACCUAUGGGGCUAUAUUAAUGCCUAAGAGGGCUAUAUGACUACCUACGAGGCUAGGGGGAUACCGAUAGGGGUAUAUAGACUGGUUGGAAACUUAUGGGCUUAUGGUGGCCUGGGUAGGUGGUGUUAUGUGUUGUUUGUACCUGCCAAGCUUAUGGGGUUUGGUUAGAUUAUUGUUUUAUUAUUUUUUAUUAGUUUAGAUUUAGGAGCAGGUGAGUACAUUUAUCUUAUCGUUGAUUUAUUUAUCAAAUUACUCCCAGUAUAUUAGGAUACCUGCUCAUAGUCUAUUGCCUUUCAUACUCGGUAUAUUAUUUCGUAUUGAUACCCCAUUACAUGGGGGUACUGCAUUCAUGCUUGCAGGCCCUGGCAGACGACCCAGUAGACCUCCUCAGCAGCAUGUUUGACUUAUAUAUGGUUGGCAAGCCCCUUUCCUCCGUAGCAGCCAAAGUUGGGAGGUUUGUUAGCUUUUGUUGUAUAUAUUUUUAUGGGUAGGCUGGGGCCCUGUACCGCCGAUCUUUACUACUCUUAGAGGCUUGCAGACUAGUGUGUGAGAUGUAUAGCUAUCUUAUGGCCAUGCUGGCCUAGUUUGUUGGUUUACUAAAGCUUGCUAGUUAUCUGAUGUAUUGUCUUGAUAUAUAUACCUACUUUAAGUUUCGGUAAAGAGAUCAUGGCGGCCUCGAUGGCCAAUCAAGACUUAUAUGCUAGUUGGCUAUUUCUGUAUAUGAAUUCUUGGGAGUAGUUGUUUAUUUUAUAGAUCUGUUGACAGGGACCUUGCCGGUCGAUGGCUUAAGUUUAAGCCGAGAUAUACUUGUUUGUUUUCUUGAUUGCGUGUGGCUGCCAUGCGCUAGUAGCAAAUGGUUCAGCAAAGUUGGCUCGGGCCUACGUUUUGGCAUUAGGAGCCAUUUGCGCCCCUUGAGUUUGGGGUGUGACAAACUUGGUAUCAAAGCAACGUCGUAUCCUAGGGAGUCUACAAGCCGUGUCUAGUAGAUUCUUGUUUAUAAAUGUGUUGUGCACCACAUUCGAUAAGCAAGAAGCUACCGGGCAUGUUAGAAUGAAUAUCCUUCUUUUAGUCACCUCGUGUUAUAGAGCGGUGUCUUAAGGGUAAAGGUUUCUUGCUUAUAAUUGAUAUUUGUAUGCAGAUAGAGAUGGCUGACACCAGACAGACCACAGCUAGCCAGGGGAGAGAUACAGCUGCAGGCGGGGCUACCGGCAAGGUACCACAGGUGGAGGUAGCCCAUUGUGAGACCCAGGGGGAGACAUCUUCUCAACCCCGUAUAGCUUCUCCACUGCUUUAGGAGCCUCUGAGGGCUACAGUACCCCCGGCUCCACCAGCAAUACCACCUUUAGUUCCUCCUAUUCCAUCUGAUGAGGAUUUCAAGAGUGCAGUAUGUAUGUUAGCACAGUUAGUAGCUGCACAGCGCCAGCAAGUUAUGCCAGAUGUUGCCAUACCUUCUGAAGGGACCAGAAGUUUGAGAGUUCAUGAAUUUCAUGCCUUGAAUCCUCCACAGUUUACAGGGACAGAUCACAGAGAGUACCCUCAACACUUUGUUGAUCAGCUUUAUAGGAUCUUCAGAGUCAUGCAUGCCUCAGCGACUGAGUUAGUUGAGUUAGCAGCAUUACGAUUGCGUGAUGUUGCAGUAUUGUAGUACGAAAGUUAGGAGAGAUCUAGGGGAUAAGAUACAUCUCUACCCACUUAGGAUAGCUUUAGAGAAGCUUUCAUAAAUCACUAUUUACCUCGAGAGAUUAGGGAUGCCAGGUGGACCAGUUUCUGAAUCUACGACAGGGCAGCAUGAGUGUCCGAAAGUACGGGAUGAGAUUUGAUUCAUUGGCUAGAUAUGCACCAGCAUUUGUUUAUACGAUGCAUGACAGGGUGCGUAGAUUUGUGGGAUGGCUUGACUCAGACUAUAUCGACACUUGUUCUACCGCUGCACUAAAUGAUAAUAUGGAUAUCUCGCGAAUUCAAGCCUUUUCACAGAGCAUAGAGGAUCGCCGACAUCUACAGUAUAUGAGUGAGAGAGAGAGAGAGAUAGAAGAUGUCUAUUCCCGCUGGUUCACAGGGAGAUUUUCAGGGUGGUCCCAGACCAUGAUAUUCUAGUAGGCCAGCUAAACCUCCACCACAGCAGUUCCAGGGUAAUAAAUUUGAUCAUUAGGGAUAAUCAGGCCCAGGUGAGGGUUCACGAGCAUCAGGCUAUCAACAGCAGAGGGGUUCAGGCCAGGCUAGGACAGCCCCGCCGCAUUGUUCUACUUGCGGUAUCGUGCAUUUUGGGAGGUACAGGUAUGGUUCCACAGGUUGUUAUUCUUGUGGACAGGAGGGGCAUGGGUGGAGGAACUUCCCGACCAUAGGUCAGGGUGGUAGAGGUCAGUCGACCGGGUCAGGAGUAGGUUUCUCCUCAUUAGCACAGUCUACAGGGCAUGGACCCCAAACUUCAGCAGGUAAAGACAGAGGCUGAGGCAAAGAGGGAGCAUCUAGUUCUGGUAGCGGCCAGAACAGUAUAUAUUUACUAGCCGGCCGACAGGACUCAAAUUCAUCUCCAGAUGUUAUGACAGGUGCAUUGAUUGUUUGCUCCCAUUGUGUUUAUGCUUUGAUAGAUCCUGUUUCUAUUCUGUCUUAUGUUACUCCAUUUAUUGAGGGGAAGUUAUGUAUAGUAGUAGAGUCAUUAGAUCGACUCUUUAUUGUAUCUACACCAGUUGGUGAGUCUAUUAUUUCCAUGAGAGUCUAUCGAGGUUGUACGAUAGAAAUGUUUGACUGCCAUACCUCUAUAGACUUGGUAGAGUUAGAGAUGGUCGAUUUUGACAUCAUUAUGGGUAUGGACUGGUUAGCGUAUUGUUAUGCUAAUGUUGAGUGUCGGACAAAGAUUGUUAGAUUCCACUUUCCAGGAGAGGCAGUUCAGGAAUGGAAAGGCGAUACAGCAACGUCGAAAGGCAGGUUUAUUUACUAUCUUAAGGCGAGGAGGAUGAUUAGUAAGGGUUGUAUUUAUCAUCUUGUUCUCAUUCAUAAUAUAGAUGCAGAACCACCGACUCUUCAGUUUAUUCCGAUAGUUAAUGAGUUUCUAGAUGUAUUUCCAGACAAUCUUCGUGGAAUCCCUCUAGAAUGAAAAACUGUUAUUGCUAUCGAUAUGCUACCAAGUACACAACCCAUAUCUAGCCAUCCUUAUAUAAUGGCUCUUUCUAAGCUAAUGAAGUUGAAGGAUCAGCUGAAAGACUUGCUAGAUAAAGGCUUUAUCGGGCCUAGUGCUUCACCAUAGGUGCGCCAGUGUUAUUCGUGAGGAAAAAGGAUGGCUCAAUGAGAAUGUGUAUCGAUUACCAACAGUUGAAUAAGGUGACUAUAAAGAAUUAGUAUCCCCUUCCGAUGAUCAAUGACUUGUUUGAUCAGUUACAAGGUGCUAAGUGUUUCUCGAAGAUUGAUUUAAGAUCAGGGUACCACCAGGUAUGAGUUCAGGAGAAAGACGUUCCAAAUACAGCUUUUAUAACCAAAUAUGGACACUUUGAGUUCUUGGUAAUGUCUUUUAGAUUAACUAAUGCCCCAGAAGUGUUCAUGGACCUGAUGAAUAGUAUAUUCAGGCCGUAUCUAGACUUGUUUGUGAUUGUAGUUACUGAUGAUAUUUUGGUGUAUUCACGUUCAAAAGCUGAGCAUGCAGAUCAUCUGCGAGCAAUCCUUCAGGUUCUUCCAAACCGAAAACUUUAUGCAAAGUUUUCUAAGUGUGAGUUCUGGUUGGACUCUGUAUCUUUCUUAGGCCAUAUUGUAUCAAAUGCAUGCAUUACAGUUGAUACACAAAAGAUUGAGGUCGUAAAGACAAGACCCAUUACUCCGACUGAGGUUCGUAGUUUCUUAGGGUUAGCUGGGUAUUACACAAGGUUUGUAGAGGGGUUUUCUUUACUUUCAGCACCAUUAAUGAAGUUGACUCAAAAAGCAGCUAAGUUCUAGUGGACUGAGGCUUUCGAGUAUAGUUUCCAGGAGCAAUAUCAGGACCAGUUCUAGCAUUGCCAGAGGGUUCAGAGGGCUAUACGGUGUAUUGUGAUGCUUCUAGUGUUGAUUUGGGAUGUGUUCUAAUGCAACAUGGUAAGGUUAUCAUAUAUGCUUCAAGGCAAUUGAGGAUGCAUGAGAAGAACUAUCCGACCCACGAUUUAGAGUUGGCUGCAAUUAUGCAUGCGUUAAAGAUCUGGAGACACUAUUUGUAUGGCGUUCAUGUUGACAUCUUCACAGAUCAUAAAAGCCUUUAGUAUAUCUUUAGACAAAAGGAGUUAAAUCUGCGACAGCGUGGAUGGCUUGAGUUACUGAAAGACUACGACGUGGAUAUUUUAUAUCAUCCAGGAAAGCCGAAUGUGGUAGCCGAUGCCCUCAAUCGAAUAUCUAUGGGUAGUUUAUCCUAUUUAGUGUUGAGAAGCGUGAGUUAGCGCAAGAUUGAUAAUGGGGUCAUAAUUAAGGACACAACCGUAUCAUCUUUAGUUGUGGAGGUAAAAGCACGGCAACAGGAGAAUCCUGGGUUAGAGCAGCUCAGAGCCAAGGCUCAGAAUCAACAGUCUUUACCAUUUGAUAUAGCAGGAGAUGGAGUCCUUAGAUAUAGUGAUCAAUUGUGUUUUCCGGAUGUUGCAGGGCUUCGACAUCAGAUUAUGGAAGAGGCGCAUCAUUUCUAUUAUUCUAUUCACCCUAGUUCGAGGAAGAUGUACCAUGAUAUUAAGGAGAUCUAUUGGUGGCACGGGAUUAAGAAAGACUUUGCUGAGUUUGUGGCACAGUGUCCUAACUACCAACAGGUGAAGGUUGAGCACCAAAAGACCGCUGGGCUAGUCCAGUAGAUAGACAUUCCUUUGUGGAAUUGGGAAUCAAUUAAUAUGAAUUUUAUUACAGGGUCACCUCGAUCGCGUCGUAAAUUUGACUCUAUUUGGGUAAUUGUUGACAGACUAACAAAAUCAGCCCGCUUCUUACUAGUCAGGGCUACUUUUACAGCUGAAGACUAUGCAGGGCUCUAUAUUAGAGAGAUUGUUAGGUUACACGGUGUACCAGUAUCUAUUAUCUUUGAUAGAGGAGAACAAUUUACCGCUAACUUUUGGAGGUUCUUCCAGAAAGGACUGGGGAAACAGGUUAAUCUUAGUACAGCCUUUCACCCUCAGACAGAUGGCCAGGCUAAGUGCACAAUUUUGACACUCGAGGAUAUGUUACGGGCGUGCGUGCUAGACUUCAAGGGAAGUUGGGAUGACCACUUGCCUUUUAUGGAGUUCGCAUACAAUAAUAGUUAUCAUUCUAGCAUUAGUAUGACACCUUAUGAGACUUUGUAUGGGUGAAAAUGUACAUCCCCAUUGGAUGGUUCGAGGUAGGUGAGUCAGGGUUGAUUGGACCCGACUUAGUACAGCAGACACUGGAGCAGGUUAAGCUCAUUCGGGAGAGGUUGCUAACAGCUCAAAGCCGACAGAAGUCAUACUAAGAUAUGCGAUGAAGGGACUUAGAGUUUUGUGUCGAUGACUUGGUAUUCUUAAAAGUCUCGCCUAUGAAGGGUGUUAUGAUAUUUGGCAAGAAAGACAAGCUUAGUCCAAGGUUCAUUGGACCAUACCAGAUCCUUCGAAGGGUAGGACGAGUGGCUUAUGAGCUAUAAUUGCCUUUGGGGCUAGAAUCUGUUCAUCCAGUUUUCCAUGUAUCGAUGCUAUGGAAGUGCAUAUGAGACCCUUAUUGGGUUGUCCCAAUUGAGAAUGUUCAGAUCACAGAGAAGUUGUCCUACGAGGAAACUCUAGUUUCCAUAUUAGAUCGACAGUUCCAUAAAUUGAGGACCAAAGAGGUGGCUUCAGUUAAAGUAUUGUGGAGAAAUAACAAUAGAGAAGAGGUGACCUGGGAAGCUGAGGAUGGCAUGAGGUCCAAAUAUCCUCACUCGUUUCAUACCCCAGGGUGAUGACAUAUCAGUUUAUAUUAGUGUAGUGAGGUUAGACNNNNNNNNNNNNNNNNNNNNNNNNNNNNNNNNNNNNNNNNNNNNNNNNNNNNNNNNNNNNNNNNNNNNNNNNNNNNNNNNNNNNNNNNNNNNNNNNNNNNNNNNNNNNNNNNNNNNNNNNNNNNNNNNNNNNNNNNNNNNNNNNNNNNNNNNNNNNNNNNNNNNNNNNNNNNNNNNNNNNNNNNNNNNNNNNNNNNNNNNNNNNNNNNNNNNNNNNNNNNNNNNNNNNNNNNNNNNNNNNNNNNNNNNNNNNNNNNNNNNNNNNNNNNNNNNNNNNNNNNNNNNNNNNNNNNNNNNNNNNNNNNNNNNNNNNNNNNNNNNNNNNNNNNNNNNNNNNNNNNNNNNNNNNNNNNNNNNNNNNNNNNNNNNNNNNNNNNNNNNNNNNNNNNNNNNNNNNNNNNNNNNNNNNNNNNNNNNNNNNNNNNNNNNNNNNNNNNNNNNNNNNNNNNNNNNNNNNNNNNNNNNNNNNNNNNNNNNNNNNNNNNNNNNNNNNNNNNNNNNNNNNNNNNNNNNNNNNNNNNNNNNNNNNNNNNNNNNNNNNNNNNNNNNNNNNNNNNNNNNNNNNNNNNNNNNNNNNNNNNNNNNNNNNNNNNNNNNNNNNNNNNNNNNNNNNNNNNNNNNNNNNNNNNNNNNNNNNNNNNNNNNNNNNNNNNNNNNNNNNNNNNNNNNNNNNNNNNNNNNNNNNNNNNNNNNNNNNNNNNNNNNNNNNNNNNNNNNNNNNNNNNNNNNNNNNNNNNNNNNNNNNNNNNNNNNNNNNNNNNNNNNNNNNNNNNNNNNNNNNNNNNNNNNNNNNNNNNNNNNNNNNNNNNNNNNNNNNNNNNNNNNNNNNNNNNNNNNNNNNNNNNNNNNNNNNNNNNNNNNNNNNNNNNNNNNNNNNNNNNNNNNNNNNNNNNNNNNNNNNNNNNNNNNNNNNNNNNNNNNNNNNNNNNNNNNNNNNNNNNNNNAAGAGGUGACCUAGGAAGCUGAGGAUGGCAUGAGGUCCAAAUAUCCUCACUUGUUUCAUAUCAAUUUAUAUUAGUACAGUAAGGUAACAUACCUAUCUGAUUUUUUUUAUAUUGUUGCUUAUUAUUAUGGUUGUUCUCGUUGUGUUUUUGCUCGCACUGUUAUUGCGGAGCUAUAGUGCUUAGCUAUUUAUGUCAUCUUGUGAGACACCUAGGUUAGAAUUUGUACAUUUCAGGUUUCUGGAUAGUCACAUUUACAAAGGAUACUCUGCCUAAAUCUUGGCAACUCCUAAGGAAUUAACCGCGUGACUCAAAUUUUUCAUUCGAGGACGAAUGUUUCUAAGGGGGGAGAAUGUAACACCCCGACUUUUUAAAAUGUCUAGAUUAACUUGUACCUUCGUGGAAAGACAAAGAGAUUGAGUAAUAAUUAAGAAAGAUGUGGUAUGUCAUAUUUUAAGUGUUCAAGGGUUGUAUCUCAAGUUUUGAAGUUAGGUAAGUAGGCAAACAUAAAAGUUGGCGAAAGUUAUCGUAAGUUCCUUCUUAAAAAUUUCUUUGAAAUUUGGGUCAAAUGUCUCGGAAGUUGUCUCCCAAUCUAUAUAGAUUUAUAGGGACCACGACCUGCCAAAUCGAAGAUCUACGAGUCUAGUUUCCAACGCAUCAAACCAUUCGUUAAUACAAACUUCAGAAUAGAGAGAUAUUUGUGUUUUUGCGAGACAGCACAAGCAGGCAUGUGAGGUGGGGCACUAGGUCGGUGGAACUUUUUUACAUCUUCUUCUUCGACUUUUUCUCCAUUUUUUUCUAGUUAAAAAACAAGAAAACUUAGAAAACCCAUUUCUAGGAUCAACAAAAUCAUAGAUUUUCUUAACUUAAGUCCUUGAUGAAAGUUGUUCUACGCGUUGUCAUCAUGGUAUAAUUUGUUUUAUCAAUUUUGUAGCAUAUUAUACUUUGGUUUUAAGACAGCAAGGUUUUGGACAUAUUUUAAGUUUUUGAGAUGUAUUACGAACUUAAGAUCAAGGUAAGACCUUUCUUUCAUCAAUUGUAGCUUUGAUAAGCCACAAAUGGCAAUUUUAGAUGGAAAUACACAUCUUUUAUCGGAUUAUCGUGGUAUCUUCUAUUCUUGUGUGUUGAUUAUGGUCUUGCCUUGUUGUAGUAUCGAGGGCUUUUGUGAGUAAAAGUCAUUAGGCCACGUGAAUUCAGUGAAAAAGGUAUGUUAAGGCUAUUCCCUUCUUACAACAUGUUUCCUUAAAGCUUAGGAGCAAUGUAAUUGGGUUGUUAUCGUUGUUAUACUUGUAGCAUUAUUGUUGAUUGUUGGCUGCUCGAGUUGAUAUAAUCCUCCCUAAGAAGGCUAUGUGCUGCCUAAAGGACCAUGUUGUUGCCUAAGAUGGAAAUGAGUUUUCUAAAAGCUAUAUUGAUACCUAAGAAAGAUAUGUGCUGGCUACAGGGCUAUAUUAAUGCCUAAGAGGGCUAUGUGACUGCCUUCGAAGCUAGGGGACUACUAAUAAGGGUAUAUAGACUGAUUGGCACCUUCUCGGCUUAUGGAGGCCUGGGUUACUGGUCUUGUGUGCUAUUUGUACAUGCCGAGCUUAUGGGGGCUUGGUUAGGUUGUUGUUUUAUUAUUUUUUAUUAGUUUAGAUUUAGGAGAAGGUCAGUACACUUAUCUUACCCUUGAUUUAUUUAUCGGAUUACUCCCAGUAUAUUAGGAUACCUGCUCAUAGUCUAUUGCCUAUCAUACUCGGUACAUUAUUUCAUAUUGAUACCCCAUUUUCUGGGGGUACUGUAUUCAUACCUGCAGGUCCCGGCAGACGACCCAGUAAACCUCCUCAAUAGCAGGAUUGAAUUGUUUCCGGUUGGCUAUCCCCUUUCCGCCAGAGCAGCCAAAGUUGGGAGGUUUGUUAGCUUUUGUUGUGUAUAUUUUUAUGGGUUAGGCUGGGGGCCUGUCCCGCCAAUUUACUACUCUUAGAGGCUUGCAAACUAGUGUGUGGGAUGUAUAGCUACGUUAUGUCCAUGUUGGUCUAGUUUGUUGGUUUGCUGAAGCUUGUUAGCUGUUAGAUGUAUUGUCUUGAUAUAUACCUGCUUUUGGUUUCGGUAUAGAGAUAAUGAUGGCCUCGACGGCCCAAUCAAGACUUAUGUGCUAGUGGCUAUUUCUUUAUAUGAACUCUUGGGAGUAGUUGUUUCUUUUAUAAAUCUGUUGACAGGGACCUUGACGACAGAGGGCUUAGUUUUAAGCCGAGAUAUACUUGUUUCACUACAAAAAAAUUAGUGUUUAUCGUGGGAUGAAAUUCGGUGCUAAUCUAUGAUAUUCUGUUGCUAAAUAGGAUUAGUGAUGGAUUAGCGAUAGUUUAUUGAUUGUUACUAUAUCUCUCGUUGAUAAUCUCUUAGUGACAAAAAAAUGUGUUCCGUCACAAGUUUAGCGACGGCUUAGAGACGAAAGAUAUAUGUCCCCACUUGUUAGUGACGGACUAAUCCGUCAUUAUAUUUAUAUUGUUUGUUGCUAAUUUCAUAAUUCAUUUCGUCAAUUUUGAUAAAUUCGUGACAGAUUUUUUGUCGCUAAUCUGUCGCAACAUAUUUCGUCGUUUGAGCCAGCACAUUUGGAACAAAAAAAAAUGUCACUGGUCCGUCGCCAUCAUUUCUUUAUGUAGCAAUGACCAAAUAAUCGCUAUAUUUGUUGCUAAAUGUUUUCUUUGUAAAUUUGAUUUAUUUUGUUUUAAAUAUACACUGCCUAUAUAAUUUAAAUUAAAUUGCUAAAUACCCCAAAAAUAAUCAACAUAUAAAAUAAUAUCAUAGAUGGUUCAAAAUAUAUAGAAUAUCAAAAUUGCAUAUUUUCGAUUCAAAACAUCCAAAAACAAUAUAUCAACUGUUCUUAAAAGAACCUACAUUCAUCAAAUAUUGUUACUACAAAAUUUGUACUUUCCAAAAAAGUAGACAAUAUAAAAAAAAAGGGAUACGAUUGUCAUGUGAAACUAAGGAUCAACCUCGUCCUCAUUAGUAGUAGUUGAAGAAGGUACUAAGGGUGUCACAGUUGAUGGGUUGUCAAUGUGAGUACUCACUUCUUGUACCCUCUCAAUAACAACAAGAAGAAAGUGAUUAGUAAGUGCAGGAUCGAUAUCAGUUUGAGACACUGUCUUUUCCCGCAAUAUUUCCUCAUAUUUUUCCUGUAACAAGUAGAGGAAAAAUGAAAGCAUUAAACAUUGGGAACAAAAUAUAUUUUGAAGGCCAAUAAAAAACAUGCAUAACCUUUUAAGCAUUAGCAUUAAUGUACAAAUUGGGCCUUCAAAUUUCAAGCCUUAACAAUUCAUAACUACAUAAGAAGUUUCUAAAAUAUAAUAAUAUGUGCAGUUGAUCAAUAAUAUGUAAGGGAAUAUGCAGCCCAACAGAGAAUAUGUAGGGAAAAAAGGAAAGAAAGAGAGAGUCGAAACGGACUCAUCACAGUUGUAUAGCAUAGAUGGACAAAAUAAGAAAAAUAAGUAUCAAAACAAGGAAAUGUAUGAACUACCAUUUAACCCAUCACAUAAGUACUUGACUCUUUGAAGCAAACAUAGCCUUGUUUUCUUCAUGAAGAUAAUGCAUAAGAACUGAUAUAUCAAGGCUUUCAUAAAAUUCAUAAUUAAAUAUCGUUCAUGGGGUGAAAUAAGCAUGAUCAAUGAUUAAGAGUCUUCCAAUCAAUUAAUAUACUGAAAUAGACACAACAAAAUCAAUAAUUAAUGAUAAGAAAGUAAGUAGAACCCUCGAAUGUAGUAAGCCUUGGGUUUGAAACCCUAGUUGAACCUUGCUAACUGAAAUUUAGAUGUAGGGCGUGAGGAAGAACUCACUAACUCACUAUGAUAGCCUUACAUACCUUAAAUCACUCUAAUUGAAACUCUAAGUUCGAAGAGGAUCCCUAAAAGUCUCUUCUUGAACUUUAGGAUGAGUUCUUGUUUUCACUAGAUAUGAGAGAAAGAUUUGAUGUACAAUCUUAUUAAGAAUUUGUGAUUAGAGAUUGAAUUUUUUUAGAACUAAUUUAGGUACACGAGAGUAACAUACUUUAGUAUUAAAGAUGCAGGAGAUUAGAGAAUUUGAGAGAAAAUAAGCCCCAGGUCGUCCAAGAUGAAUUUUAUAAUGACCCACCGUCUUAAUUAAUAAAUAGAGCAUUUUGAAAUCUAGACUUUCAAAAAUUUGUUUGGUGCGCGUGGUGCGCCCACCCAGGCUACUAGAAAAAUGGCCUAGCGUGGUGCGCCCACGCUACCAGGCAUAGGGAGCGCACGGUCAAUUUGACAUCUCUCUAGUAAAAUCAGAUAACAUUUUACUCAAUAGUCGGGUUGACGAGUGGCAAGUGACGUUGGAAAGAAUUAUUGUAGACCUUUAAUUCGAUAGGUCACGGGUUACCUAAAUCUUACUAUUCUGAGAGGUAUGGUCGUUUGAAGUUGACCCUUGUAGGAACUCAUGUGAAAACAUAGUUGAUAGAAAUGUUUUGAACUUGGCUUGGUGUUUGAGGUUCCUUACGACCAUAAACCAUAUCAAAUGUACAACUUAGAAUUCAUUGGGUUCAGACCUAUAAACCUACAAAGGAUGAUUCGAAUUUUUGCUUAAAAGAUGUUGGACGUUACAUAGAUUGUCCCGCAUUUUUUUGUGUACUCAAAGAAUUGUGACAGAAAGAUGGAAAACACUUCAAUUCUUGGCCGAAAUCAAAUGAAAAGUCCUCUGACAUUUCUUAAUGUGACACAUGUCCCUCCACUUUUAAUGCUCCGAGUACGUGUCUUCCUGUGAUUGGUUAAAAACCAUGGCCGACCAUCCAGGCAAUGUUGACGUUUCUUUUCCAAAAUCUAUAUAUGUUCUUCCAUUUUCAAUUUACUUCCUUCACACCUUAUCCUUAGAACUUUCUUGCCAUUCUUCCGACUUUCAAGUUUUACCUGAGUUUCAUCAAAGAUUGCCACCUUCUUAACUAUCCUUUGACUUGAUUUAUCAAGAAUCUACAACAUAAUUACAACUUAAUAGGGGAGGGUGGGUGGACAAAGUCGACAAUAGCAAUUUGAAGGAACAAACCACAAUUGAGGACGAGGGUCAUUUUUGGAGAAUAAAGAUGUUGGGUGAAUCAUUUUACAAAUGACCAAUGAAUUUUUACAAAAGAUCCGAUUUAGAUUUUUAUCCAAAAAUAUUAACCCCCUUAAGUUUUAAACUAAAAAUUAUUUUAGUUCUGCAUGAAUGGAAAUAUUUAUUCAUGUGGACUGUUACUUGACAACUUUUUUUUAAUACAAUUAGAGAGUGCACACUACAUACAAUCAUCUAUUAAAUGAUGUCUUUUUUAAUACAUAUAUGGUUAUAGUUUAGGUAGAAAAGAAGAACAACUGAUAAUGGAGAGUGUGACUUUGACCAUUUAACUUUAUUUUUUUUAAAUGUUUACUUUCACUUGACGAAUUUAAAAAUCAAGAGAUAAUUUAUCAAUUAGUUCUUGAUAAAUUAGACCUUCACCAACAAGAUGAACAAAAGUUCAUGUAAUGAGCCAACUUAACUAUUAAGAUUUGUUCCCUCUAGUCCAUAUUAAGUGAACUGUCAUAAGUUUUUUUUUUAUAGUUCAAAAUAAGUGAAUUUUUCAAAGUUCAAGAUAUUUGUUAAUUGGAUUUCUUUUCUUCAUAUUUAUCCUUUUUACCCUCGAACUUAUUUUAUAAAUAAUUUUCUACCCCUUUUCGGCCUACGUGGCACUAUCAACCAGAUAGCUUGAAAAAAUUGCCAACACGCUGGGCCCAGAAGAUAGUGCCACGUAGGACGGAAAGGGGUAGAAAAUUACUUGUAAAAUAAGUUUGAAGGGGUAAUAGGACCUUAGUAUAGUAUAAGUGUGUUUCUGAGAUUUCGGACAUAGGUUGGGGAGGUACUUAUGCAUUUUCCCAUUAAAAAUAGUAUUUAAUAUUUGUCCUUAAUAUUUUUCUUUAAGAGGAGUGUUAUAUCCCAACAAUUUCACUUAAUAUAGACUAGAGGAAGUACCAUUCAUUUCCCCAAUAUAUUUGUCAAAAUAUUGAAUUAAUUAUAUUCAAAGAAUGAUAUAGUAAAAUUAGGGAAAAGGUACAAGUACCCCCCCCCCUAAACUAUGACCGAAAUCUCAGAGACACACCUUAACUAAACAAAGGUCCUAUUACCCCCCUGAACCCAUUUUUUUUGUAAAUUUGUACACCUUUUCGUCUAACAUGGAAUCCAAAUAUCUCCCACGUGCCUCAAUUGCAUGGAGUCACGGAGUGUGCCACGUUAGACAAAAGGCGUACAAAAUUACAAAAAAAAGUGAGUUAGGGGGAGUAAUAAGACCUUAGUUUAGUUAAGGUGUGUCUCUGAGAUUUCAGUCAUAGUCUAGGGGGGUACUUAUGCCUUAUCCCAGUAAAAUUAUUCUUGUAUUUAUUUCUCUUUAAGGAAUGUGACAGGUGUGUACCGACUCGGACAUGAAGAGUAUAAAAGUUCUUAAAUACUAAAAAAAAAUACUUAUUACAGCCUUUGCAUUUCACACGGUUUUAGGGUUUUGAUUUCCCUUUUUCCUUAGCUUUUGAAUUUUCAUUUUUUCGUCUUCGUCUAGGAUUACCAGGAGACCGAGUUUAUUCAAGUCCUUAAUCUCCUUAGGUAUAUACCCAAAUUCAAUCAGAGUUUCCCAUGUUAAUUGAUAUACACGUCCUCACUAUAUAUGAUAAUGAUAUAUACUAUGUUUUUUUAUUAAAGUAGGUAGCUAUACUCAUUUGUGUCAGAAGCAUUUUUAUUGUGUUUUUUACUCUAUGUUAUUUCAUGUUAUCCUUGAUUUUAUCAAUGAUAUGAGAGUCAUAUCCAUCACCCUUCGUGUCCACUGUUUCAGGAAGGCGCUGACCACCCAACUCAAAAAGGGCUACCUUAGAAAAAGUUGCCUACUUGUGGUAAAGUGAAUACUACCUAGUAUUGAGCCAUUGAGGAUCUCCCACAUUAAUAGCUAGGUUUUGCAGUGUGGAAGAAUGGAUAUUUGGAGUCCCAAAAUUUUGUAUAAGAAAGUUAUUGUCUAUAUAUAUGGUCUUGGGAAAUGGAUAACUUUUGAGUCGAGUUAGGUGCAAAUGUUCAUUAAUUUAUUUGCAUGAUAAAAUGUAACAUGGAAGCAGAAUGUAUCGGUUGCUAUUUAUAAAUAGUUAAUCUAGAGUUGGCAGAUGGUUUAAACAGGACUCUCGGUGAAAUUAUAGUAGUGGCGGAAGGAGAUUCAAAAUAUAAAUUUUGAAAUGAAUACUAGAAUGUAUACCUAAGAUUUAAAUAUAUGAUCUAAAACAGAUUUUCAACCCCAUCUGCCACUACACUAGUAGCUUCCCUUAUGGCAAAGGGGAUUUAACAAUUUACAUAUAACUAGGAAGAUUAUGUUUGCCUUAAUUACACAGUAUAUUUUUUUAACGAAGGGGAUUAAAUUAACAACAUUGCCAAUACCUAGUUCCACCACUUAAUAAUAGUGAUAACUGCUAACUACCUAUUCUAAAUGGAAUUGUCUUCUAUAAAUAGUACUUAAUAAGUUUAACAAAAUAUAUAGGCUAAGUUGAUUGUUUUCUUCUAAAAUUAGGGGGGAGGUUAAUUCAAUAAUAGUGUUAACUACUAACCAACAUUUCUAAAAAAUUAGGGGUGAAGUAAAUUCAAAACAUAACAUUUGUGGGUUGAAACCAAAAAUGUGUUGUAUAAUUUUUGACAAAGAUUGUUUGUGCAUUUCUGAAUGGAGAUUUGUUUUUUUUAUUCUGCUUUCUGAACUCAUGAGAACCUUAAAUUUGUGCCUACUGAAAGGAUUUGAGACCAUAUUAGGACUGGCCUGUUGUGGGAUCUACUAAAAAGAACCCUUCAAGGCCACAAUUUAUUUGAUGCCAUGAUUUUAAAAGAUGUGAAUGAAAUUGAAUAGUUGUGACUUUUAUAAAGAGUUUUGACUUUUCUGAAGAGUUGCGACUUUUCUGAAGAAUUGUGACUUUUCUGAAGAGUUGUGACUUUUAUAAAAAGUUAUGACUUUUUCAUAAGGUUGUGACUUUUCUGAAGGGUUGUGACCUUUUUGAUAAGGCACAAUAAGCGGUCAUUCACCCUACCAUCUAUUGUCUAUAAAUAGAGGGGUUCCUCUUAUUUUUCAAUAACAAAUUUUUGAACUUCUUUCUUUUCUACUAAAUCUAGUAUUCUAAGUGUACUUUACUUUUGUUGAGUAUCGAUACACCGGUGAGUAAGAUUAUUCCAUUAUGAGAGGAUAUAUUACAUUAACCUCAGGUACUUGAGGGACUAAUUUCCUUAAGAAAACAUUGUGUAUUCAAUGGGCUCAAUUUUGUUUUUUGAGAAAAUAUUUUGUUUAUAAUUUUUAAUUUGUUUCAAAUUCUAUUUUCUUUACUGGUUUUAAGUUUCUAGUUUUGAAAAUAUUCUUUAAAUUUUGUUGCUUCAUACCAAGUUCUUCAAAAUUGUUGUUCUAAGUAUCUUAGUAAUAAUUUCACACCAAAGGUGGCUUUGAACUUUAGGUAUUUAUGUAAAACAUGAUGCAUUAUGCACAAACAUUCUAUUGAUCAGCUUUGAUGUUUCCUUGGGAGGAGAAUGUUUUUGUAGCUCAUGCUGAAAGGUCUAACAUUUAUCUUCAUUUGAAGCAUAACUUCUUCAGGUAAAAAAUUAGCUAUCUUGUUUUCCUGGAGAAUAUGCCCAACUUUUGGCUUUUCUCCUUCAGUUGGUUUUUUCUCCAAUAUUUUAUAGCCAAAAAUGGUUUGCUUUCUACCUUGGAUUUCUGACGUUUCUUUAUUUUUCUAUGGUUUCAGACUUCCAUUGGUAUCAACAGAGUUAGAGAUUUCCAGCCUAAUGUCUGCCCAGGAGGAGGUUGGGAGAGUCAUGCACAUGUUGUAUAUAAUGGGAGUGCUUCUAGAAUCAAUGAAAUUGGGCUUCAACUUUAUCCAGUUUCUAAGUAUGACUGUGGCGAAAGCUUACCAUAUGCUCCUGUAGAUUGGCCAAAUGCUGGUGAUAAGUGGGGCUCGCGGGUAGGGAAAAGAGUUAAAAGUUCAUGCACCUUUAGAGAUAGAUAUUUGUAUCUUCCGAAGCAUUUUAAGGCUCCAAAAAGUGGAAAGAAAAAUGCUUUUCGAAGUAAGACUUCAGUUAAAAAUUAUCUCCAGUCUAAGUAUCCUGACAUGGAUAUAAACCAAUUUUAUAUCUCAUUUAGUUGGAUAAUUCCUAUGAAGCAGUCACCAAGUUCAAAAGGUUAGCUUCGACAGGGAUCUUUGGUAUAUAGCAUGUAGAUAUUUAUUCGGUUGUUUGCAUCAAUUGAAAAAACACUUACCACAUCUUUUUAUUGACCUGAUUCCAAAUUUGUUUUCUUUUUAAUUAGAUAUUGAUUUUGACUAAGAUAUGAUAGAGAGGACUACAUCUUCAAGGAUAGAAUUGCAGUCUUUACUGGUAACAGAAUCUGUAGCAUUUUAACAGCAACAAAUCUUUUUUCGGCCAUGCUUUAUGAUAUCUGUUGGAUUUUUGUCGAGACUGUUGUUGUAUCCUUUGCUGCAAAACUACCAGUUCGGACUAGGGGAAAUACAUAAUUACCCCAUUCAACUAUAGCAUUUUUUUUUAAAAAGACACUCAAACUUUAUAAGGGUCCUAGUACACCACUAAAUAAUUUAAAAGUGAUAUAAAUAUCUCAUUUUUCAGCUAAUCCCACUUAUAAAAGAGAAGGUGUAAGCACGCACUAAUUAUAGUUUGCCACCUGUCAAUUUUAUAUAAUUUCCUAAUCUUUGUUUUUAUUUAUGUUUUUUUUUAAUUCUUUAUUUUUUCUUUCUUCGCUUUAACCCAUCCGUUGGUCUUCUUCGUUGUGGAGUGGCCGCCAUUGCUACAACACCAUUUACAACACUAAAUCAAAAUUAAAACUGGAAAAUCAAAUCCGCUUUCAAAAUUUAUUAUUUUCAAAUUAAAAUUUCUAUCAAAGUCUUCUUUUUGUGUGUUUUGCCUUUGAUUUUUGCUCUAAAUCAACUUGGGUUGUAUUUGAAAAAAACAUUGAAAUAACGCCGAAGAUUCUAUCUUUGAAGUUACCAUCACCUUUCCGGAGAUUCUCACCCCAGACAGUCAAGAAGGAGAAGAAGAAAUCUGAGGAUGAAACAACAAAUCUGUUGUUGCUUCCGUUAUCAAUGGGAUUUUUUCGUCAGUGAAAAGACAUUUUAUUUUAUGUACUGAGAUUGUGUUAUUUAGUUACAAUUAAAUCCCUCCGUCGAAAUCCAAUCUAAAUGAAAAACGAAAAGAGAGCAAAAAAAGAAGAAAAAAAAAAACUUCAAGCUCCUUCAAUGGUGAAGCUCGGGAGGGAGAAGAAAAAAAAAAUUAACAGUAAAAUAAAGAUUAUUUAUAUAGUUAAUAAAAAAUAUUGCAAAAGAAAAGUUUAAUCUUACUUUUUUGGUUUACACGCUCUUCAGGCGAGUGAUAUACACUCUCUCUAUAAAAUAUCGAAAAAUGGUUCAAUAAUUUCACAUCAAUCUAGUUAAGUGGUGUAUUAGGACCCCCACAAAGUUUAAGUGUCUUUUUCAAAAAUACAUCUUACUUUAAUGGGGUAAUUAUGUAUUUUCUCUUCGGACUAUGAUGGGUAGAGUUACAUUCAAUGUGAAGCAACAGUAGAUGGCAACAUAUGUGGACAUGUUUCCAAUCUAGACUGUUCUCUACGAGCUUACAUGGCUGGGACAGUUGGAGGAAGCAUCAAUUUGGAUGCACAGUAUUUAUGUUGAUACUGUAAUUCAAGGAUGGAUUUGGUUCCACAUGCUCUGAAGCUUUUAAACACCUGCACAUCUAUUGCUUCUCGUGCUGACAUCGAAAAGAUUUUGAAUGUUCGCAUUUGUAUUUUGCGUGGCUCACAAGAAAGAAGUGGAAAAGAGUUGUUGCAUCUUAUUGAAUCAGUCAAGGCAAAGGUAUAGCUAAUUGAUGAAUUGUACUUUUUUUCCCUUAUGAUGCUAUCUGUUUUCCAUUUGAGGUUUACAGUUACCAGAAUGACCAAUUUGAUAAUCAUAUCAACUUAUGAAAGGAGUCUGCAUUCAAGAUGCAUUCAAAAAGGAAAGUUGUGUGGAUAGCACUGAUAACUUCUCUGCCCUUUCAUCAUCUUGUUUGUGUUGAUCUAUUACUUUGACUUGAAUAUCUGUAUCUGAGCAAGACAUUUCAGUAUGUGCAAAUGUGGUUCUCUUUCUAUAAGUAUUGUUUAUUUCAGGACACAAAUAUAUACAUUUGUUGAUUUUUUUAAGUCAACUACCCUACAGUUUAGACGAUUAGAUAAAAAAAAACAUAUUAUAUAAGGUGUAAAGAUAUAAAAGACACAAUUGAUACAAAUAUUUUUAUACUUGUUCCAAUCACCGGUGUGGUGCCUAAUCCAGUCCCCUUGGUUUCCUUAGAGCUUGAAUGUUUCUGAUUAGACAAAUAGCCUAUUGUGAACUCCUUGACAUGAAAGAUUACAGUUCACUUGUUGGUAACAUCCUCUACUCGUAUAGUUUUCUAAUCUCUCCUUUUCUUUUCUUUUCACUAGUUAACUAUAUUAAAUAUAAUGUUUUUACAAUAUGAAAUAGUGCUAGGAUAAGCGUGUGCUAACUUGUUUCCAUCUUUAGAAAAGUCGUUCUUCCUUGAUGCAAAUCAAUCUUCCUUGAUUCUGAUAGGGUGUGCUUUCCUUUUAGUAGGUUGCUGACUUGUCUUGAUUUCAUUUUUACGCGAGUCAAUCUCCUUGAUUCUGGUACUAUUAUUUAUCAAUCUUCCUUAAUUCUGGUAGUGUGUGACUUCCUUCCGUGUUUAGAUUUAAGCUUUCUUUUCACAGAUUUUGGAUAUAUCUCUUUUUCUCCUGCACAAAUCAUUUAGGAUUAGUGUCAUCAUUAGAACAUGAAGUUAAUAGAGCUAACAGUACUUGUUAUUUGGUUCUGCCUUUAGCUAUACUACUCAGAUUUACUGGAGUGUAUAUGUUAGGCUGAUAAAUCCAGAUAUUGUUGUUAUUGUUCUUGUGAUUCUUCUUACUGGGCUUGAAGUGCAACCAUAUUUUCUAAGGGGGGAAAUUCAAGUUUAAACUGAUGAAUAGUGAGCUUAGUCAAUCGACUUAAUUGUUGAGUAUAAGAUGAUUAGAUAUUAUUUGAACAAUUAAAUUUAGUGGUAAAAUUAUAAUGAUAUUCAACUUUACCAUUCGAUUGAUUAUUUUAUAUUUCAAUGACAUAUAGUUUAUCUGUGAAUAAGUGACAUCGGCUAGCUAGAAAUACUUUACGUUUAAUAGUUUUAAAUGGUGUAUCUUCAAGAAAUUGUUCCCCCUUUUUUUGUAAAAUGAUCAAUUUUCUGUAUAUAAGGAAAGCUUAAAUCAAUUCUCAGCAUGCAUAAAAACUUUUCAGUAAGAUUUUUAGGCUGCCGAUAAAGGAAGUUCAACAGAAGAUGCAGAGUGAUUAUGGCAUAAGAAAAAUAGUUUAACCACCCUCAUACUACAAUACAAAAACUUCCCUCUUGAGUUGAAAAUUCUUGAUAGGGUUGACUUUGGUAAACAUUUUGAGUUCUGAGCGUCGGAUUGGAAUUUCGUCAGUUUCAUCGCUUCCGGAACGUCGAGUUUGAGCUAGUAGAGUGCUUGGUAAGGUUUUCAAGGCCUAAAGAAAUGUUCAAGAGGGUAUUUUUGUCUAAAUGAUCAUUUUUUGGAAAUCCAAAGAUUUCAUUGAGUCCGGAAUGUCGAGUUUAGUGGUAGCAUAUUUGAUUUAUUUUUAUCGGGUCUCGAAUAAAUCUUAUGGAUCCGUUUGGAGAUUUUAAUAAGUUGGAGAUUAUAUUGUGUUGCCCGUGUGGUGGGGGCUUGAUUAUAUUAUGUUGCCUGUGUGGGGGAUUGAGUAUAUUUUGUUGUCUAUGUGGGGGCUUGUAUGUGUUGCUUAACCUAUGUUGAGGCCUUAAUUAUUGUUCUAUUUGCUUUGAGAGCAUCUGAUUCAUGAGUUGCAUGUGAGAGAGGCUAGUAAUGCUAUUUGACCUGUAAUGCCUGAGUGAGGGGAUGAGUUGGAAACAUUAUAAUGCUUUGAGUAAACGAAAUGCUUUCUAAAUGGAAUUCAUUUAUUUCAAAUGAACUCUUUCCCACUAUUUUUCAUAUGAGGGUGUAUAUCAUGAUUCAACUGAGUUUUGAGAAAUUAAGACUAGUGAUACAUGUUGAGUUGAUUAUUGCCUCCAUGUUAUAGAUGUAUUGUGAUGCAUCCAUCCUCAUUCAUCAUAUCAUGUUCUUGAGAAAUUGAGAAAAAUAUGGAGAUUCCUUUUGAGAAAGAAAAUGAGACACCUUUUUAUAUCCUUGACCACACUAAGGUGGCAAGUUGAUGAGAUAUUGAGAUUGUGAUUUGGUAUAUGAACUGCGAGUCCCCCAUGGGUCCUUGUCUGGAAGCCUUAGCUCGACAGUAUAUGACAGGUUGUGCGACAACCUUAAUUCCAUCGUACCACCACAUCAUUGCAUCAUAUCAAUGCAUUGCAUUAAUCGUUUGAGUAGCUUGACUUGUGUUUGUUAUGGGAAUUGUUGUGACCUUAUGUGUUUACUUUACUUGCGUCGUUCAUUAUAAAUUGGCGGCACUAAUGCCGGAGUGGGACUUUUUUGUAUGCAGGUGGAAGCAUUCAUUAGUUAAUUUAUAAGCUGAUUAAUUCCUUUUACUUAGUUGGCCAAGCCUACUGAGUACUUGUGGGUUGUUCUCACCACUACUUCUGAAUCAUUUUUUAUGCAGAUUCUAGUUAGGGUACUCCCUGCGGUGGCUAAUAAUUUCUAGCUUUGGAGAUCUUUUCGGAGUGGUGGUGAGAUCCUGUUUUUGGAUCACCAUUAGUUCCAUAUAAUAUUUUCAAUCUUUAUUUCUUAUCGGAGACUUAUGAUGUGUUUCAUACUCUAAAGUUGUAUUAGAUGCUCUUUAUACUUAUGCUAUCUGAUUUUGGGAUAUUCAUUGUUGUUCUUUUCUAUUGUUUGUGGCGUGACCACCCUUUUGCAGUCUCGUAUGUGUGUUAUUUUCGGCUUACACACUUUUUUUUGGGGGGGGGGGGGGGUGUUGGAGUGUGUUCCAUCAUAACCUCAACUUUUGGAUCGUGACAAAAUGCUUCUCAAUUUGACAGGGAGACAUAUUUCAAGAGACUCGAACAAUCUUAUCUCCAAUUUCAUCUGUCAUUAUUCCUUGAGAAGAGCAUAUAUUGUAUUGUUUAUUUAAAGUAGAACAAAUACCAAAACUCCAUUCAACUAUAGAAUUUCUUUUAAUUAUCAUAGCCAACUAUAUCUCACUUUCAUUAGGAUGCAAAUAGUGUCAAUAAAAUAUGAAAUAUUAAAUACUGAAAUUACAGGUAGAGGUGUUCAUGGGUUGGUUUGGACCAGUUAUUGGUAAAAAUCAAAAUCACACCAAAUUAAUCGAUUUUAAAAUUAUCAAAACCAAACUAAAUCACAUAUAAUAUACAUUUAUCGGUUUAGCUGUUAUCGAUUUGGUUCGGUUAUUUAGUUAUUAACCAUACAAAAUAAGAUAAAAUAAAAUAAACAUUUUAUUCAAAACCAAACAUAGUUAGAAUGACUGACAUUAUAGAAAUUUCAAUCAUUGAAUUUACUAAGAAUAAAGCUUUAAAAUUCACCAUUUUGGCCUAGUCUAGAAGGAAAGGACAGUGACAUUUUCAAUCCCACAAAGAAUUUUCAUAGAAACUGUCUCACACCUCGAGCCUACACCCUGGACGUGGCCGACACUCGAGAACCAUUGUUGGCCCCAAGCGAACCCUUGGCCUGGCUCAACUCUUAGCGGAAGACUUACUCAAAAAUAAAGAAACCUCAAAUAUAAAUCAACUUAUAAAGACAUCAUUACUAAAAUUAGUUUAGCUCAAUAUAGUCUGAAAUGUUCAAUAACAUAACUGUUUAACUCAAGUCUUAAACAUUUAACAAAAGAAAUGGAAAAGACUACUCAAAACACUACUAUCUAUGAAGCCUCUAAUGACAAUGAUGGAAGUUGGGACAAGACCCAUGGCAUCCUAACAAAAUUAAAAGUAAAUGGGAAUCCUUCAGAAGCAGGAAGAAUCACCAAAGAAACUCUGGAACUACACGUUGUAUCAACGGUGCGUCUGUUGAUGACCCUAAACUACCGUAUUUGCAUCAUAAAAUAUGCAGGCUAAAUGGAGUCAGUACAUGGAAUGUACGAGCAUGCAAGGGGAACUCUAAAGCACAGACAUAAGCUUGAACUAAUAAUAAUGAAGAACGUACUCACCUCAUCUCAACUCAACUCAACUCAAGGAUACUCAAACUCAGAAGUACUUAACUCAGUUCAAAUUAAAAGCAACAAUAAAUAUGCGUUAUAAAGAAAGCUUUUAAAACAGUAGAUAGUAAAUCAAUGUACUUAAAAAUACAAUAAUAACUCUUUUACUCUUAUUUGGGAGAUUCUCUAACCGACAACCAUCACUAUGAGCUAUAUGAUGAUACAACGUCUCGCCCUCGCUGCCAGAACUGUCCUAUACCUUGCCAGAGUAUAAGACAUCCUCAACUAAGUGUAUCCACUAAGCUAUGCUUAAAAAACAAUAAGGAGUCGUCUAAAAAGUAUGACCCUUUCUACCCACUUUGGCAUACAUGGUUUAUGUGGACUUUGAGUUGUCUGAAAUCGUCCCCAUAUCGGUGCUCAAUACUACUCCCAAUAAUAUAACUCAUGUUCAUAUGUUUAAAAAAAAUUUCCUCGUCCUCAAACUUUGAGAUUAUUACUCAAAAGGUUUUCUUUAAAGAGAUGAUACUCAAAAACUCCUCAUGAACUCAUUUGGAAAUCGAUGUUCCCUCUUAUUUUAAAUGUAAAAACAUUUACUCUUGGGAAUACUUAGUUCCCAUUUAUUCAUUUUGAAAAAUGAAAUUCAACUCUCCUCAUCCUCAUACUCAAGUACUCAAGUCUUAAAACAAGUUUAAAAGUUUUGCAAAAAGAAUUCUCAAUUGACUCAAAGAACUUCCUCGAACUUUACUCUUAACUCUAACUUAAAUUUGAAUUAUGAAUUCAAGAGUUAUGACUUGGAUAUGCAUGAUCUCUCAAUGAUUAACAAAGAUUUUAAGUAUGGAUAUCAAGUAGAAAGCAUAGGUACUAUUUGAGGGAAUGCACACGAAAAUAAGGACAGAAGGGUAGGGGACCUGGCGACCCUGGCGCACUCAGUGGCGCAAGACGCCAACCCCUAAGCUUCAGAAAGUGGUUUGGGGCGCACUGAGUGGCACGAUGCCCCACCCCUAUACCCAGGUUUUGAUGAAUUUUCUUGCUUCAAUUUCAUCUCCAACUCCCCUAGAAUCAAACGGUUUCCGUCAAACUCUUUUAGAUUCUUAGACCCAACAUAAUUACAACGAAAUCCACUCUAAAUUACUCAAGAACAAUACUCAACCACAAGAUCCUCAUCGCAAGAACUCAACGAAACCUCAUAUCAAAGAAAGACCCACAAACUUCAAGAGACACAUCAAGAACUCAAUAUACCCAAUCUUAUGGAUGAAAUUCGUAAAAGAAACUCAUGAUUGGCAUGUGUGUGAUUGAACCCAUCACUAUGAAAACUUAAAUACCUCGUUAAGAUCAAAUCCUUGGCGAGAUCCCUCGACGAUUUGCAAGAAAACCUUGAACGCUCGAAUAUUCUCCUCUCUUCCUCCUCUUGAAAUUUUCUCUAAAACCUUAAGUGUAUUUUAGAAUUGUAAAAACUGAUGUAAUUCAGUUUAGACCCCUAAAAUAUUACUAAAAAUGUUUAAAGCAAAUGGGGUAAGGAAAAGACCAAACUACCCCUCUUUAAUUCGGAUGAACUUUCCUUAAUCGGAUAGGCUGAACUCAAAUGGGAUAUCUCCCUCAUCCGGACUCGGAAUUUAGAAAACUCAGUGGCAUUGGAAAAAGGACUCAAAGACCUUUCAUUUGAUACCUUAUGGGCCACCUAACUCAUCAUGUACCAAAAGUUAUGGUCAUUUGAAGUUGACCCGAAACUCUAAUUAGCUCUUUCCAAUUUAGUUCUUACUAAAAAUAGCUCUUUCUAAAAUCGAGGUGUUACAAUAUCUUCCCCUUGGGAAAAUUCUUCCUUGAAUGAGAUUACUCUAAGUAGAUCUAAGGGUGGCAACAUCUAACACCCAGGUCAAACACCAACAUGCAAUUUAACACAACAUACCAUAUCAACUUAAAGAGUGUUUUACAAAAAGUCAUUACCUUGGUCUGGAAUUUCUCCGGAAGAGAAGAGAUGUGGGUAUCUCUUCUUCAUAUCCUUCUCAGCCUCCCAAGUAGCUUCUUCAACAAACUGAUUCCUCCACGGGACCUUGAAAGAUGCAGCCUCCUUGGUUCUCAACUUGCGAACCUGACGAUCAAGUAUUUCAACGGGUAUCUCCUCAUAAGAUAGGUUGUCCUUAAUACCAAUAUUUCCAGUAGGUAUGAUAAGUGAAGAAUCGCCCAUAUACUUCUUCAACAUUGAAAUGUGAAACACCGGAUGGACUGCUGCUAACUCUAAUGGUAGCUCCAACUCAUAGGCUACAUUGCCAAUCCUCUUGGAUAUCUUGUAAGGACCAAUAUACCGGGGACUAAGCUUCUCCUUCUUAUCACAUCUCAUAACACCCGGGUGACACCUCCAAGUAAACUCAAUCAUCCACCUCAAACUCCAAGCCUCUUCUCUUAACGUCGAUAUAGGAUGACGACUUUGCGUUGUUUUCAACCUUUCUGGAAUGAUCUUCAUUUCUCCAUAGCUUGAUGAACCAAGUCGGUCCUAUAACCUGGCUUCACCAACCUCAAACCAACCAAUAGGAGAUCUACAUCUUCUCUCAUAGAGAACCUCAUAAAGAGCCAUCUAGAUUCUAGAGUGAUAACUUUUGUUGUAAGCAAACUCAAUGAGAGGUAAGUGAUCAUCCUAAUUACUCUUGAAAUUGAUAACACCAACCCUCAACAUAUCCUCUAGAGACUCAAUAUAAUACUUAAUAAUAAUUCUAAGAUUAUGUCGGGAUAAAAAAUUUAUACGGUCAUUUAAUCCUAGAUAUCUCACCUUGUCUUGCGUACCAAAAUAAAUUGAUAGAAGGAAUUUUAUACUAGGAUUAUGAAAAGUGUAUAUAUGGGCUAAUUGGGUAACGCUGGGGGUAUAUAUGAGUUAUUUUUAUAAUAAAGGGUAUAUCAGUUAUAAAUCGCAAAGUUUAGGGUACAUCAAAGACCGUGUUCAUAUGCAGGACGUUUUAGAUUUAAAUAUAAUGUCUUCCAGGUAUUGCCAAAUGUUUGUGAAUUCUAUUGCAUUCAAUUAGUAAAGGUCCCCUGUUUUCAGCUCUCCGCUUCUGAGUUCCAUAAGAUGCCAGCUCUCAUUCUUCCCAUCAAAUUUGUAAGCUUUUACUUCUUUUAAUUGACUAAGUUGAGGCUUGCUUCCAUGAGAAGUAGAAUGAAUCGAAUUCUUCAUAUACAUUAAUCGAUCGAUGAAACAUAUAAUCAUUUUGAUUGUUGAUGAUAUGUUGAGUAUCCUAGGAUGAAGAAAGCUUUCUCAAAGAAUGACAAUUCGCUAUAUGACUAGCAGAUAAUGAAAGAUCACACUGAGUCAGGACCAGUUCUCUUAAAGAGUUUGAUGCCCGAAAUUUAAAAAUAGGGAAGAGGUAUGAUGAAAGAUAUGUAAAAAAAUUAUAUUCUAUGGGUGUGUUUGGUAUGAAGGAAAACAUUUUCCAGCCAAUUUUCUCAUGUUUGGUUGGGUAAAAUGGUUUGGAAAAUGUUUUUCCAAAUCAAUUCAUUUUCCUCAAAUUUAAGGAAAAUAACUUCCCUUCAAAAAAUUAAGGAAAACAUUUUCCAAAACUCUCCUCCAACUAAAAUAUUACAAUUUUUUUUUGAUGAAAAAAUAAUAUAAAGUUUAUUUUUUAAAAAAAUAUUUUCAACUUCAAUUUUUUAAGUUUUACUCCACCCCUACCCCCGCCAGCCCCCUAAACNNNNNNNNNNNNNNNNNNNNNNNNNNNNNNNNNNNNNNNNNNNNNNNNNNNNNNNNNNNNNNNNNNNNNNNNNNNNNNNNNNNNNNNNNNNNNNNNNNNNNNNNNNNNNNNNNNNNNNNNNNNNNNNNNNNNNNNNNNNNNNNNNNNNNNNNNNNNNNNNNNNNNNNNNNNNNNNNNNNNNNNNNNNNNNNNNNNNNNNNNNNNNNNNNNNNNNNNNNNNNNNNNNNNNNNNNNNNNNNNNNNNNNNNNNNNNNNNNNNNNNNNNNNNNNNNNNNNNNNNNNNNNNNNNNNNNNNNNNNNNNNNNNNNNNNNNNNNNNNNNNNNNNNNNNNNNNNNNNNNNNNNNNNNNNNNNNNNNNNNNNNNNNNNNNNNNNNNNNNNNNNNNNNNNNNNNNNNNNNNNNNNNNNNNNNNNNNNNNNNNNNNNNNNNNNNNNNNNNNNNNNNNNNNNNNNNNNNNNNNNNNNNNNNNNNNNNNNNNNNNNNNNNNNNNNNNNNNNNNNNNNNNNNNNNNNNNNNNNNNNNNNNNNNNNNNNNNNNNNNNNNNNNNNNNNNNNNNNNNNNNNNNCCCCCCAAAAAAAAUAAGUUUGUUUUAAAAAAAUUAUUUACAAUUUCAAUUUCAAUAAUUAUUUUCUACUCUCUAGUAAAAAUAAAAAAUAUUUUUCAUUCAUAAAUUAAACACUAAAAAAUAUUUUCUACUAACCAACCAAACAUGAGAAAAUAAGUCAAAAUUCUACUUAUUUUUUGGGAAAACAUUUUCCUUCAUACCAAACACACCCUAUAUCUUUUACACCAUUCUGAAGAGCAAUACCAAGACACUUAUCAAUAAAAGGGGACAUAUCACCCUCAACUCUUGAAUAUAAGUACUAUUUAGAUGUUGGGGAUGCAUCCUAUGUUGGAGAUUAUCAAUGCUCCAAAUUUGGUAUCACUAAAGUAUAUAGGAGAUCAAAUUUCUAAUACUUUUGUGGAUGCGAAUUUGCAAUGGAAUUUCCAUCCUAGAAAAGUCAUCCUUUUCACAACUAAUAAAAUGAUUUGAUGUUUUAUGGAUCGUUUAAUGAAUAUGAAGAGUUCGAGUCAUGAAAGCAAGCCUUUGCGUAAUAAAUUACAAGAAGUAACAACCUACAAAUUUGAUUGGGAAAAUCAGAACUGGUAUCCGGUAGAGUUUGAAAGUGGAAAGCUGGCUCUUUCUAGGGACAAAUUUUAUUUUUUAUUGGAUUAGUUAUGUAGUCACUUUAUCUCGAAAUGCACUGUUUCAUUAGUAAAAUGUAUUAGAUUUUCAGGAUAGAUUCUAGAUAUUUAAGAACUUCUGUCAAUGGAUUGAUUUGUCUUGUUAGUCGGGAAAACGAAAUUGUUACUAUGGAAUCAUCAAUUAGAAAGUACAAGAAGUUACGUUGCCUAAUCCUAAAACUAAAACUUCUUUGAGGUAUUCCCUUGGGUGAGUAUAUGGCUUUGGAUAUGAUGAGUUUCAUGAUGAUUAUAAGGUAGUCGUUAUUUUUUUCAUUGACAGACUUGACAUUUUACUUCAAAUUAAGGUAAAAAUAUUUUUCAUUGAUAGACUUGACAUUUUACUUCAAAUUGAGGUUAAAAUAUAGUCUAAAAAGUGAUUCUUGGAGAACUAUUGAUAAUUGUCCAAGCAUGGUACCAUUACAACAGUCAGGUAGGUUCGUGAAUCAGAAACUUCAUUGGACUACCAUUAUUGAUCCUAAUUUGUGUAUUAAACUAAGCAUCAUUUCUAUUGAUUUGGCUUAUGGGAAAUGGGGAGAGAUGGAACUACCCUGUUAUUGGAAAGGAGGAAGAGGUGUUGUUUGAGCUUGGUAGGGUUGGGAAGUGAUCUUUCGGUCUUUUGUGAUUGUGACGAAACAUAUAUGUUAGAUGUUUUCUUGGAUGAAAAUGUUUACUAUCAAGAUUCUGGAGGAUCAAUUGGUGUAUGGAUAUCUUGGGCAAAUACGUUUACACAUGGAAAGUGGAAGUGAAAUUUUGGUUGUGUUUGGAUUAAGUUUCAUGACAAUCCAAAAGGUGACCUGUUCAGAUCUUCAAAGGUUAUUAACUCCUAGUUUUUCCUCUUUCUACGGUAGGGACUGAGGAUGCAACAAAAAGGGGACUGAAAAGCUCAGGUUGUGAAACAGCUAAGUAACAAAUAACUUGUAAGAGUACGUGUUGUUGAAUUAUGCUUAUUUUUUAAACUAUGUUGCCAGGGGAGCUUGUUAGUCAUUUCCCCUUGUGCUCUAUUUCAAGUAACAAUAAUUUUAUCUACAACUUCAUGCUAAAUGGCGCUGGAAAUCGCUUCUCUUAUUGAACAGCGUUUCAAGAAGAUGUUAUAGCUCUAGACAGUGUAAAAAAACAAAGAAGUGCGAUCUAGGAUGACUUCAUUAAUAUUUUUUUGGCUGAAAAAAACUUAACUAGGGGAAACAGAGGAAUCUCGUCAAUUCUUGUACAAGGAUUCUAGUUUUUGCUUUACCCUUGCUGCGAGUGUUCAUUUUCUUGUGGACUAGUUUUGGUCUUCCCUUGAUAAUUGUCUUUUCUUCAGGACUAUCUUCUCUUCUUUCACUUUACUAGUAACAAUAACAUAAGAAAGACGGCAUUGCAAGGAGAGCUUAUUUUAGGAAGUCAAAUUAGCUCGUAGGAUUUUCGUAACAGAAGGUUCCCUUCCCUUGAAUGCUUGUUGUGUGCUAAUUACAGAUGAAGUUUCCUUUUGUUCUAUUUCUCCCUUUUAAUCGUUCAUGUUUCCUUUUCUUUUUUAUGGUUUCUGCAAAUUUAUUAAACUAAUCAUCCUUGUAGGGGAGUACCAGAAAGAUGCAUAACCCAUGUUUCAAGAGAUGAAGCAUAUUCAAAAACUAGCACAUUGCAGGAAUUAGAAGAUGUCGAGAACAACUUGAGCAAAGAAGCUCCAUUUUACGAGAACAAUAUUUUUAAAUUUUGGCAUGAGAUGAGUUUAAUGGAGUAAAUCUUACACACAAAGAGGACUAACAUAGUUAGUGAUGAUUCAUAUAGUGGAUCUCAUCUUGUUUGGGACUGAGGCAUAGUAAUAGUUGUUGCUAUGAUGCAUAGUUUUGAGUUUUUCCUUUACUGCUAACUAAUAGCAAGGGACCAUAGACAUGAGCAAAAGUUCCUUGCAAGGAGAAAUCAUAUUAAUUAUAGACCUGAGCAAAAUUUCCUUGCAAGGACUAUGUUGGAAUGUAUGCAUCCACUAAGUAUGAUAGGACCAGGUCCUCAACACAAUAAUAAUGAAACAGAAAAUAAAUUACUAAAAAGUAAAGAUAGACACACAUACUUUACGUGGAAACCUCCUUGCUCAAGGGAGUAAAACCACGACCUAUCUCACAGGAUUUUCAAACUGCUUUUACUAAACUUCACAAGCCAAAGUAAAAUCCAGUUUAUAACACACACGAGAUUAACCUACUAAUCUCUAUUCUGAGUAAUACAAUAUCACUCAAUGAGCCAAAGCAAUGCCUGCAUUGCCCACUAUACUAACCCAACUGAUUAAUAUAGACUUUUACGUAAGACCCUAAGUUGACCUCAACUAAGUUCUUACAAUGAUUCACCCAAGGUUGAAACAUUUCUAUCACAAGCAAAACGAUUCCUACAAUAUAAGCACAAAUACAAGCAGUCAAAGUAACAACUGGUUCAGGAAGCAAUAAUGCACUCUAUUAGGUCCCUUGUUGUUUUGAAGCAUGAAUAUAUCUCUUUUAAUGAAUGAGUAAUUUGUUGUAUGUGAUGUUAAAUAUAUCAACCAUGAAGAGUUAACCGAUGUAAAAACAACCUCGUCCUUUCUGAUUGGUGUGGUACACUGACGACCUCACCAAACUCCGACGCGACAACUUGCCAGCUGUAUAGCAUAAGGUCCUGGACGAGCAUACUCUAUAGAGGACCGGGUCCUUGCACUUGUGAGGAGAUCAUCAAAACAUUUGGAAGCAUUAUCGUUCAAGAUCACAGUGAGGUCAGUCAAUUCUAUUUUGAGAGAGGCUUGCUGCUCUAGAAGAUCCGCUACUUGAGACCUACCCUUAGCUUUCCCUUCAACACAUUCACAUUCCAGAAGGGCAACAACAGUAAACAGUUGCUUAACGGUACCUGGUACUCCUCGUCCAAGAGGUACUUUGAAAUGUUUGAACACAUAGUUUAGCAAAUAGCCAUAAGGGAUGCCAUGUUUAGCUGACUUCCAGGUCAUCACCCUGUGCAUAUUCUCAAGCAUUAUAGCAGGAAGAUUGAUCUCCUCGAGGUCAUCUAGAUUUUCCAUAAGAAACAGCUCUACAGCAGAUGUUACAGUUCUCUUCUCUGUCCUUGGUACCAGUACCUUAUUGAUGAUCUCAAAGAAUAGCUGGUAUUCCCCCUUUAGAAACUUCUUUGGUAAACCUGCUCGCUUAAUGUCCCCCUUCUUUGUAGUAUGUUAGUGAACUCACUUGAGGGUUUGCAUCCUUCAAUGAACCGGAUCCCCUUCACAGGCACACUUAGAAUAAUCCCCAGAGUUUCCUCAUCUAGAAAAUUUUUGACAUCAUUAACAAUAGCCUUAUUCCUCCAUUAUUCAGAAGCUCCAUCAUAUAGAAAAAUUUGUGCAGCUCAGGCUCAUGCAGGUAUGGUGCUGGGGGUUCAAAUAAAUGAUCCCAACUUUGCAAUGAAACUGCAUAAAAAAGAGUGGACAUUCCGAAUUUGUAAGAAUGUCAGGAUCGAAGACUCUACCGUUUAGCACCUUUUGAUUCUCCAUCACUGUUAUCUGUGCUUCCCUGGUCAACUCAUUUUCUUCUUCUGGCUUUUGCACAUGAGGACCUGGUACCUUAGUUUGUUUUGACUGCUCAGUAUCACUUUUACUUGCUUUCUUCACAGGAGAUCUCUUCGUUGAUUUCUGAACCCCCUUUGAUUUGACUCUCUCAACCUCUACUUCCUUCCUUCCUUAUUUUUGCCACAUACGCAACAACAUCAUCGGAAUCUGUAUCACUGGACCAAACAGACAAGGGGAUUGAUGUGGGUUCUUCAGGCAAAUGACCUUCCCGUCUUCUCUUCCUUGCCCUUUCCGUUUGAAUUACAUUUGCUGCUAUGGCACUUCCCAUGACCUUCUGCAUCGCACUCCUAGUGCCAUACCUCUUCUUGUACCCCUUUGUGUGGGACUCAACCAUCUUUCAUUUCCUUUUUCUCUUUCUCUCCUUUGCAAACUCAGCAGGCUCAUUAGUAAGAUCAGUCUCAGGAACACUCUUAAAUGUUUCUAGAUCUAGGACACCUGCUGUCAAAGUGUUGGUUCCUCGCACCCCUUUUCUACUCCAUCUCAAAGGACCUUCAUCUUCCUCCUUUUUUUCACUCUCAACGUCAAAUGACUUAGGAGUUUGGUCAAACACAGGUUUCAUACUAUGAGGGACCUGUUCCGACAACCUCAUCUAUAGGUCCAUUAGAGUUGGUUGAGCAUCACCUCUGAGGGAAGCCAAACUUUGUACGACUCCCAAUUCUGCCGCUACUAUAAGAAUGUUUGACUCGGGACCUUUUCCCUCAGGAAAAUUCCAUCAAAUAACCUCUCAGACAUAGUAAAAUAUACUACCCUAGAAAAUACUUCAACUUCUUUAGUGAGAGGGUCAACACUUGGUUUUACGACUGAUUGGGCUUCUGAGUUUUGAGAUUUCUCACCAGAAAGAACUAGUGUAGGUGAGCAAGGUAAAAAUUCCCCAAAUGGAAGUAUAGGAGAGGCCACCACUUCAGUAAGAGGUGUGGUGGAUUCACCCGUCUCACCAGCAUCACAGACUGGCGUCGAAGGAGAUUCUUCUGGGAAUGGAGUGGAGAAAUUGAAAGAACGAUGAUUUUCAAUUUCUAAGGGAACGGGAAGAUUUGAAGAUGAGGAAGAGUUAGGCAUUCUGAUGAUAUUGAAGGAGACGGCUUAAAACAAAGUCAUGAAUCACAAAAGAAGAUUAGAAAGAGAUUAGGUUUUUUUUAUUCACUAGCAAAGUCGUGUAUUUAAGCACAAGGGGUAUCGGGUCCCUGAAAAGUAGAGACUCUUGGAUUUAAAAUGAAAAGACGUUUGAAACUGAUGCAAUGAAUGGCUAAGGGACACGUGGCAGUGAUCGUUGAUAGACACACAGUGUAGCAUAAGUGAUACUAACCUCUCGGGAACUAGGUCCCUUUUGGUAUAUAGCCCUGCAUGUAUGGUUAGAUUUUCCCUUCAGCUAACAUGCCAUGAAUGUAUACCUACAUUAAGGUACCAAGAGUGAAUUCUCAAUCGAUAAGCAUUACAACAAGUAUAGAUACCUGCCCUCCUUAACAUAAUCAAAUGGAAGAUUUUUGUAAGCUUGUUAUGGAAUCAGGUGAUCUUGUGCAUUCCCAGCCUCAGUCAGUUUCUGAUAAAGCAUUUUUUACUCAAGGGUUUUGUAAAGAUAUCAGCCAACUGGUCUUCUGUCUUGCAGAACUUCAUCACCACAUUUUACCUCUCAACAUUGUCCCUUAAGAAAUGAUGCCUCACAUCUAUGUGUUUUUUCCUCUUAUGUUGAACAGGGUUUUUGGCCAUGUUCAUUGCACUAGUAUUGUCGCAUAUUAGAGGAAUAGUGUCUGUGAGAACACCAAAGUCUUCCAGUUGCUGCUGAUCCAUAGGAGUUGAGCACAACAUGAUGCAGCAGCCACAUAUUCUGCUUCUGCUAUAGACAGUGCCACUGAAUUUUGCUUCUUAGUCCCCCAAGAAAUCAGUGAUGAUCCUAGGAAGUGUGCCAUGGCUGAUGUGCUUUUUUUAUCAACAAGAAAACUUGCAUAAUCAGCGUUUGCAUAACCAAUUAGAUCAAAUGAGUCAUCAGUGGGAUAGAAGAGGACCAGGUCCUGUGUUCCCUUUAGGUAUCUCAGAACUCACUUGGUUGCCUUCAAGUGUGAUUCCUUUGGUGCUGCUUGAAACCUUGCACACAUCCCUACACUGAAGACUAUGUCAGGCCUGCUUCCAAUGAGGUACAAAAGUGAUCCAAUAAUUCCCCUGUACGUGGUCUGAUUAACCUCAAUACCAUAUUCAUCCAGGUCAAGUUUCACACUUGGGCUCAUAGGAGUAUCAAGGACUUUUACCUCAAGCAGAUUGAACUUUUUGAGCAAUACUUUUAUAUAAUUCUCUUGACAUAUAGAUGUUCCCUGAGAAGACUGCUUGAUCUGCAAUCCUAGGAAUAAAGUAAGCUCCCCCAUCAUGCUCAUUUCGAAUUCACUACUCAUCAAAUCAGCAAACUCUUUCACAAUGAAUCUGAAGUGGCUCCAAAGAUAAUGUCAUCUACAUAAACCUGCACAAUCAACAACUCCUUACCUCUGGAUUUUAGGAACAAAGUAUUAUCGGUUUUACCUCUUUUGAACCCAUUUGCAAGGAGGAAUUUUUACAGGCGCUCAUACCAUGCUCUGGGAGCUUGCUUUAAACCAUACAAAGCUUUAUCUAACUUCAGCACAUGAUUUGGUAGAUCAGCAUCUUCAAAACCUGGAGGUUGUUUAACAUACACCUUUUCUUUCAAAUUUCCAUUCAAGAAUGCACUGUUGACAUCCAUUUGAAAUAGUUUAAACUUCAUGUGGGCAGCAAAGGCUAUCAAGAUUUUAAUAGCUUUCAUUCUGGCUACAGGAGCAAAGGUCUCGUCAUAGUCGAUCCCCUCCUCUUGAUUAUAUCCUUGAACCAUGAGUCUUGACUUGUUUCUGGUAAUGAUCCCAUGAUCAUCAAGUUUGUUUCUAAAGACCCAUCUAGUCCCAAUAAUGGUUCUGUUGAGAGGUCUGGAACCAGGUGCCAUACUUUGCUUCUCUCAAGCUGAUGAAGCUCUUCCUGCAUUGAUGUUACCCAAUCGAUAUCCUGUAAAUCCUCUUUGAUGUUCUUAGGCUCAAUGGAUGAUAUGAAGGCUGAAUAUGCAACUAGAUUUCUUAUUCUGGAUCUAGUUUGUAUUCCGGAGUCCAGUGGAGAAAUGAGAAUGUCCAGCGGAUGUGAGGAUUGAUGUUUCCAUCCGGACUUUCUAGUUUUCUCUUCUUCAACAUCAGCAACAGAUUCACCUUCUUCACCUUCUAGAUUUUGAGAUAAUACCUCCUGAGCUGAACCAGAGGGACCAGGUUCCUCUGUGAGUUCUACACUGUUUUCUCUUGCAACUUGUUUGCUUCCGGGAAUUUGGAUUGCCUUAUCCUGUUUUCCCUUUAUCAGCUCCUCCAAAUCAGGGUCUUUUUCUGUUCAUCAUUACUCUCAGACUCAUCAAAUAUCACAUGAAUUCUCUCUUUAACACAUAGAGUUAUUUAGUUAAAAACUUUGUAUGCUUUGCUAGUAGAAGAGUUCCCGACAAACACCCCUUCAUCACUCAUGGCAUCAAACUUGCCAAGGUCAUCAUUUCCAUUAUUCAGUACAAAGCAUUUGCAACCAAAUGGCUUCAGAUGAGCAAUUGAAGGUUUCCUGUCAUUCAGCAACUCAUAAGGAGUUUUUUCUUGAUCAUGGACCUAAUAAGACACCUAUUGUAACAUAGUAGGCUGUGUUGACUACUUCUACCCAAAAAUUCAUUGCUAGCCCUGAGUCAAUCAACAUGGUUCUAGCAAUAUCCACCAGUGUUCUAUUCUUCCUUUCAACAACUCCAUUUUGCUGGGGAGUUCUUGGCGUAGAAAAGUUGUGACGAACUCCAUGUUCAGUACAAAAGCCUUUAAUUUGAGAAUUUUCAAACUUGUGCCAUGGUCAGAUAUGAUGCUAGCUAUCUUACAAUUAACCUUUAGUUGAAUUGCCUUGGCAAAGGUGAUCAGAAGUCCAAUUGUCUUGUCCUUAGUUCGCAGGAACAUUUUCCAUGUGAACUUGAAGAAAUCAUCAACAACUACCAGAAUAUACUUCUUACCUCCUCUGCUUUGGACACUGACAGGUCCACAUAGAUCUAUGUGGAGAAGUUCUAACGGUCUGGUUGUGCUCAUGCCUUUCUUGGAUUUGAAGGAUGGCCUGGUUUGUUUUCCUUUUACACAGGCAUCACAGACUUAAUCAUUAGUAAAGUUUAGCUUUGGCAAACCACGGACCAGGUCCCCUGCAGCAAGUUUGUUCAACAAGGAUACACUCACAUGACCCAAUCGCCUAUGCCAUAGAUUUGCAUUGUCAGCUUGAGCACUUAGACAUGAAAGACUGUCUCUUUCUACCGAGUCAAGAUCUGCAACAUACAUAUUUUUUACUCUUUUGGCAGUCAUAACAACCUUGUUAGUUACACAGUUAGUUACCAAACACAUAUCAGACAAGAACUUAACUUCAUUUCCCUUGUCGCAAAUUCGUGAUACGCUCAAGAGAUUGUAUUUCAGACCAUUGACAUAAUGUACAUUGUCUUUGGAAUGAUCAGUUGUUCUUCCUAUCUUGCCAAUUCCGAGAAUGAAACCUUUCUUCCCACCACCAAAUGACACACCACCGCCCUGGUGUGCUUCCAAAUAAAGGAAGUUUAGAGUAUCUCCAGUCAUGUGCCUUGAGCAUCCACUGUCCAUGUACCAGCACUGACUAUUUUUUCUAUUCUGCACAAGAAUCACUUAUUAGACUUAGGAACCCACUUCAGAUGUAGUUCCCAAAAACUAUCAAAAGGCUUAAUGAGAUACCUUCCUGUCCAUGGGGGCAAAAUGUUCUUGCUAAAAUGGUAAUUGGGACCAGGUACUUUUUUCUGUUUUUCAAAAACCUUUCUCGAUUUAAGAAACUUUUCCUGCCUUUCUUUUACUCCUCUCAAAAUCUCACAAUUUUCUUUCAGAUAACCAUUUCUUCCACAAUGGGUACACAAAAGAUUGUCAGAGACAGACACAUUUACUGUGGGGAUUGUAGGGAGGCUCUAUCUGUCUACAACCUAACCCCUUUUUUGCUGUUGAACUUCUGAUUUGCUAAGUUAGAGAGUAUCUUAGACGAAUCAGUCCAUUUGAGGGAGUGGUUCAACUCUUCUUUGAUCUUACAUAGAUCCUUUACUAAUUGAGAGUUCCUUUCAAGGGAGGCAACUAACUUAGACUCUGAGGUCUUAAGUUCUUUUCUAGCUCAACCUUAAAGUUACUGAGUUUUUGUUUCCCACCCUCAGAGGUACCAGGUUCCUCAUUGAGUUGCAAGCUACCAGUCUCUAGGAUACCUAUCCUAACACUCAUUUCAGACAUUUGAGAGUUAAGAGCUGAGUUUUCAUCCUCGCACAAAUUCAGUUUUUCACUUAUCAUCAAAUUUUCAGAGGUUAAUUCAUCAACUGAGUCAAUUAAUACAGCAGCAAGUUUUCUCAAUCUUUUAAUGGGAAGAGUAUCUAGAUCAUUUUUUAGAUCUAAAAGGGUUACCUCAUUCAGAUCCUCUUCAUCGUCAGAUUUUUCCAUUAGUGAGAAAAUAGAAUUGAACAUAGUUUCAUCAUCUUCGAUAGCCAUCAUCGAGACAUCUUCAUGACUGUCUGCCUCUUCCUUAGAUUCGCUGGAUGCAUUUCCCAUACAGCCAAGGCUUUCUUCAACAGUUGAUCAGCAUGAGCCCUUCUCUUUGCAUGGUCUAGGACCUGGUCCCUUCGGCGAGGUCUGAAGUCUUGAGUUUCCUUCUUCUGACUCGAACAAUCCCUCAUAAAAUGACCAGGUUUGCCAUAUUUAUGACAUAGAUCAUUUGCAUUUGCUGCUCUGCUGGUCGAACCCUUCUUUUGGAAGCCUCCGUGUUGCUUGAUAAUCUUCUGGAAUCUUUUAGUUACGUAUGUCAUUUCAUCCUCCUCCUCAGUCCCAUCGUUUGAAGAUGUUUUCAAUGCAACUGAUCUCUCAUUCUUUCCCUCCUUUAUGUUUGACCCCUGUUGUUUGUUUAACUAAUAGGUUUGGAGAUUUACAAUCAGUUCAUCCAUGGUGAGCACCUUUAGAUCCUUUGCCUCAGUUAUAGCAUUCACUUUGCUCUCCCAUGACUUGGGAAGCACUUUGAGAAUCUUUCAAAUGUGUUUGCUUGGUGGAAUAGGUUCACCAAGGCAUCUCAAUUCGUUGGUUAUGGAGGUGAAUCUUGAACUCAUCUCGUGAAUGGUUUCACUUUCCUUUAUACAGAAGUUCUCAUAUUGAGUCGUAAGCAUAUCGACCUUAGACUCCUUCACUUGUGUAUUUCCCUCAUGGGCUAUUUAGAGACAGUCCCAUAUCUCUUUGGCUGUCUCGCAGGUAGAGAUUCUAGUGUACUCAUCUGAGCCGAUUCCACAUACCAAAAUCUUCUUUGCUCUGUAGUUCUUCUCUAUCUUGUUCCUGUCCAUUUCAUUGUACUCCUUUCUGGUUUUGAUAACCAUCGUAGUAAGUUCUCUAUCUUUCACUUCUUUUGUGGGAAUGUAAGGUCCGUCGAGAAUCACGUCCCACAGCUUAGUGCCUUCAACGUUGAUGUAGUCAUGAAUGCGAUUUUUCCACCAACCAUAGUACUGCCCAUUGAAACGAGGUGGUCUGGUACAUGACUGACCUUCCUCCAUGUUGAGAGGAACAACCAUUCUUUCAGGAUCUUUUCUUUUCUUGGUGUUACCCAAAUAGAAAAGUCAAGCUCUGAUACGACUUGUUGGAAUGUAUACGUCCACUAAGUAUGAUAGGAACAGGUCCUCAACACAAUAAUAAUGAACAGAAAAUAAUUACUAAAAGUAAAGAUGACACACAUACUUUACGUGGAAACCUCCUUGCUCAAGGGAGUAAAACCACGACCUAUCUUACAGGAUUUUCAAACUGCUUUUACCAAACUUCACAAGCCAAAGUAAAAUCCAGUUUAUAACACACACAAGAUCAACCUACUAAUCUCUAUUCUGAGUAAUACAAUAUCACUCAAUGAGCCAAAGCAAUGCCUGCAUUGCCCACUAUACUAACCCAACUGAUUAAUAUAGACUUUUACGUAAGACCCUAAGUUGCCCUCAACUAAGUUCUUACAAUGAUUCACCCAAGGUUGAAACAUUUCUAUCACAAGCGAAACGAUUCCUACAAUAUAAGCACAAAUACAAGCAGUCAAAGUAACAGUUGGUUCAGCAAGCAAUAAUGCACUCUAUUAGGUCCCUUGUUGUUUUGAAGCUUGAAUAUCUCUCUUUGAAUGAAUGAGCAAUUUCUUGUUUGUGAUGUUGAAUAUAUCAUCCAUGAAGAGUUAUGACCGAUGUACAAACAACCUUGUCCUUUCUGAUUGGUGUGGUACACUGACGACCUCACCAAACUCUGACAUAACAGCUUGUCAGCUGUAUAACAUAAGGUCCUGGACAAGCAUACUCUACAGAGGACCGGGUCCCUGCACUUGUGAGGAGAUCAUCAAAACAUUUGGAAGCAUUAAGACUUAUUAGACUAAAUUUUAUUGCUUGUCAUUUGACAAAUCAGUGAGGUGCUUUGUUAAUUGCUAUGUCUUACUUUUAUGAAGUGAAACUUAUCUUCUUCAAAAAUCUCGCCACACAAGUGUCGGCGCACCAUGUAUCAUGUGGCAGUUUUGAAGAGUCCGAGCAAUAUUUUACCUUUCUUCAUGAACUGGCCGUUAACAAUCCUUUAAGUGAAGCAGUUAACACACAUUAGAAAGACAUAAAUUAAACCCUUGUUCUGGAGAGAAAGCACAAGCCAAAAGUUUUUCUUAAAAGAGUUUGGGACUAAGAUUUCUGAAAAAAACAUAUAUCCUAACCAAAUAUCCUUGGAACGUGGAAAACAACAUACUCAAUGUAAUCCCACAAGUAAUGUCACGAAUAGCAUUCACCCUUACCUUGGGAAUGAUGGAGAAAUUUCACGAAUAGCUGUUUUUAGAGCUAGAAAGUAGUGAUGUGCAAAAACUGAACCAGUUGAUAAAUUGAACAAAAAAAGUGUUAUUGGAUUAACGGUUUUUUAAUGGUUCUAUAAAAAAAAUUAUCGUGUUAUCAAUUCAAUUUUAGUUUUUUAAUAUUGGGUUAUUGGAUAAAUCGAUAAUUCAUUAAGAUCGUAGUAAUUUACUGCUUUUCCUAUACAUAAAUAUUAAAUAUUAAGGGAAAAUGCACAAGUACCCCCCUCAACUAUACGCGAAAUCCAAUGACACACGUUAACUAUACAUUAGACCUAUUACCCCCCUGAAUUAUUUUAAAGUUUAAUAAACGCACCCUUUCGUGCUGAGGUGGCACAGAGAGUGAGGCAUGUAAGAUACGAAAAAAGGUAUUAAAAUCUGAUUAAUAUGGACACGUGUUCAUUUUUAAUUGGACAUUUUAUAAUUAAUUUGUAGAGAUAGUUAAUUAACUUUAAAACUUAAAUUGAUAUUAUUUCUAAGGGAAAAGGUAGAAGUACCUCCCUAGACUAUGACCCAAAUCCCAGAGACACACUUUAACUAAACUAAUUAAGGUCCUAUUAUCCCCCUGAACUGAUUUUUUUUAAUUUUGUACACCUUUUUGGCUUACGUGGCAUCCAAAUAUCUCUCACGCGCCUCAACUGCGUGGAGUCAUGGGUGUGCCACAUAAGCCAAAAGGUGUACAAUAUUAUAUAUAAAAUGAGUUCGGGGGGGGGGGGGUAAUAGGACCUUAGUUUAGUUAAGGUGUGUCUCUGAGAUUUCGCUCAUAGUCUAGGCGGGUACUUGUGCCUUCUCCCUUUUCUUAAAAUUAAAUUUCUUUGUUUCUUUAUGAAAUAGAGUCAAAUUUUAUCAUUUUUCACAACAUAUUUAAAUUGUCAGAGAAUUCUUUUCAGUGUCUUUCAUUAAUUUGUAUAGUAUCGAGAGAAUUUUUUUCUUUUUCAUUUUUUACUCAAAUAAAUUACUUGAAAUUCUCUAAUGAGGAAAAAAAAAUUGCAUAUUGGAAAUUUAAUUUAGGAAACAUAUAAAGAGCAUAAUUUAAAUUAGAGUUUUUUUUUUUAAUUUAUAAAUAAAUAGUUUAAUUACCAUCCCCUCCUUAAUUAUCCAUGUCAUACCCCUACCCUACCCCCAACCCUCANNNNNNNNNNNNNNNNNNNNNNNNNNNNNNNNNNNNNNNNNNNNNNNNNNNGUUCUCCAUCAAUAACACCCUCCCUCCUUCUCUUCCCUUCUAACUUCAAUCAGCCUUUAUCUUGACCAAAAUUCAAACAGAAAAAUGACCCCAAUUUUGAAUUCUUCUUGAACUAGAGUUCAAAAUUUGGGUAGUUUCUUCAAUGGAGAUUUUGGACCAUGUUUAUGAAACUUAUUUGGAUUAUUUGGAUUGAAAGAAAAAUAAAAUUGAUAGUGGAUAUUGAAUCCGGUGGUAGUGAAGGGAUAAAUUUGGUGGUGGGUUAUAAUUUUCAUGGUGAUUGCUAUGAGCUUUAAUUGUUAAAAUAAGUGGGUUUAGUGGUUAUGGAGUUGGUGUUGAUAAUAAUGAAGAAGAAAUCAAAUGACAUGAAAUUUUUAUUUUUUUUAUAGAUCUGAUCAUUUAUUGACAUGGCGCUGACAUAAUGAUGACUUGGAGGCCAGUGUAAAAUACCUCCCAUCAUGUGAGUACUGGCUAUAUAGGUUUUAGGUUGUGUUAAGGGUGUGUUUAUUACACUUAAAAAUAAUUCAGGGGGGUAAUAGGACUCAUGUAUACUUAAGGUGUGUCGCUGGGAUUUCGCAUAUAACUGAAGGGGCUACUUGUGCAUUUUUCCUAUCAAUACCUUACUAGUUAAUGACUUUGUCGUUUAGCCUUCAAUUCACACUUUACAGUGACUUUGAGUUCACAACUUCACAUUAUACAAAACAUCAAAACCUAAAGUAAAAACCCUGUUCAUUUAAUUUCUCUUUGUGUUAUACUUGUAUAGUUCUUUUCAUGUUAGUUAUUAUUGUUUCUAUUUUAUAAGUAUUUGUAAGUUACAUUAUUGUCUUGUUGCAUCAAAUUGUUGUAGAAGUCGUGUUUGUUUUAGAAGCAUUUUCUUAUUGGUUAAACCGAAAACCGAACCGUAAAGGACCAAAAUCGAUAAACCAAAAACCAAUAAAGAUAUCUUAUUGGCUUAGUGUAUUUAAAAAUCAAAAAUCGAUAAACCGCACCGAUAAUACAUAGAAUCGAACAAAACCAACCGAUGCACACCCCUACUUGUAAGUAACAAAAUGGAUAAAUUAGCUAACUAGUUAAAAUCUCUAACAUAAUUAUUAAAAACAUCUACACUAAUGGAUAGAAUCAUAUUUUCUCCGUAAUAAAGAAAACUCAAUCUAAAAAGAUAAUCAUCAAUUUUUAUUACAGGAUGUUAAGAUUAUUAUAUUUGAUUAGGUAUGUUUAAAUCUAUUUUUUCCAAAAAAAAUUGUAUCAAUUCUUUCAAUUAUCACUUGCAAUUUUAAGUUGUGCAUUUAGUGUAAUGCAAUAAACAAAGAUAUUUAUGUGCAAAAGCAUAGUUACGUAUUGUGUAUUAACUUCUUUUCAUGAUGUAAAUGUAAAGUCUUUGAAUUAUUUUUGGAGUAAUUUAUAUUUAUGACUUAUAUGGCAUUUAACAAAAAUGUGACGCAAUAUAGAAAACGAAAAGUUUUCUAGGUAACUUUAUGUAACAUUUAAUUAAAAUAAUUUUGAGCAAAUUAUUUGUACUCUCAUUUUAUUUAUUUUAGUUUUGAUGAAAUGCACACAUUUCGUUUAGACCACAUACAUAAACAAGAGUUACAAAUUUUAAAAAAUGAUAAGAAAUAGUAAUAUCUAAACACAAAAAUGCGCAUAAUAUUUUUCUUGCUAUACGAUUAAAAAAAGGAAUUGAGGUUUCAUUAUUUUUCUCCCAUAAAACUUGCAUAAAACUACGAUAUACAUUUUUGCCUUAACUUUUUCCACCGUAACUUACAUUUUAUUUCUUAAGUUUCAAAAGGAACUCAACAUAAUAUCUUUUAAAGAUAAAAAGAAGAUUUUCAAAACAUGUUUACCAACUUCCCUUGAGCCCAUAUAGCAGUAUUCUACUUUAUUGUUUUGGUUAUUUACCAUUUCAAUUUUAUAAUAUUUAUAUAUUUGUUGAAUAUAAAAUUUUCAUAUUUUUGUAUGUUUUGCGUUAUUUUAAUUAUUUAAUUAUACGUACACACUUUUAAUGAUAUAUCUUUUUUAUAUAUCAUAUGUACACACUUUUAAGAGAGAGAGAGAGAGAGAGAGAGAGAGAGAGAGAGAGAGAGAGAGAGAGAGAGAGAGAGAGAGAGAGAGAGAGAGAGAGAGAGAGUCUUUUAAACAUAGAAGGUUAUAUCUGUUUUAGAUAUACAAAAGGAAAACUAUGUAUAUAUAUUCACAACUUUUAAUGUAUACAAUUUCUUUAUUUAUAAAUUGGACAUAAAAUGUUAGUCCACAGCAUUUUUGUGUUUAUCAUCUUAAAAUUCUUAUGUAAUUUUUUAUUUAUUGGUCAUUUGUUUCUAUUGUUAUUAAUAUAUUGCUUUAUUUAACUCUUUUUUUUCAUUUUGAAUAAUAUGAUGACAAGUUCAUCUUGUAUUCUUAUUGCUUUUCGCGUUAAAUUGGGUUAAUAUUACAAUUUUUUAUGGUAAAAGUGGAAGGUUUUAAAUUCAAAAUUAAAUUAUGAAAAUGCCCUUCUCUACUUAAUUUAAAAAUUACUUUUUACUAACUUUUCAAAUUAAAUCAAUAAUGACAAUUAAUAAAUUAUAUAUUAGAAAGUUUAUCUCAAGGGAAAAGGGUUCAAAACACACACAAACUUUGAUCGAAAUUGUUGUUAUACACUCCAACUUUGUGAGGGUUCUAUGACCUUCCUAAACUAUUUUUAGUGUAUUAUUGUGGUUAUUAUCAGCUUAGUUGGAUGAGCAAGUGACCAACACUCUCGAUUAGCACGUCAGGGUGAAAUUAAAGUAAAAUGAACCCCUUUAUUUGCCAUGUUGCAAUCCACAUCAUUCCUUUUUUUUCAUUAAAUAUCCUUAAUUUUACCUGUUAAGUUAAUAUUAUUUUUUAAUUAGGGAAUAUAUACAGAUGUCAAUUUUUAGUUGGAUUUUCCUUUAAUAAAUUACACUUAAUUAUAAUUAUCAUUAAUAUUUCUUCUUCAUCAAAAAUUCAGUCGCUUCACUGUGUCGAUCCCAACAACAGAAAACUCUGUCGACGCCGACAACGAAAAACUCAAUCACAACAAUUAUCAAAAAUAUAAUCACCACCACACGAGUACCAUGUACCUCCCUCAAUCGUAACAACUACCUCCACACAAUCGAAAUUGCAAAUUUGCAAUGAACUGGAUCUACAAAUUGUACCAUUUCCAAAUUUCGUCACCACCGAAUCGUCAUCACUUCACCAUCAUCACACAAAAAAAAAACCUCCAUCACCACCAAAAUGACAAAGACGACCACAAAGUUUUAGUUUUUUUAGAAAGAUAGGAAAUUUAUAUGAAAAUUUAUAGCCGAAAAAAUUCAUUACUCGUUAGAAAGAAAAACUCAAUGUAUAUAUUGGGUUUUCUACUGAUUGAAUUUCUUAAAGAAAUUUUUGUUGAUGUAGUUUAAAAGGAUGUUUUUGUUGGAUUUUAAUGUGAAAAUCUUCAUGUAAGGAUCUAAAUUGAAAGGAUGGUGUAGUGGUAGAAGAAGGUAUAAAAAAAUAAAGAAAAAAUAGGAAAAGAUUUGAAGAAAAAAAAUGAUCAAUACAGUGGCAGGCGUGUGUACCACCUUUUGGAUAAAAACUUGGUUUUGACCUUUAAAAGAGGUAAUAAUUCCACUUCAAAAUAAUACUGGGGGGUCAUAGGACCCUCAAAGUUAGAGUGUGUAACAACAAUUUCGGUCAAAAUUUGUGCGAAUUUUGAACCCUUUUCCCUUAUCUUAAAAUACUCAACUUUAUUAUAUUAGCUUUUAAUUGUAUGUAAUUUAUUCAAAUUAAUAUCUUUAAACUCUCAUGCAUUAAUGACACCUUCCACUAAUUAUAAAUGAGUUUUUCUAAAGCUAUUUUAAAUAAUUUAUUAUUGCAAAUUUUCAUAUGUUACAUGGACGAGCUUGAUGGUACACAAUAAGAUAAAGAUAUUAGAAACAUGAGUUAAGAUUGUAUAAAUUUAAUAUAAUAAUAGGGGUAAAAUGUGCGACGUACUUUUCCAGAACUAGUAAUAAUAAAAAAUUAACAUCAAACAAAGGUGAAUUUUGUAAGUAUAAAAUAAUCGAUAUUCAUGUUAGAUAAAUAAAUUAAAAUAGUAGCCACUAUAUUGCUAACAAUGGUAAUUAUGGUGUACGAAAAGGAUAUGCCAGAAGAACAAGUGAAGGGGAGGGUUAAAGGUUGGGUCGUUGAAGUGACAUGCCACAUGACGUCCAUUUAUCAAAAUAUAGGUAUCAUAUAGGAUUGAGAGUCUACAUUAAACACUCCCAACGAGAAGAAGCAUAUUUGAAUUUAAGUUUUAACUGACAACACAAAUAUUUUUGUAUGAAUAUAUAAUAAUAAUAUAAAAGAGGGUAAAGUUGAUCUUUUUCUCGAAGUAAAUGGACAACUUUGACGGCUUAUUACUAUAAUUUGGAAAAAAAUUCAAAAUGAAAAAAUAUAAGGUUUUUGUUAUAAAUAUAUUUAUAGAUUAUUGAGAAUGUCGAUUUAGUUUUUCUUUUUAUAUAAAAAAAAUAAUACCACUUUUAUUAAAGUAAAGAAAUACUACUAAUUAUGUAAAAAAUCUAGAAAUCACGUUAAUUAUUAACUAAAAUAUGAAUAAAAAAUUAUGAUUAAAAAAUAACUUAUUUAAAUUUCAAAUUCAAAAAGAGUAUUUUGAAUUAACCAAAAUACCCUCCGGCAUUGCCGUGAAGAAGAAAGAAACCUAUUGGAGCCAAGGAAAUGCCCAAAUGGGAUCUGAAAUCUAUGCCGAAUUCAAUUAAAGAUUCAAUUUUUACACUACCCAUUCAUCCAUCAGUGAAAAUCUUGGCUUUCUUUAAUCUAUAGCCCCAAAUUUAUCAAUACCCAUCUUAUCUUUCCGGAUUGUGGUUAAUGGAUUGAUUUUAAAUUGUCUUAUUCUAUAUGUAUGUUGACGAGUAAUUCCGAUUUCAUAUAUGGAUUUGGCUAGGAUGAGUUUUGUGAUGAUUAUAAGGUAGUGUGUAUAGUUACAAUUCACCAAAAUGGCAGUGUGUGUAGUGUUGAGGUCAAAAUAUAUAGUUUAAAGAGUGAUUCUCAGAGUUUGGGAUAGGAUGCGUUCCGUGAGUUUGGGGAUGUUUUUUAAUUGGAAGCUUCAUUGGACUUGGUGAGUACAGAGGUUGGGGGGAGACCUGGAGCAUCGUUUCUAUUGAGAAAUGGGAAGGUGGAGCUGCCUUGCGUUGGAGAAGAAAAUUUUCGUUUUAAGCUACGAGUGUUGGAAUAAAGCUGAUAUUCUGCUUGUUUUUGGAGCACCUGGGGUGAUACAGAAUCAAGAAGAGAUACACCACCGGUUAUCAAAAAGAUAUACGAUCAAAGGGACGAUACAGAAUCAAGAGGAGAUACACCAUCGGUUAUCAAAAAGAUGUACGAUCUAAAGAUUGAUUCGAUUAGAUAUGCACAAGUUACUAACCUAAGAAUCUUCCACAAUGACAAAGCAGGACAAUCAAACCUUAUUCUCCAAAAGCUAAAAAAAUUUGGCAACCAAAAUGGAGUUGGGGGAAAAUGAAAACACCCAUCAAACCCAAAACGGAGCAAACCCAUUAACCACCAUUCUGAAUUUCCAUCAACUUCGGUGCGAGAUUUCCAAUACCCAAAUGACAUCUGAAGCCUCGGAUCCACCGCCGCAUGGGAGCAAACCCUCAAACUUCGCUGAAUUUUCAUCAACUUCAAUGAACAAUUCAAUCUUGACAAUCCCAUUUCUGCCGGCAGAACUCAUCAUUGAAAUCCUCUCAAGGCUUCCUGUGAAAUCUCUCUUGAAAUUUAGGUCUGUUUCGAAAUCUUGGCUUUCUAUAAUUUCUAGCCCUAAAUUUAUCAAAACUCAUCUUAGGGUAUCUAUUGAUAACAAGGAGUGUACUCACCAUAGGCUCUUGAUGAAAUUGUAUCGGGCUAAUAGCAAUCUUAAGGACUGUUCUUUUAGCUCUUUACUUUACAAUGAAUCUGUUAUUGAGGCAAAUGACUUGAAUUGUCCCAUGGAAAACUCCGGUGUAUCUUUUUGCAUUGUGGGUUCAAUCAAUGGACUGAUUUGUUUUGCCGAUGGGACAGGAGACUUGUUCUUAUGGAAUCCAACAAUUAAAAAGUACAAGAAAUUGUCUCAUCGUAGAUUGACAAGUAAUACCAAUUUCAUAUAUGGUUUUGGAUAUGAUGAGUUCUGUGAUGAUUAUAAGGUAGUAUGUAUUGUUGCAAUUUACCAACAUGGCGGUUAUUCUACUGUUGAGGUCAAAAUAUAUAGUUUAAAGAGUGAUUCUUGGAGAAAUAUGGAUGAUUUAGGGGAUAGGAUGCGCUCUAGGACUUCGGCUACGUUCGUAAAUGGGAAGCUUCAUUGGACUACUUCUUGUGGUCUUGGCGAGCUUAGAGGUCGGGGGACCUGGAGCAUCGUUUCUAUGGAUAUGGCUGAUGAGAAAUGGAGAAAGAUAGAGCCCCCUUGCUUUGGAGAAGAAGAUUUUGGUUUUAAGGUAGGAGUGUUGGGAAAUAACCUUUCUGUACUUAGUAUGAACGUCCUCCUCACUCGCGUAAAUAUAUGGGUUAAGGAGGAGUAUGGGGUUAAAGAGUCCUGGACAACAAUGUAUACCAUAAAGUGUCUCAACGAUCUUGACAGGCAUUUUCUUUACCCAUCAUGUUACAUGUCAAAUAAAGGUGACACUCUUCUUGUUUAUGUAACACCUGGAAUGAUACAGAAUCAAGAGGAUACACCAUUUGUUAUCAAAAAGAUAUGUGAUGAUCCGAUUAAAUAUGUAGAGGUUACUAACUUUGGUGCCCGUUUGUCGAAUGAAAUCUACAUUGAAAGCCUUGUCUGUCCGCUUUCACAAAACCAACAAGGAUUAAGCAAGAAUGAAGGUUGCAGAUGCUCAGAUGAAUUACAAUUGUGUAACUUAUGAUUUGUAAGUUUCUACUUAAUACAUGUCUCGCAAGUGCAGUUCAAUUCUUCUUCUAUUGUCAAAUAUAGAAAAAUACAUUGCAUGUUCAAGGUUCUUUUGAAUACAGCCUCUACCUUCUCAAAGGUAGGGGUAAAGUCUGCAUACAUACUUCUCUCCCUAGACCCCACUUGUGAGAAUACACUGUGUUUGUUGUUCCUACAUUGCAUGUUUAAGGGACAUCAUCACACAAGGUCUGGUUGAGAUCUUCUCUUGUCCUUUUUCUUUUUGGUGUCUUCAAAACUCAAAAACUAAAUAAAGUUGGAAAUUGAUUCUCUUUUCAAGCUGCAUUUUAAGGGAAUGAGACAUAUCUUUAGUGUGAGACAUGAAAAUAAUGCCAGGUGAAUGCUCCAAUAAAACUAGGCAUAGCCAUUGUCGGGAUUAUGGUUUGUUUAGGAUCUUCAUUACUAGUGCUCUUUAAAAUACCGUUAAUAGGGAAAAGGUUGAGUAUUUUUCAUCAUUACAUAGUUCUAAAUUGAUGUAACCUCUAGUCUCUUGCGGCAGAUGAAGAUAAUUGUAAAAAUGUUGAGUAUUUUUCAUCAAAUGACUGUGUUUUGAAAGAGUAUCAGCAGGGAAAUUGGCCUCUCUAAAGACAUGAUUGCAUUGAAAAAAAUCAGUCAUUUUAAUCAAGUCUUGAAGUUCCAUGAUAUUUUUGUAGAUGCUCCAAGGAGGGGAUACUUUCUUGCUUGAGCAAUUUCACUAAAAGUUCAGAAUCUACUUCCAAAAUGAUCCUACUAUACCCAUGUUGAAUACACCAAUUCAUCCCAAAGGCUGCAGCUAUAACUUCUGCUUGAUUGUUUGAACCCACACCUAAAGGUAGGCAUAGAUCAGUUUGCCUUUAUGAUCUCUCAGUAGGUCCCCAGCUCCAAUCCUACCUGGAUUCUCCAGAGCACUACCAUCAGUAUUUAAUUUAACUAUGGACUGAGGAGGUUUCCACCAGUUUACUUGAGUGACCUUUAUAUCAUGUUGACAGUUCUCCACCAGAGAACUGAACUCAUUCCAGUUGUUAGGCCAUUUGAUGGAUGGAUAAGUAGUGAUAAUAAGCAUGUGAAGCUCCUUGGAGAUAAAGAAUUUGACUCUAGUUGUACUUGAUUGUUUCUCACCAUAUUUACUAGCACACUUAUUCUUCCAAAGGUUCCAGCAAAUGAAAAUGGGGGUGCCUUUCAUUAUGAGCUUGUAAACUUCAUUGUUAGGUUUAGUAAUCCACCAAUUCAUCAGCAUCCUCCUCAUAGGGGUUCUGCUAUGUUGUACCCCCAGCCUGCUAGCAAAAUGCUUCCAAAUAUGCUUAACAAAUUUUCCAGAAAUGAAAAUAUGAUCAACAUCUUCCUGGAAUGUAACAACCUGAACAAUUUGCAGUAGAGUGUCCAAAGGCACUAAUUUUGUCAUUUGUUUGGGAGCUUGAGUCUGAGUGCUCUCCAUAAUAAAAAGGAGACCUUGAAAGGAAUAGCUUUAUGCCAAAUUAGGGAUUCAGUUGAAGUCCUAUUCCUUUUCUUCCUCACAUGCUCCCAUGCUGAAGCACAAGUGAAACUCCCACUGGUAGUAAGUUUCUAGAUGGCUUGAUCUGGGAUGUCUUGUUGCACUCUAACAUUAGUAUUGAGGAUUUUAUGAAUGAGUUGUUGAGGUGCACGCUGUCUUAUUUUAUCCUCAUUCCACUCUCCAUUAACAAGGUAGCUGGAAACUGUGACAUUAUUUAGACUGGGAAGGUAAUCAGGGGCGGAGGUACACUAUGCUCAGGGUGUCCAAAUUGGACACCCUUCAUCAGAAAAUUACAUCGUAUAUAUAAGUAAAAUUAUACUUUAAAUGGUUAAAUACGACAUUUUGGACACCCUUAAGCACAGUAAAGUUUCUUAGCCCAGCGGUAUCUUUGCCCAACGUGAAGUUUUAUUAAUGUGCGCACGCACGGGUUCGAAUCCCAAUUGCUGCAUUUGUUGUUACAUUUUCAAAAAGCUCCUAAUUAAUUUCUAAUUAUAGUUAAUAAAUCAGUUAUGUUUUUAAUAAUUCAAAAUUAAUAUUAUCUAUUAAAAUCUUAAUUAGAGACCUAAUCAUAUUUAAUAAAUAUGUUAUUUUUUCAACAAUUCAAAACUCAUUAUCUAUUAGAAUAAUCUCAAAUUAAAGACCUACAAAUUAAAAAUAUAACAAAAAAUAAAAUUAAAGCAUAGUAAACAUUAAAUUUUAAUCACUUUUUCUUUUCACUAAAAUUUUAAAUAAAAUUUAAAAGUAAUUGUUUAAUUUAAAUUUAAUAAGCAAAUUCUAUUUUUUUUCUAUAAAGCUACUAAAGGUGAAAAAGGCUCUAUAUAGAAUUUCUUUUUAGAAAAACUCGUUUGAUUUUACUCUUUAUUUUGCAUAUCUUGUUGUUAAUUCACCAAAGGUUGGUGAAAUCUUGAAGUAUAAAAGUGAUUUCAUUAUAAACUGAAUUUUCUCUCUCUUUUUUCUUUUUCGUUCACUUCCUAUUAAAUAAACAUGAAAAUUCAAGCUAAAUUUUAUGUGGUUUGAUUUUAAAAAUUUUAGUAUAUUUUUUUAUUUUAAAAAAUUAAUUGUUAAUGAAUGUUACGUAGUUUGAUUUCAAAAUUUUUGUGCACCCAUCGUUAAUUUUUUUUUUUUUACCUAUGCAAUUCUUGGACACCCUUCGUGAAAUUUCUGGCUACGCCACUGAAGGUAAUCACUGUGAUUUGCUAGAGAUCCUACCCCAAGCCAGUCAUCCCACCAAAAACUGCAACUUCCAGAGUUAAUAGUCCAUUGAAUGUGAGGUUCAACUUCCUUCCUGUUAAUGAUCAUAUUCUUCCAUAUGAGAGAUUGUCCAGAGUUCCAUUUUUUAAUGACAAGAUUAGCAUCUACAAAUUAUUUUCCAAAGUAUUGACAGAGAGGCUGAAAGGAGUGUUCUCCAAUCUGGUGGAUGUUCAGCAAAUGGCUUUCAUCAAAGGCAGACAAAUCAUGGAUGCAGUUUUAGUGGCAAAUGAAGCAAUAGACUCAAGAGUGCAACAAAAGAAGCCUGGUAUCCUAUGCAAACUAGAUAUAGAAAAAGCAUAUGAUCAUGUAAACUGGAGUACUUGCUAUGUAUGCUGAAGAAGUUGGGCUUUGGGAAAAAAUGGAUACAUUGGAUCAGAUUUUGUAUAUCCACUGUUAGUUAUUCUGUGUUGAUUAACGGAUCACCUACUAGCUUCUUUAAGGCUCAAAGGGGUCUCAGGCAAGGAGAUCUUAUGUCUCCUUUGUUGUUUAUCAUUUCCAUGUAAGGACUGAAUACUAUGUUAAAAAUAACUAAUAUGUAUGGAUGGAUAAAGGGUUUUGAGGUAGCUAGGGUUGGGAGUGAUAGCCUAGAGGUGACUCAUUUGCAAUAUGCUGAUGAUACCCUCAUAUUUUGUGAUGCUGAUAGAACCAAUUGAGACAUCUCAGAAUAAUCUUAGUGCUCUUUGAAGGCAUCUCAGGCCUUCACAUAAACUGGGGUAAGAGCUUUCUUUACCCCAUUAAUGAUGUGCCCCACAUGAAUUCGUUGGCAUAUAUUCUAGGAGGAGAGGUAAGGUCUUUGCCAACCCUUUAUCUGGGAAUGCCUUUGGGGGCCAAUUCAAAGUCUAUUGAGAUUUGGGAUACUAUUAUUGAAAAAUGUGAAAAGAAAUUAGCAAGAUGGAAGACCCAAUACUUGUCAAGUGAAGGUAGACUGACUUUGAUCAACUCAGUCCUUGAUGCACUUCCAACAUACAUGAUGUCCUUGUUUCCCAUUCCAUCAAGAGGUUGGAUAGAAUUAGGAGGAACUUCUUAUGGCAUGGUGACAAAGAGAAGAAAGGCUACCAUUUGGUCAAGUGGAACUCAGUCAUUUGUGCAAAAAAAUGGGGUGGUUUGGGCAUCAAGAACCUGAAAAUCCAAAGUAAAGCUCUAAUGAUGAAGUGGUUGUGGAAGUUCACCAAAGAAAACCACUUAUUGUGGGGAAGAGUAAUUAAAGCCAAAUAUGAACAAGAGGAUAGUUGGAUGACCAAGGAAGUCAAUACUCCAUAUGGGGUCAGCCUAUAGAGGUCUAUCAGAUCCCUCUGGAGUGAGUUGAAAACUCAAUCAAGAAUCAAAGUGGCAAAUGGAAACAAAACUAGAUUUUGGAAGGAUAAUUGGCAUGAGAUUGGUAUCAUGAAACUGGUCUUUCCGGAUAUCUUCAACCUAGUCCUUCACCAACAGAAAACUAUAGCUGAAAUGUGGAUAUCUGAUGGGUGGAGCUUGAAUUUUAGAAGACAUUUCAAUGAUUGGGAGGUUCAAAGAGUGGCUGAUUUCCUCAGCAAACUUGAUCAAUUUCCUGGGGUUCAAGCUGGUGAAGAUCAUUUAUGGUGGCAGGGCAACUCCAAAGGCAUUUUUAAGGUUAAUGCUGCAUAUAAAAUUAUGAACCAGUCCAACCACCAGAUAGCAAGCUGGCCAUGGAAGCAGAUUUGGAGGAUAAAAGUUCCCCACAAGGUAUCAAUUUUGUAUGGUUACUAGCAAAGGAGGCCACUUUAACACUGGACAACUUGAUGAGCAGAGGUAUGACACUGUGCUCAAGAUGCUUCCUGUGUAAAGAAACAGCUGAGACAGUCAACCAUCUAUUUCUGCAUUGUCCAUUCACAGCUCAUUUGUGGAGAAUCAUCCUAAACCAUAAGGGUAUAGCAUGGACAAUGUCAGGCAAGAUAACAGAGGCCCUUAGCCGCUAGGAGGGAACAUGUUCACAUGCUAAGGAUAGGAGUAGAUGGAGAAUUGUCCCAACUUGUAUCUGGUGGACAAUUUGGAAGGAGAGGAAUUCCAGAUGUUUUGAGAGCUUAGAGAAUGAUGUGCAGAAGAUCAAGUUGAACUUCAUCUUACAGCUAUGUUUUUGGUGUAAUCAAAUUUACUCUAAUGAUACUAUGUCUAUCAUAGAUGUUCUAGAUUCUUUAUAGCUAGAGAGGAAAGACACUAGAGCUCUAUUGUAAAUAUGAUUUCAGUACUACCCAAGUACUGUUUUGAUCCUUGAUAUGAUACAAAGUUACUGAUAGAAAAAAAAAAUGACAGGAUUUGCUCUUUGACAAUAUUUGGCUUUGAGGAAGUUACCCCAAAGGGACUUUUUGGAUCUGAACCAUUGUUUAUAAUGCAGAGAUAAACAAAUAUCGCCAAGAUUCUUCAUACCAAUUCCACCUUCUUCACAAGGAAAACCUGGAGUUUCCCAAGAUGCCUAAUGGUAAUUUCUUUGGUCCUUCUCCCACCACCAAAAGAAGUCAGCUACACCUGAUCUGUUUGAGGGUAGUAGUCGUAGGGAUGAUAGUAGUUAGCAGAUGUAUGGGAAUUAAAUAUAAGACAGAUUUGAUAAGAGUAGUUCUGCCCCCAUAGCUUAACAUUUUGGUUUGCCAUCCUUUGAUUCUGGCAAUAACUUUAACCACCAUGCCAGUGAAAUAAAUAAUCUUUUGACGACCAAUAUAUAAAGGACAACCCAAAUAUGUGAUUGGCCCAAAAGUGUGACUAAAACCAGUAAUAGCUUUAGUUCUUUCAAUGACAUCAGGAGGUGUUUUUUCUGGAAUAAGUAGCUGACUCUUCUCCUUGUUCAUAAGCUGUCCAGAAGUUGUUUCAUACAUCUGCAUAGCAUAAUAAGCUUCGAAGAGUAUUUGCUAGUUGAUGUGAAGAUUAUUAUAUCAUCUGCAAAGCUCAAAUGAUUUACUUGAGGACCAUUUCUUUCCAUAUGAAAGCCCUUAUAGAGAUAGUGUUGAUGAAGAUUGUUUAGCAUCCUAGUAAGGACCUCUGCACCAAUGAUAAAGAGAGCUGAGACAGAGGUUCACCUUGCUUGAGACCUCUUGUAGGAUGGAAGAAACCAUGUCUAGAACCAUUGAUAAUGAUAGAGUACCAAUUGUUUGACAUAAGUCUCCAAAUCAUGUCAAUGAUCAUUUCUCCAAAACCCAUUCUUCUCAUAACUAGACAUGUAUAGGACCAAGAAACCAUGUCAUAAGCUUUGGCCAUGUCAAGUUUUCUGACCACAUUGUCUCCUGUCUUGGGUUUAUUUAUAUCGUGAAUAAGCACCUAAGCUAGCAUAAUAUUUUCAUAAAUACUCCUUCCUUGAACAAAUCUAGACUAGUUCUCAGAAAUAAGACGAGGCAGGAUGGGGGCUAAUCUGAGAUAUAGCAGCUUGGAAAUAACCUUGUUGGUGCCCCCAAGGCCUAGCUCGAGUGGCAAAAGGUGGAGGAUCUGUGGCUUAGGUCGCAGGUUCAAGCCCCACAUCAUGCAAAGCGAAGCCUGUUAUUUAAAUGGAGAAGAGUAGAGGGGGGACCCAUUAUCCACCGAGUUUAGAAGGCUGUAAUUGGUCUAAAGGGCAGGUCACACAGAUUUCUCAGUUAUAAAAAAAUAACCUUGUUGGUAAAAUUACUGUGGAAGAUAGGUCUGAAUUCAGAAAACUUAUUAGGAUGAUUCACUUUUGGGAGUAACACUAGGCAAGCAUGAGAAAUAAAUUUAGGAAUACUGUGGCCACAAAAAAAAUAGUUGUAUCAUGUUAAUGAGAUCAUCACUGAUGAUAUACCAGCAGGAAUGGAAAAACAUGCCACUCAUUCCAUCAGGAACAAUUGCAGAAUUAACACUCAUUGACUAGAUAGCCUGUUUCAGUUCCCUUUUUGUUGGCAUGUCCUGGAGUUUUUGGUUUUGAUACUCAGUGAUCGUGCUAGGAAUGCAUCUAAGGACUUCCUCAUUGAUCAGGUUAUCAAACCCUAAAAAUGACUUCCACCCCAAAUAAAAUGACAAACAUUAAACAAUAUUCUUAACAAUGUGAAUUGAGCUUGACCAAAAGUCAAUAAUAUCCCCAUAUUAUGAGUAUUUAAGAGCCAAACAAGAUUCUAGAAAUCAACACACAUAAAACAUAAAUUUGAACUAUAUUAUUCGAACUUUUCAAAGUAUCAACAAAUACGUCUCAAAUCUUUCUAAAAUAGUACAUUUCUGAAAAUCCAACAUAAAUACGAUAACAUUUUUAAAGAGUCUGAUCAACAUAAAACUCGAAGUGCAAAGGCAUACCAGCUUUAUUGGGCAAGUUUCUCCAUUGACCUUCACAAUUUUCCUUAAUAUAAUUUGUAAGUAAUAAGUCUUCUUUUGUAGACCAGUGAUCAUGCUAGGAAGGCAUCUAAGGACUUGCAAUAUUCUCAUCCCCCUUGAUAGUAUUACCAUGAUAAUCACUGAUUUUGUGGAUAAACAACUUACUUCUCCUGCCUCUGAUAAUAGCAUGGAAAUACUUGGUGUUUGCAUAUCCAUCUUUAAACCACUGCAGCUGAGUUUUUUGUUUGAGAGUGGAUUGCUCAAUUUCUAAGUAUCUGAUGCAUUGAGCAUUAAUCUGAUUGAGCUUGGUUCUAUAUUCCUCAUUGUUGUCAUUGAUGAUAUCUGCUUCAGCACUUUUAACCUUCUCCUCAUACUCCUUAACACUGUUAAAAAUAUCUCCAUAUUCCUGUCCAGACCAGUUGCUAAGAGUAUUGGUCACUCUUUUCAAUUUUAGCUGAAAAAUUCUCAUAGGUUGCCUUCAACUGGUCUUUCCCAGCAAGUUUUCACAAUAUCCAGAAACUUUGGAUUGUCCACCCAAAAAUGUAGGAAUUUGAAGUAUUUACUAGUAUUGGUAUUUCUGUCAACACUUUCCAGAAGCAGGGGACAGUGGUCAGAACCAGUUGAGGCUAAGUGAGUGAUAUUAGACAUAGGCAACACCUCUAUCCAUUUAUCAUUGACCAUUGCUCUGUCCAGUCUCUUCCAAAUUCUAGCUUCACCAUCUCUGUGAUUACACCAAGUGAAUUUUUGUCCAUGGAAUCCCAAGUCAGUUAGUCCACUGGCUUCAAUAACACUAAUGAAUUCAAAAAAUUUAUUCAUGUUGUAAGGUAGUCCUCCCAUCUUUUCAUCAAUAUGACUGAUCACAUUGAAAUCUCCUAUAGUGCACCAAGGUUUGUCCAAUCUAGAAAAUUGAAGCAUCUUGUCCCAUAGGUCUCUUCUCAUAUGAUCUUUAUAUUUAGCAUAGACAAAGUGAGGAGGUAAGAAGUCUGUCAAGCUACAUGCUUAGCUUCACAAGUAACCUGCUGUUCAUCUUGAUCCAAAAUUUUACAGUCAACAUCUUGGUUCCAAAAUAACCAGAUCUUACUGUUGGAAUUGGGAGUAGCAUUGUCCAUCCUAAGCUGAUUUUAUAAUAGUUGAGCUGAUGUUUAUUGGUUUUGGGUUCAAGAAUUGCAAUCAUAGAGAGAUUGUAGUAAUCCUCAAGUUUUUGGAGUCUAUCCGAAGCACCUUGAGUGCUAAUACUCCUAGCAUUCCAACUAAUUGUACUAAUCAUCAAUGUUUUUGGGAUUUGGACCUGGUGUUGAUGUUACUUUUGGCAGUAAUUGUAUUAGCAGAGUUGCUGAUAAUAUUUUGUAUGUUUUUCUCUUUCUUCUCCUUUUGACCUCUAGGUGAUAAACCUGCCUUCUGAGUUACUUGUUGAAUUUCAUCCUGACAGUCAGAAUUCAUGGUGGAUCCAAAGGCUUUCAGUAGAUGAGCACUAGUUUCAUCAUCAUCUUCAUGUUCUUCCAAUUGAUCAGGAUCAUACUCUUCUUCAUAAUUGACCACCCUAUAAUCAUCAUUAUUGUCCUCAGUUGUAUUACUAUCACAAUUCACAAGGAUUAUCUUUGGUCUGGAGGGGAACUGCAUGGCUACCUACUUGCUCCUUAACCAACUCAUAGUCCACAUUCUGAUGCAUUUCAACAUUUCUUUUUUCUUCCAUUGCUUGUUUCUUUUUUAUAGCAUCUCUCUUUUAUUAACUGAGAGCCAGCGUAGAUUUAUUGUUGAGCAUUUGGGGACUUUUUCUCUGUGUCUGCUGUUUUGAACCAUCAUUUUGAGUUGGUUGGUAGGUUGAUCUUUGUUGCAUACUUGACUGCUUAGGGACAUUCACACUGGUAGAUAUAGUGGGAUCUUCAGAAGGUGUACCUUCAAUAUCAUCAAUAUGUACCAUAUCUUCCUCUCUCUUUUCAGUAUCAAGCAUAUCAUCUUUAGUAGCCUUUUCAAUACCAAUGAUAUCAUACGUUUCUUCUUGUAACUGAGACUGGAUCAGCAUUCUUAGAGGUAGUAGGAGCUCUAGGGUCGGUCUUAGGGUCAAUCAAAUUCUCAUGCAUAACAUGAGACAAUUCCCUCCCUUUGGACACCCCUUCCUACAGAUUUGUAGUUUCCUCUUGAAUCCCUCCAUCCAUACUUCCCUCCAUUUUAGGAGUCCAUACUAAAAUCUCAUCAGCUGACCUUCAACAUACCUCUCUCAGCUGGAGAUCUCCCAUUGCCCUUAUCUCCAAUCCCUUCCACUAAAAGGGAUGCCUCUUCCCUCUCUAAACUAUCUAUUCGCUACUGUCCAUUGCUCAGUCCACUACUAGAAUUUGACAAGGGGGAAUACUGGCCAAAUAUUGCUCAAAUUCCCAUCAUAGACAUCGAUCGGGAAUGCCUGUAAUGAUUAAAAGAAUAGCUCUCCAACUGAUGUAAGCUAUUCUUUUCCCUCAGAAGCUUCUUAUUUCUGUUUACUUCACUUUGCUUUUUUGUUAAUUCUCUUCAUUUUUAAAUAUUUUGUGCUCAUCGCCAAACACAUAACCUCAAUAGAGAAUCUAAAUUUUUGAAAAGAUAAGGGAUAAUUAUGUUGUGCUCAUCAUCAAACACAUAGAUUUAUAUAGUUGUAUAUUUCUUGGAUGGGGCAGGUACUGGAUUCGUUUCUCAUUGCUUAUUGGUUUAUGCUCUUACCGUGUUUUAAUUCACGUCUCAAUUGCGAAAGAAAUCAUAUGUAGCUUGUGCCACCAUGUUUAAUAGAAAGUCUUUAGUUCUUGUAAGCAUCAACGGAAACUUUUCUUAACAGUAGAAUGUUUAAUACAUUGUAUUUGCACUAUCCUUCAAUGUUUGCAUAAAAAUCUUCUCUUGCAUAUACUUUUGCAAUUUUAAACUUCAUUUUGAACUGUGUUGUUGCUAACUUAAACAUGUUCUGUGCUUAAUCAGAUGUGGAUUUUGAAGGGCGAGUACGACAAGUCUGGUCCAUCCAUUGUCCACAGGAAGUGCUUCUAAGGUGCUGCUGCUAUUUUUACAUCUGUUCGCGAGUUCUUUUUUAUUGUUUUGUUCUUUCCGCUAAAGCUAUUAUGUCGUCCACAGUGAACUCAGAUCUACUGUUAUAGGCAAGUCUUUGAGAUGCGGCUAUCAAAGAAGGGCGAUUAAAAUCAUUGUACCGCUGAUACUAUUUCAUGUUUCCAGUGCAAGCCUCUUUUGUAAGUUGACAAAUUCGAUUUUGUAAAUAUGUUUGGGACUCAACUAGUGGUUAGAGUAAUGAUUUUGUAAGAUUUGUGUACAAAAAAUCAAAUUAGAAAGAUAACUCGCGAUGAUUGAAUAAGCUCGAAGAAGUGGAUUUGAAUUUCAAAUCGUGUCUUUCUUUUAUUUUAUGUGUGUGAGAAAUUUGAAGUGUUGUUUAGAUUUGUUGGAAUAGUCUAAAGAGAUUCUCUCUAUAAAAUUUGAAGUCAUUUGAUGGAGAUCGGAUUAGAUGAUUUUGAACAA